rnacentral:lncRNA from 1 species
UUGUCAUUAAUUUCAUCAUCAUCAUUAUUAUUAAAUUUUUUUAUUUAUUUUUCUUUUAGAAUAACAUGGUACACAUAAAUAGCUAGACAAAGAGAAUCUCUUGUAUAUAUCAAGAGAUCUUACAAGUUAAACUGAACCAAACUGAGACCAUCAUACAAUUGAUGGGUAAUAACUGUACCCAUACUUUUAUUUUCUUAAACAUAACAUAAGAGACUAAUACUGCAUAUUCUUAACCGGUGUGAUCAAUGUUUCUUCCAUAUUGUGGGACCACAAGAAGAUCAAUAUUUCCAUUAAUUUCAUCAUCAGCAAUAAGUGACCAACGUGGCGGUGCAAUCCCCUCCGACCAAUCGUUAUAACCUGAAAAAUUCAUGUUAUAAAAUUUAAUCACAAAUACACCUAUUAAAAUAAGAAUUAUAAAUGACAUUUAUUUGAAAAUGCAUGGCCUAUGUAUAAACCUGCGCAAGGAGUUCCCAUAAUCUUCAAAUCAGGAAGGCAAAAGAUUUCUGCUGGCUUCGACUGAACCGUAUUCAAAACUCAAUAGGUAAGUAGUUGUGCUUGAGCGAGUUCUUAUUUCUGGUUUGAUCUGAUAUAUAUAGAUCAAGUAGCCGGAACUACGGUGCCAACGUGGCAAAGUAACAAGUUGUGCAUGGUAAAGAUAAUGGAUCAAUGGUUCUAAUUUAAUCGUACAAUAAGUAGGGAAGGUCAACAGCUCUAUAUGGUUAAGUUAGUGCAUGUGCGAUACAUGGUUCAAAAAAUAAAUAAUUUUAAAUACGAAGGACGAGCAAAUUAAGUAAUAAAUGCCAUUACCAAAUAAUAGUGUGUGGUAUACUAUAGAUAAUGGAUCAACGAUUCAGAUUUCAUCAUACAAUAAGUAGGUAAGAUUAACGGUUAGUGUUAAAUCAUUGCAUGUGCGAAACAUGGUCCACAAAAUAAAUAGUAGUAAACAAGAAAGACGAAUAAAGUAAUCAAAUACCAUGUCAUCAGAUAAAAAGAAAAAAAGAAAGGUAUACAUACCAUUACCAAACAAUUGCUUGGUAAAGAUAACAGAUUUACCGCUGAAGUCUGAUAAUUGUAAGAUUAACGGCUAUAUAUGGUUCAACUGCAUGUGUAAAUAAAGUAUGAAUCAACCAAAACGGUUGUGGCUCAGUUGGCAACGCAGGCUGGGUAAGUGGGAAGAGCUCUCGGGUUCGAUCCUCACUAAACACACCAUUUGGGAGGGGUAAAGAGCCUUAACUGUGACUACACCCCGAAUCCGAAUUAGUCGGGGCUCAAUGCGGUCGCCGGAAAUCGGGUGGUUUAAAAAAAAAAAAAAGUAUGAAUCAAUGGGUCCAGGAAAUAAAUAAGAAGACCACAAGCAUAGUGGUCUAAAAAAUAAAUAAGAAGCGAACUGACGAUACAUAUAGGUCAAGUAGAUCAAGUAGCCGACACUACGGUGCCAACGUAUCAAAUAAACAAGUCGUGCAUGGUAAAGAUAAUGGAUCAACGGUUCUAAUUUAAUCGUACAAUAAGUAGGUAAGAUUAAGGGCUCUAUAUUGUUAAAUUAUUGCACGUGCGAAAUAUGGUCCAAAAAAUAAAUAGUUGUAAAUAAGAAAGACGAACAAAUUAAGUAAUUAGUACCACUACCGAACACAGUGCAUUGGAAGGACUGGCUUUCUUCCUUUUUAUGAGAGCAAAGAACGAAAUUUUGUAAUAGUUUUACUUAACAGCUGAAAGUUAAUUUCAUUUUUAUAUCUUUCUUUUCCUUCUUUAUUUCUUAUAUUUUUCUGUUAUUAUUAUAAUUUUUCUUUUAUGUCAGUACGAGAGGCGUGUAAUGUUUUUGGUUUACUAAACCCUUAAUUCUCUUUCUGUUCAACAUCAAAUCUAACUAUCCUUGUAAAGCUUUAAAAUAGUCGAUUAUAGUUAAUUAUUUGAAAAAUAAUAACUAAAGUAAAUAAGUAUUUUAUUUUUUUUUGGUGUAUUAAACUAUCUGGUAUCUAAAGACUAUAUUGGACCCCGACUAAUUUAGAUUCGAGACAGGCAAGACCAUUGAGGCGCCAAAGCUCUCCCAACAAGUAUUUAACACAACUGUACUCCCAAGUCUCGAACUGAGGACUUUGGUUAAGUUAAAAUAACUCUAUGCCAACUGAUUUACGCGCUUGUUAGAAGUAAAUAAGCAUUUUAGUUAUCACAAUUAAACUCUUCUUUAGCAUUUAAUAGAAGUAGUUCUAUGAGCAUGGGUUUCGAGAGAGCAUGGUGGUGCGAAAAUGUUCGUGCGUUUACAGUCCCUAUGUUUUUAGUCAUAAUUUAUUUAGAUAUAGACAAAGACCCCUAAUGUUUAAAAAAUAGACACACAAAUGGCCCUUUUGAUUAUUUCACUCUUUGGUUCUAUUUAUCCAACGAAAAUUAAUUUCAAUCUAUUGUUCUAUAAUAAAUAUAAAUAUAGUAUUUAAAUCAGUGUAAUAAAUAAAUACAUUUUACAAUACAUAAACGUUAUUUGAGUUCUUUGCAAGAAUUAGCUAACCACUAUGCGGAGUUUGUUUAAGAAAAAUAUUGAAGAAGAGACAGCAUAAUUAAGCAUAUAGUAGAUAUAUAGCUAGACAAAGUUAAUCGACGUUAACAAACUGAUACACAAUACUUUUUUUUAUUUAUUUUCUUAAACCUCGUUCACAAACAUGAUAUGUUUUUACUUUCAAUGGUACAACAAUUUCUUGGAAUUCUACAAAACAGACUCUCGUUGCAACAUCCUCCAACCAUUCUGAAAUUCUUGCACUACAUGAAACAAGUCGAGAAUGCAUAUGGUUGCGAUCUGUAAUCCAUCAUAUUCAAAGUAUCUGUAGAAUAUCUUCAAGUUUAGAUAUCCCAACAGUGAUAUAUGAAGAUAAUGUUGCAUGUAUAGCUCAACUCAGAGGAGGAUACAUCAAAGAGGACAGAAUAAAACAUAUUUCGCCGAAAUUCUUCUACACUCAUGAGCUCCAUCAGAACAAGAAGAUUGAUAUCAAACAGAUACGCUCCACGGAAAAUUUAGUUGAUAUGUUUACAAAAGCUCUACCUACAUCUACAUUUGAAAAAAUCAUAUAUGGCAUCGGCAUGCGUCGUUUUAACAAACUGAUAAAUUAAUGCAUGUUGCCUUUAGGAAGAGCACUCAACAAGAGGAGCGUGAUCUUACAAGAGAAGAAUCAUAGUAAUAUUGGACACAUAUGUACCAUACUCUUUUUUCUUUUUGACCAAGUUUUCCCACUGGGUUUUUACUGGCAAAGGUUUUUAAUGAGGCAGUAUCCAAUGUCAUCAGGGGGAGCACAUCUAAUAAAUAAUUGGUGAAUUCAAGGGGGAGUGUUGUAAAUCAUGGUGGAUUCCACCAAAAUAAUGCCCUCCCACCAAAAUAAUGCUCUCACAUUAUCAUCUUAUUGCUCUUCCCAUUAUCCUUUUUUAUAAUUAAUAAUUAUUAAUAACUCCACCUUGUAAUGCCUAUAUAAACCCUUUCUUUGUUCAUGAAUGAAGACAAUUUCAAUUCCUCCCUCAAGGCAUUUUACUUGUUUUCUUCAAUCUUUAUUUGAGUAUUCCUUACUUACAUAUUCCCAAUUAAAUAAUUACUUACAUACAAUCCCUUUAAAUUAUAACAUCCAUUAUCUCCAAAUUUAUAAUAAAAACUUUAUUUUUAGUGGAAAAGAACAAUAUAUUUAAAUUGGUCUCGGAGAAUGGUUGGUGAAUGAGGCCAAAUUAAAUUUGCGCGAAAAAUCCAAAAGCAUGUGAGACUUGCUCAAUUAUUGUAUUAUGUGUCCUACGCUAUAAUUAAAGCAAAUGAAAUCCGUGACAAUAUAUAUGUAAUCAAGUACUCUACAACCUUAAAAAUCUAAAAUUUAAACUUUUGUUAAUAAAAGUAAAAUAAUUUAUUUAGUCUCUAAAAACUCAACUCAAAAUACGAUCUAACAAUACCAAAAUUUUUGGAAAGCUCUUUAAAAACGAAAUAAAUAUUUUUAAGCAUUAGAUAAGCUAUAUCAAACAUGCAUUUAUUACAUGUAUAGAUGGAUUAUAAUUUAAUAUCAACUCCCAUAAUUAUUAGGGUUAAAUCUUCUCUUAUACUAGGAACAUUACCCACCCCUUGGUGACUUGGAACUCAUAUCCUAAAUGUUGAGGGCAUGCGUUCUCACCUAUACCCUUAGAGGGAAGUCACCAUAAAUAUCUGUUUGCGGAAGAGCAAUAUUCACCAUACAAAGCCUCUAGUUGGAUAAGCCCUGUCCUUUUUAAGUUUUUCGUUUUUUUGAUUACCCACACACACACACAAAUCAUAAUUGAAGCGCCAUAGAUAUAAUUAGAAGAACUUGCAACGAGAAGCUGCUGGCAUCUCCCAAACAAGCUUGAAAAAUUAGUCAGUCAGUAAGAGUUGAAAAAAGAAAAAAAGAAAAAAAGCAUGGCAAAUAACAAUGUGAUGGGAUUGGGAGGUAGUGUCUUAGCAGCGAUCUUAGUUAUGAUGAUACUCUUCUUCACCGCGGAUCAAUCUUGUGCGGCAGGCAACGGCACCAACAUUACUAAUUUCCAUAUUGAUCCUGAUGUGUUGUUUUCUAAUGAUGAUCCGGAAAUAGAAUUGGCUGCUGCUCCGCCUGCAAAAAAGGCAGUGGAUCCCUCCAGUCAACCAUUCGGUUGCGGAAGAGGUCGAAACUAUCGCUCUUGUACCCCUCCUUCCAAUGGCUCCAAAAAGGGUGAACAUUGCAAACAAUAUAAAAUGAAAUCUUAACCAUUCAAUUUUUUUUCUAGAAAUUAAUUUUAUAAUUAGAUUAUUGAAAGCUAAAGAAAAAUUAGGAGGGGGAAAACUAGUUGGGAAUCCAAAUCCUAUUCUUAUUAAUUAAUUAUAAGCUCUAUUUUUUUGAAUCAAGUCCAAAAUUUUCCUUGUUUUUUUUUUUCUUUUUAAAUACGCAAAACUAAAAAACAGGGCAUGCACUCUGUUUAUAUAUCUAUGAAAUCGUUGUUCAUUAGGCAAAUUUAUUCGUCUAAGUUCAGAGAAUUUCAUGAUUUGUCACUGACUGCACCCAAUAAAAAGAAAAAGAAUCAAAAGGACAUCUUUUAUGUGUAAAUACACAUCAAAUCUCUUUUAUUAAUCAAAUUUUUUUUGACUAUUAAUAAAAUAGGCUACAUAGCAUAUUCUAUUUUUUCUCCCUCAGUUAAAAUACUAAUAUAUUACCAAAUUAAGAAAGUUGGAUCUCCAGUGGUCGUCCGUGCAAUCUUUGGCUUGGCGGCACUGGAUUUUAUCAGUGCUGCUUUGUUAAAAUUUCCCGUGAAGGACGUAUAAAUUGCUGCCAUGGUGAUCUUUGCAAAGGAAGUGACCAUUGCUGUGUUGGGUAUAAAGUGCAAGGGAUAUGAAUGUGAACGGAGAUCGUUUUCAUUUUUGUUUAUCGUUUUUGCUUUUUCAAGGUUGGUAAAUGGAGAGUAAAGAAACAGCAGAUCACCAAGGAGGAUUCACUAACAUUGGCGAAUUUAGGCUUAGGCAAUUAAGUUGUAUUAAAUAUUGAAUAUAGAAAAUUUUGUUGGGCAUCGGUCGGACGAAUGAAAAAUCAUUUGUUCUUGAACAUCUUUUCGUAGUUUCAAAUAGAAGUGAGAGAGCGUUGACGCUAAAAGGACCGGCAGACUUAAACAUUUUUCCAUGAGAAUUACGUGUUAUGUGGAACUAAUUUUAAUUUACUUCCGUCAUCUUCUUGUUACAGUGUUAGCUCUUUGUUCAUGAAUCGAUUAAUAAGUGCAUUUUUUUCACUCAAAAGUUUUCAUCUUAUUAGCUUGGAUCAUCUUUUUCCUUUUCUUUUUUCUCCUUGUCGUCUUCUAUCUAUUACCUACUCUCUCACCUCUAGGAUGAGCAAUAAUACUAUCUGAAAAUUCAUUCAUUUUGUUGGUGUUUGAUUUCCGACAAGCGGAUUUCUCACCCCACAACUUUUUUGGGCCUGAUGGGUCCAUCUCAUUGGGUGGCCCAAGCUCAAGUUUCACUAAUUUGAAAAUUUAAAUAAUUAAAGAAAAUUAGUGGGGCUAAGUGACAUUAGUCAAUAGAAAUCAUUAGAUAAAGAAGAGCAAAAGUAAGGGACUGGUAGGGAUAGCAACAGGCACCGUUUAUAAUAGGUUUGUUAUUACCAAAUUCAUAUUCAUAUAAAAUUUAAAUUAUCAAACCGAACCUGUAAUUUAUUGCAGGUUCUAAUUUUUUUUAAAAAAUCCACUUACUGCGAGUUUUGACAAUUAUCAAACCUACAAUGGUAUCUAGUGAAUUUUUUUUUGUAGGUUUUCACAUUUAAAUUUUAAAAUCACAAAUAUUCGAUAUGAAAAUUUAUAAUAAUAACUUAAAAUUCUAUAUAAUAUACUCAAUUCUAAAUUUAACCAAUAUAAAUGAAAAAUUAAAACUUCAACAUCAAUCCAACACAAAUUCUCAAUUUUAAGUAUGAAACACACAAAUCAAUUAAAAAAAACCACAAAUCAGUAUCUAAAUAUAACAAUUAUCAUUUUAUAUUAUCAUUCUACACAUGCUGCUAGAGAAGUUCUUCAUUUAAUUCACCACCAUUAGCACCCAUCCAACAUGAUUCCUAUAAUAAUGAUUAAAAUUAAUAUUUUCUAAAGAAUAAUAUGUUUUAGAUACUAAUAUGAAAAACAAAAUUGUUAUAAUGAAAUAAUCUAUUCAUCGAAUUGAAGAAUAAUAGCUCAUUCAAAAUUAUAAUAAGUAGAAUUUAAAUAUGUAUAUAAUAAUUCAUGCAUUAAGUUAAAGACAAUUCAAUCAAAAUUACAAUAAGUAUAAUUUUAGAUUUAAAUAUGUUUCUAUUAAAAUUAAAUUAAAAAAUAAUUAAAAAAGUUGAGGGUUGGUGAAUAUCCAUACGGGUAUUUGUCGGAUAUUUGACUAAUGCCAAACCCACCCACAACCUAGUGCGGGUUUCAAUUUAUAAUACCAAACCGGCCCGCAACUCACAAAAUUACCCACAACAGGUGGGUUUUGGCGGGCAAGUUUAGGCGGAUUUGUGGGUACCAUUGCCAUCCCUAGCGGCAACCCUAGUUAGAAAACUAAAAAGGAAGAGAGGGGGAGAGAGAGAAAAGAGACAAUGGGGUGAGCUUGGACUGGGGGUAAGGGUUUCAAUUUUUGAUUGGACAAUCGGAAGAUGAUUUUAACUCUGUUUUCUCCCAAAUUUGAAAGGUAAGUUUCUGGCAUCACCUUCUAUAAUCUUACUGGUUUUGAUUUUUAUUUUAUCCUCUCGUUAGUUAUUAUUUGAGAUACCCACUUGUUAGAGAGACAGUUAAUAGGCUGUUAUGUUAACCAAGAUUAUUGAGAUUCUUGAUGUCAUUAAUCUCUAGUGUUAUUUAGAUAAGAAUUUUAUGCUGUAAUCUCAUCAAUAUAGUGAAAUAUUAUAUCAGACUGCAAUCCUAUGGUUUUUCCCGCUUUGAGUUUUCCACGUAAAAAUUUAUGUUUCUUAUGAUUGAUUUAUUACUUCAAAUUUUGUUGCUUUAUUUUUUUUACUUAUUUAUUUUUCAUACACACCUUAUUUUAAUCACACACAAAAGUAAAAAGUUUAUUUCUGAUUAAUUUGCAAUUAUUUGUGUGUUUCUCUUUCCGCCGAAUGAAAAAUGAUAUGGUAUUGACUACCCUAUCUAACUGGUUGUGUUUUAAGAAAUCGCAUUUGCUCAUGAUUGGACUUAACAAAACAAUAUGCAGGGCGCUUGUAUUAACCCUGCUGUGUUUUUUCACAGUAUCCGUUUCUAUUCUUUAUAAGCUUUUAUGUCAAAUUACACAUGCAAAAUACAUAAUAAGAAUCUUUUUUUCCCAUAUGUAUGCAUUUUGGAGCAGACCCGUUAGAGUCCAUCUCUAAAAUCGAAAUGGGGUGUGGAAAGUGUAUACAAGUAUUUGCCCAUAGCACAGCUACAGAAACGGCGCAGCCACAUUCUAUCAUUUUUGUACCCCCUUCUCAAACUGUUUGAUAAUAAUUUUUUUAUAUCACUCUUUAUUUCACCAUACUCUAUUUUAAUUAAUUCGAUUUAUUUCUCAAAUUACUUCUAUUAAAACUAUUUUAUCUCUAUUGUCUCUUACUUGCUUUUCUUAACAUAUUUGAACACUAGUGGUGUGUUUAUUUACUAACAAUUAAAGUGAGAAUUUUUUAAUCAGAAUCAAUGACGCGUUUACUUACAAAAUUUAAGGCUUAAAAUCGGAAUCGAAAUAGUAUCGAACCCACAAAUUUGAGAAUCACUACCAUAAUUCUAAUUCCCAAGCGAGGAGUUUGGAAUCAGAAUUUGAUUUCUAUAAAUACCCUUUUUACUCAUUAAAUUUUCAUAAUCUAUAAAUUGCUCCCAGUUCUAUUAUUUUUUCUUUUUGGUUCCCAUGAUUUAUCAAAAAACUCAAAAUUUUAAAUUAUUUACAAAUAGGCCCUUUAUUGUUUAUAAUAAUAAUAAUAAAUAAUAAUAAUAAGAAGAAGAAGAAGAAUUGCUUGGUAAAGAUAUCAAAUUUUCAUAAUCACAAGAUUAACGGCUGUAAAUGGUUCAACUGCGUGUGUAAAUAAACGCAUGUGGGAGUAUGAAUCAAUGGGUCCACGAACUAAACAAGAAGACCACAAGCACAGUAAGUCCCAUGAAUUUCUUUAUAAAAAUAAAAUACUGUGUCCCGUUAUACAUAUUACUAAUUUUUCUUUUAUCUCUUCAUUUUAAACAGCUUUCUCGUUUUAGUUAUCACAAUUAAACUCUUCUUUAGCACUUAAUAGAAGUACUUCUAUGAGUAUGGAUUUAGAGAGAGAGUGCGGCGGUAUUAACAGGUGGCAUAUUGUAAUAGGCUAAGAGCAAUAUCUGUAUAAAUAUUCUGAGUUCAUUCAUUAACUAAUAAGAUUCUUCUAGAUCCAUAAUCAAUUUUUUCUCUCGUUUUCUCUUUAACCAAACAAGUCCUUCAAAUCUAAUAUCGUACAAUAAGUUGGCAGGUUUAAGUGCCAUGACUAAAUUACUGCAUGUGCGAAGAGCGGCCCGAAAAGUAAAUAACUGUAGAUAAUAAGAAGACGAACUGACGAUCAAAGCAAUAAUACCAACCAGGCAAUAAUGCAUGCUGAGGAUAAGAUAACAUGUCUACGGCUGAAGUUUGAUUGUGAGAUUAUGGGCUAUAUAUAUACAGUGGCGGACCCAGAAACUAAAAUGAGGGAGGGCUUAGUUCAAAAAAUUUUAUUUAAUUUAAAUUUUUUUAAUAUUCACUCGAAUAUAUUUUAAGUCUUAUAAACUUAAAUUUUAUUACUUUUUUUUAAUUCUAAAUAAUAAUAGUAAUAAAUUAUUAUUUUUAAAUGCGUGAAAAUAUCAUUUUUUGAAGUAGUAUUUUAAAUGCGUGAAAAUAUUAUUUUUCGAAGUAGUUUCCACAAAAUAUUUAAAAAAAGAAAAUAAUGUGGCUAAUGGGAUUUGAACUAAGGUUUCAAAAUCAUUAAAUAACACUCUUAUCAUUGAAUCACAAAUCUUUUAAUAUAUAAACAAUGUGUCCAAAUGUUUUUAUCUAACUUUUUUAGAAGGGUCUUGGAGUACAUUUAAAAAAAAAAUUAAUGGUCCGGGGGGGCUGAAGCCCCUCCUGGGCCUUAAUUGGGUCCGCCCAUAAUAUAUAUAUAUUUCAAUUGAUGGGUCCACGAAAUCAAUAAUUGUUCAUAAUAAGUUAAGCAAAGUAAAUAUUCUUUCCGUGUCAUCUGGUAAAAUGUGUUCCCAUGGACAAAACUAAUGACUGAGAGUAAUUUGGUAGUAAUUAUGGGGGGAUAAGGAUAAUUACACUCGGUGGUUAAAACAUAAUCACAUAGAUGGCCCUUUUCACUGUUUUACUCUGACUCUAUUUAUCCAACAAAGAAUAGUACAUUUCAAUCCAAUAUUUUAUAACAAAUAAAAGUAUAAUAUUUAAAUCAAUGCCACAAAAAAAAAAAGCAUUUUAAGUUAAAUUUAAUAUAAAUAAUCUGUUAAACAUAUUUAUGCAAAUUCCUAUCCUAUUAGAGAUUCGUGAUACCCAAAAGCAAAAAAAAUAUAUUGAAAAAAGGGUUGGGGAUAUUUACACUCUAAUAUAUAUUUUAGACUUUUAUACUACUAAAAUACUAUUUAGGACAUUAAUAUAUUUUAAGAAAGCACUCCUAAAACUCACUAUUAUAGAAGAAUUAAAUCUCAAUUUUUUUUGCCAUUAUCAUUUAACUUAGGGCCCGUUUCAAAAGUGAUUUUAAAAAGUUAAAGCUAAUUUUGAUGUUUGAACAUUUAAUCGAUUCUCUUCACAGCUGAUUAUUUUUAUAGUACAGAUAAUAAUAAUUAUUUUAAAAACUAUAACAUUAAUGAAGUGGGCCUUAAUCCAUUGUAAAAAACAAAAUACUUAGUUCUACAUGAUCAAGUCAUCAAGAGGCUGCACACUCUUUACUUCAAUGUGACAAAAUAAUGAAAAAAAAAACCUGAAUAAAUGAAGUUUGAUAGGGGAAGAUCAAAUUUCAAUACGAUUAACAAAUUGCAACAUUUAUAUAGAGGGACAUCAAAUGCAAAGUUAAGUUGAGUCAAUCGAUUAUAGCAUUCUUGGGCAUUAUAUAUGAGUUAUGACAUAGAGAAUGAUGAGAUGAGAUAUUUUUUUGGGUGUAAAAUGAAAUCAAUAAUUAUUCGUGCGAGUUUAAUAAAAGACUAGUUUUGUGUUGGAAAGAGUGUGCGAGUAAAAAUUAUUUUUAAAAUUUUUUCAAUGAGUGUGCAGAGUAAUAAAGUAUUCAAAAUAAAUUUUAAAUAACAAAUAUUCCACCCUUAAAAAGCUAAGGUUAUGUAUGUGGUGCUUUACACGUUCAUUACACAUUUUAGUGAGAUCAUUCAAUCUUCAAUGAAAUCAUACUUGUUAAUCACUGUCAUGAUUGGUUAAUUCAAAAUUGAAUAUAUUUAUGGAAAGAUUUUAUUACUUUUACAAUUACACAAAUGAUGUGGUGGACAUCCUCCAUUUUGCCCACCAUACAGCCAGUGGAAUAUGAGCCUCCCUUCUUUAGUGCCGCCUAUAACGAUGAAAGCUUACAAUCGAUGGACGAAAUAUCCUUAUCAAACGGAUGUAAGAUAUUUUGUUUGGUUAAAUUAAAAUAUGGUGAUGAGUUAAUACUUACAAGAAUGAUUGAGGAAUCAAACCCGACAAAAGAUUAAUAAAAAUAUAUCCAAAACGAUGUCAUUUUGAUUAUGUUUUUGUCAGACUUUAGUUUAAAUGUCAGCACUCCAGUACUUAAUUAAUAUUUUUGUUUCAAAAAUUUAAUUAAUCUCUAUUUCUUUUUAAUUUUAUUUUAUGGUGAUCAUUUAUAGAUAUAAAAAUAGGCGUUAUAUUUGUGAAGAGAAAAAUGGCAAUAUUAAUAUCAGUACAUCUACGAAAAAGAAAACAAUUAGCAGGGUGAUUAACUAGUUAAGCUCCUUGUUAUCUUACAACAGAAAAUUAAUCAUCAUAUGGUGUUAUUUUUUCUUUUUAAUUAAUAGCUUAUUAUUUGUGGAUUAAUAUAAUAUUAUUGUGUUUUAUUUUCAGGAAAAUGAGAAGCUCUCAUGGCUGUGCUCUUCGGCUCUUUCCUCUGGGCCCUCUUCUGGGCUCGCGCGAGGUGGAGGCCCGUCAUUCUAUACAAAUGACCGAUUCUUAAAUAAAAAGAAAUAAAUGUUUUAGUUCAGCUUUUAACCUUUUUUACUGCUUGUCAAACUUAUUAGGGCCUCCUUUUUUAGAUAGAAUUAAUUUCUCCUUCUUUUUCUGAAGUUUGUCAUUUUUUUUUGGUUGUUGAAUGUAAAUAAACAUACACUUAUUAUUAAAAAACAAACAACUUUAUUUUUGAAGCAGUGCUAUGGAGUAAUAUGAAAUAUUUAACUUGUUUCAUUAUUUUGGUGAUGAGUGUAGGGUCCAUCUCACUUCGGUGGACUAAAAAGCCCAAAGUCCAAAAUAAUUUACUUGAUGUGUAAUUGUUGUAAAAUUUUAGACUUUGAUGAAAUUAAUCAUAAAAUAUAUGAAGGAAAUAAUUGAAGAAUUGCGAGAGCUGCAAACAUUUCACAAAUUGGGAAGACACUGCGAGAGAGAAAAAUGUAUUUUUUGGGUUCAAUCUUUAAUUAAACGAUCAGAAGGUGAUUUUAACUCCGAUUUCUUCCAAAUUUGGAGGGUAAGUUCUUGAAAUUGCCCUCUACAUUUCUAUUAGUGUUGAUUUGUAUUUUAUUCUCUCGGUAAUUGUUAUUUGAGAUAGAGAUAUUAUCAUUUUACUACCAAAGUUUUACUGACAUAUCACGUCAGUACCAAGGUUUUCCGAAAAGUGCAUUUUACUACCAAAAUUUUGCGUCGUUAUCAAUUCACUACCGUUCCGUUAACAACGUUAAAAAUGUACUGAUGUCAUAAGGGCAUCAAAGACAUUUCCAGUUGUAAGAGUAAAAUUGUCUGUUAAUUUGAUAGAUAAAUUAUCAUUUUACUACUAAGUUUUAGGGGAAUUAUCAUUUUACUAUCAAAUUUUUAAGGGAAUUACCAUUUUACUACCAAACUUUUGGGGGUAAAAUUGACUUUUAACUCAAUUUCCGUUAAAUAUUAACUUUUUCUUAACGGAAUGGUAGUGAAUUGAUAACGGCGCAAAACUUUGGUAGUAAAAUACACUUUUCGGCAAACCUUGGUACUGACAUGAUAUGUCAGUAAAACUUUGGUAGUAAAAUGAUAAUUUCCCUUUGAGAUACUCAAUUAUUGGAGAAAUAGAUUUUAGAUCUAUUAUUGUAAGACAAGAUUGUUGAGAAUCUUGAUGUUGUUAGUCUCGAGUGUUAUCUGGAGAAAAAUUCAUGCUGUAAUCCUAUUAAUAUAGUGGAAGUUUAUAUUGGACUACGGUCCCGUGGUUUUUUCUGAUUUAGGUUUUCCACAUAAAAAUCGGUGUCUCUUGUGGUUGAUUUAUUGCUUUGGAUUUAUUGGUUUAUUUUUCUACUUUAUUUGUUUGUGGUGCACAUCCUAUUUUAAUCACAUAAAAAGGGCAAAAGUUUUGUUUCUGCUUAAUUUACAGCUGCUCUUGUAAGUCACUUUCCCAAUAGAGUGGUAUCAAAGUGAGGUUGUGCUGUUUUUAUUACUUGUGUGGUUGAGAUGGAGUAGUCUUCGGUGUUCAUGAUUAAAUUAAAGUCAUGGAAUUAUAGUAUUUGGAAGUCUAGAAUGGAAGAUCUGCUCUACAUGAAAGACUUACAUGAACCUAUUAAAGGCGACGAAGCUAAACCCGCUGAUUUAAAUGAUAAGAAAUGGACUCAAUUGAACCAGAAGACCAUAGGUACUAUUAGGUCAUGGAUUGAUCAGAGUGUGUACCAUCAUGUCGUGAAGAAAUCCAAGACUGAUGUUCUUUGGAGAAAACUAGAAACAAUUUAUGAGCAACCGACAGCACAAAAUAGAGUCAAUCUGAUGAAAAGACUUGUUAACUUGAAAUAUAAGGAGGACCGCAGUAUAACUGAAUGCACUAGUGAGUUUCAGGGUUUGGUUAAUCAGUUGACUACUAUGAAGAUAAUUCUAGAUGAUGAGUUAUAAGCACUGUUGUUGCUUAGUUAUUUGCCUGAUAAUUGGGAGACAUUAGUGGUGUCAGUCAAUAAUUUAGAGCCGAAGGGCAAAUUAACCUUGGAUAUGACUACAGAUAAACUGUGGAAUGAAGAAUCUCGAAGAAAGAAUGCUGAAGUAGUUCCCUUUGAGUUAGCUGCACUUGUUUCAGAAAACCAAGAAAGAUGAGAAGAAGUUAAAGUAGAAAUUUUCGUCAACAGAAUAACAAUAACCUAGAGGGAGAUCUAAGUCCCAGAGGAGAAGUAUCAAGUGCUUUCAUUGUCGGAAAAUGGGCCAUGUAAAAAUAAAGUGUAGAUUGUGGAAAAGAGAACAGGCAAAAGAAAAAGGCGAUGGUUAGAAAAAUGACAAAGAGAAUACUGCAGUUGUAGUUGAUGGUGAUAUGAGUAUUGUUUAUAAUGAUAGUUCUAUAAAUCUCACUUGCCAUACAAGUGAUUGGGUAAUUGAUUCGGGUGCUUCAUUUCAUGUUAUUGCACAUCGUGAUUACUUCAAAUCCUAUGUUAAUGGUGGUUAUGGUCAUGUUCAGAUGGGAAAUGAUGGAGCAUCCAAGAUUGUGGGCAUUAAAGAUAUUUGCUUAAAAACCAAUGUUGGCUGUAAGCUACUUCUUAAAGAUGUCAGACAUAUACUAGAUAUUCGCCUUAAUUUGAUCUUUACAGGAAAACUUGAUGAUGAUAAUUAUAUUAACCAAUUUGGUGAAGCAAAAUAGAAGCUCAACCAAGGCUGUCUAGUGUUGGCUAAAGGAAAGAAAAUGAACACUUUGUAUGUAAUAGAAGCCAAGAUCAAGAAAGAAGAUGUGAACGUGGCUGUGAAAAAAUCUAACAUUAAGAUAUGACAUAAAAGGCUUGGUCACAUUAGUGCGAAAGGGUUAGAAACUCUUGCCAGAAAAGAAUUUCUACCAAGUUUUGCAGAUACAUUCUUCAAUACUUGUGUUUAUUGUUUAGCUGGAAAGACACACAAAGUAACUUUUAAAAGUUUUUCUCCAUCUAGAAAGUCACAAAUUCUUGAUUUGAUUCAUACUGAUGUUUGUAUAAUGCAAAAUAGAUUAGUAGGAGGUACACUUUACUUUGUGACUUUUAUUGAUGAAUGUCUUAGAAAAGUGUGGGCUUUUGCUUUGAAAUCUAAAGAUCAAGUGCUUGAUAUAUUUAAGUUCUUCCAUACUUAUGUUGAGAGAGGGACAAGAAGAAAAUUAAAAUAUGUCAAAGUAGAUAAUUGUGGUAACUACAGAGGACCAUUUAAGUAGUAUUGCAGAUCCCAUGAAAUUAAAUUUGAGAAUAUUGUACCAAAAACCCAUUAGCAAAAUGGUGUUGCAAAAAUGAUGAAUAUAACAAUUGAAGAAAAUAUUAGGUGUAUGCUUUCUAAUGUCAAACUUUCUAAAUCAUUAUGGGCAAAGGCUAUACGUACUGUAGUUGAUUUGAUUAACCUUUCUCCUUCAGCUCCAUUAGAUAGUGAUAUACCUGAAAGAGUUUGGAUUGGGAAAUAUGCUUCUUAUAAACAUUUGAGAGUGUUUGGGUACAAAGCAUAUGUUCACAUCCCUAAAAAUGAGAGAUCGAAGCUUGAUAAUAAAUCCAAGGAAUACAUUUUUUUAGGCUAUUAACAUGAAGAAUUUGGGUACAGAUUAUGAGAUUCAGUAGCAAGAAAAUUGAUCAGAAGUAGAGAUGUUUUGUUCCUUAAAAAUCAUAUAGUUGGUGAUAUAGAGAAUAAUGAUGAGUCUCAAUCAUCUCCCGAGAUUCUUAUUAUUCUAACUUCAGUUUCUCCACUUGUUGUUCAUGAUGAUCAUGAGGGAGUUGGAAAGGAUAAUAAUGAUGGUUUAGCAGAACCAAUUGAGCAAGCACCUCCAGAACCACCAGCACUACCAGUUGAGUGAUAAUUGAGAAGAUCCACUAGAGAACGACGACUUUUCACUCAAUAUCCUCUAAAUGAAUAUGUGAUGCUUACAAAUGGAGGGAAACCAGAAUGUUUUGAAGAAUUCAUGUCUCACCAGCAUAAAAAUGAGUGGAUGAAAGCUAUGCAAGAGGAGAUGAAAUCCUUGAGUGAGAACCACACUUAUAACUUAGUAAAGCUUCCUAAAGGAAAGAGGGAACUGAAGAACAAAUGGGUUUAUAAGUUGAAUAUUGAAAAUAACUCACAACAACGGAUAAGACUAGAUUCGUUAUGAAGGGUUUCGGUCAAAAGAAAUGUGUUGAUUUUGAAGAAAUAUUUUCUCCUGUAGUGAAUAUGUCUUCUAUCCAAAUUGUUCUGGGAUUAGCAGCUUGCUUGGAUUUAGAGAUUGAACAACUUGAUGUAAAUACAACUUUCUUGCACGGUGACUUAGAGGAGAAAAUAUACAUGGAGCAACAUGAAAGGUUCAAUGUCAAAGGCAAAAAAGAAAUUGUGUGCAAAUUGAAGAAAAACUUGUAUGGAUUGAAACAGGCACCAAGAUGGUGGUAUAAGAAGUUUGAUUCUUUUAUGGAGAAUCAUGAUUUCAAUAAGAUUAUGUCUUACCAUUGUGUUUUUGUGAAGAAGUUUGGUGAUAAUGAUUUUAUUAUUCUUUUGCUUUAUGUGGAUGACAUAUUGAUUGUUGGCAAAGAUGCUAGUAAGAUUGACAAUCUGAAGAGAGAGCUCAGCAAGUCUUUUGCAAUGAAGGACUUAGGAUCAACGAAACAAAUUCUCAGCAUGAACAUUUCCUGUGACAGAAAAAUAAAGAAGUUAUGGUUAUCUCAGGAAGCAUAUGUUGAAAAAGUUCUUGAAAGAUUUAACAUGGAUAAGUCAAAAUCUAUUUGUUCUCCACUUACAGGCCAUUUCAAGCUUAGUUCCGAACAUUGUCCUACAAGUGAGAAAGAGAAGCAAGAGAUGAGAAAAGUUCCUUAUGCUUUAGCAAUUGGUAGUUUGAUGUACGCCAUGGUUAUUACAAGACCAGAUAUUACUCAUGCAGUUGGUGUAGUCAGCCGAUUUCUCUUCAAUCCCAAUAAAGAACACUAGACAACAAUAAAAUGGAUUCUAAGAUAUCUAUUAGGCACUUCCAAAGCAUGUUUAUGUUUUGGUGGUGAUAAACCUGUGUUACAUGUGUACACAGAUGCAGAUAUGACAGGAGAUGUUGAUUCUAGAAAAUCUCUAUCAAGAUAUUUGCUCACUUUUACAGGGGGAACAGUCUCAUGGCAAUCUAGACUUCAGCAGUGUGUUGCUUUAUCUACCACAAAAGCAAAGUAUAUUGCAGUCACCGAAAGCUGCAAAGAAACCUUUUAGAUGAAGAUUUUUCUACAAAAGCUGGGUGUUAAACAAAACAGCUACGAUGUGUAUUGUGACAGUCAAAGUGCCGUCCACUUGGUAAAGAAUUCAACAUAUCAUUCGAAAUCGAAGUAUAGUGAUGUGAGAUAUCAUUGGAUAGAGACGUACUUGAGCAGAAACAGUUGCAGUUUGAGAAAAUUCACACAACGAAAAAUGAGUCAGAUGUGAUGACAAAAUCAUUACCUAAGGACAAGCUGGAAAGUUGUAAGCAUAUAGUAGGCUUAGUGGUGCCUCUUAGAUGAGAUGGAGGGGGAGAUUUGUAAGGUCCAUCUCACUUCAGUGGACCAAAAAGCCUAAAGUCUAAAAUAAUUUACUUGAUGUGUAAUUAUUACAAAAUAUUGGACUUGGAUGAAAUUAAUCAUGAAAGAAAUAUAUAUAGGAAAUAACUGAAGAAUUGCGAGAGUUGUAGCCAUUUCACGAACGGGGAAGACGCCGCAAGAGAGAAAGAGGUAUUUUUUGGGUUCAAUCUUUGAUUAAAUAAUCGGAAGGUGAUUUAACUUUGAUUUCUCUCAAAUUUGGAGGGUAAGUUCCUAACAUCACCCUCUACAUUUCUAUUAGUGUUGACUUGUAUUUUAUUCUCUCAGUGGCUGUAAUUUGAGAUACUCACUUAUUGGAGAAAUAGAUUUUAGAUUUAUUAUUGUAAGCCAAGAUUGUUGAGAAUUUUGAUGUUUUUAACCUCUAGUGUUAUCUGAAGAAGAAUUUGUGCUGUAAUCCCAUUAAUAUAGUGGAAGUUUAUAUCAGACUAUAGUCCUGUGGUUUUUCUUGAUUUAGGUUUUCCACAUAAAAAUCGGUGUCUCUUGUGAUUGAUUAAUUGCUUUGGAUUUAUUGGUUUAUUUUUCUACCUAUUUGUUUGUGAUGCACAUCCUAUUUUAAUCACAUAAAGAGGAAAAAAGUUUUGUUUCCGCUUAAUUUACAACUAGUCUUGUAAGUCUCUUUCCCAACAAUGAGACAUUUGUGGGGCCUUGGAGUAACAGAAGAAAGGAAAGGAUAUAUAUAUUUUGAAGGAAAGGAGUUGCGAAGGGAAAUAAAAUUGUGUGGUUUGAGAAAGUGUAUUAAAUGCCAAAUGGAAUGAAUUUAUUGAUUUAUUGAUUUAUAAUUGAUCAAAUAUCUUUAAUUUUAUUAAUCAACUAUUUUUUUCAGUGCAUUAAAUUAUUUGGUAUCUGAAAACCACAUUAAACCCCGACUAAUUAAUCAACUAUUUUUUAUUAUUAUAAUAGACUAUUAAAUAUACGUAGCACACUUCUAUUUUAUCGAUCCCUCAGCCAAAAUACUAUUAAUUACCGAACUAAUUUGUUAAAAUUUCCUGUAAAGGACGUAUAAAUUGCUGCCGUGGAGAUCUUUUCAAAGGAUGAGAACAUUGCUGUGUUGGAUAUAAAAUGCAAAGGAUAUGAAUGUAAAUGGAGAUUAUCGUUUAUCGUUUUUGCUUUUUCAAGGUUGGUAAAUGGAGAUAAAAGAAGCAGCAGAUCACCGAGGAGGAUUCACUAACAUUGGUGAUUUUAGGGGUUUCCUUGAGAUUACAUCUUUUGUAUUGUGUAGCAGAACCAUAAGCAGCAUUAGUCUCCUUAAUGAGCUGCUUGAAUUCAAUCAACGCUCGCCGCUGGAUGUAAUUGUAUUUUUCCAACUCUUUACAAUGAUCUUCUGUAGAAUAUAUUAAUUCUGUUUCACAGGCCUUGUUAAGAACGUCAAUGAAUGUCUCCAGCUUUGAUGUCUCCUCAGGAGUCUCUUUCACUAAAACUCCAUCAUGAGAAUAUUAAUUUAACCAGCGUUGUAUCAGAAAGUUUUAGUAUUGAGUUUAAUGUUUUUCUGUGCCUAGUUUGAUAAUCUUAUUUAGAGAAGAUUUCCUAUUUCCGUUUUGACACCGGUUUGAGGACAUACGAUUCCUAAUUCAAGUAGUAGUCUCCUGAGAAUUUUGAUAAUAGCAAACCGAAAGCCAGGGGAUAAAAGCAAGGAUGCGGCCCUUCAAAUUGGAUCAAAACUCUUUUGCAUUAAAUUUUCAUCUAUAAAGCCUUCAGAUUUUAAUUAUGUUUAAUUAUAACAUAAAAAAAUAUAAUUACAUCGAUAUUUUGUUAAAUAUGCUUAACCGAGUUAUUAUGGAUAAAGCAAUGCACCUCAUAGUAAAUAACCUAGAGAAAGUCCUAAGAACCAGCCCAACGGAGGAGAGGAUAGAUCAUAGAAGUUGGAUCUUGGGUAAGAGAAAAUUGAGGGAGGGAUAGGAAGUAAAAAGAACAACAUAUCUCUUCGUAAAUAUCAAGCCUACUUACAUCAAAUAAAAACAGGGGGCCUAUUUAUAAGCAAGUUACAAGUAUAGCCCUAAACAGCAAAUAAGAGGGAGGGAAAAACAACCAAGGUCCCCUAAUAAAAACAUGAACAAACUAGCAACAAGAUAACUCCUAAACCCUGUGAAAAAUUAAAGAAAUUGCAUCACAUUAGAAUCAAAAUAUUUGAACAAACCCUUACUCACACUUGAUUGACUUGUAUAUAUGUCGAACAAAGAGCAGUGAAGCACGGAAACCCACUGUGCCCAGCAUAAGGAAGAAGCCAUAACAGACGCAAGCCAUGUACCCAAAGAAAAAUGAGGUCUGCAUAAAACCUGACAUAUCUGAUCGUGCAUAGUAGUAGUACAAGCAGUAGGCAUAGAUGAAAACACCAGUAGAUCCACCACAAAGAAAAGACCUGUGAAAAAUUCAAGACCCAAAAUUAGUCCAAAAAGUAAACAUGAAGGUAGCAAUUGACAAUUGAUCCAAGUUAAAUUAAUUUGGAAAGCCAACCAACGACAUAAAUUUGUAAUGUAUUAAAUAUACACUUGUUUUAUACCCAAAAACACCUCAUUCUCUCAAACCAGUUCAUCAACUUCUACAGCUAUGGGCUAUUGUCAAACACUGGAACUUGAUAGCCCAGAAACUUGUGGGAUGUGGUAUGUCUCAACUAGACUGCCCAAACUGAUCCCUGAACACUUGGUUGAGAACCAAAUAUCUUAACCACUAAAAAUUAAUUAAUAUGCUAACGGUAUAACAUAAUAUACGUGGGUAAGUGAUCGUCUGUAUAUAAAGAGGAUAUAAAAGUGCAAACCUAAUAAAAAAUUGAGAUAGCAACCAAAAGAAGGCUUAAUUAUAGAGUCUGCAGGCAACAUUAAAUUCACGGCUAAUAGAAAGACACCUGGUGAUAGCUAUUUAUUCCACACAAAAGAAAUUUAAUUAUGUGAACAUCCAGCAGCUCAAGGCACACUAGCCUAUUUAUGUCAUAAUAAUCCCAAAAUGUUCCUCAGAAGUCUAACAUCCAGGAGAGACAAAAUGUAACCUUUUCAGACACUGCUGCCACCUAAGAUAUUCUAGAACAUGAGGUCUUAGAACUGAAUGUCACCCAUUCAUAGUAAAGAUAGCGUCUAGUUUACCUUCAAGGAAGGGAGGGAGAAAAGGUAAAACAGAAAGAUGUUCAAGUACAAAAAUAAUCGGAGUUUUUAAUAUUUUUGCCAAAAGUCUAUUUUUAAGCAGUAUAUGCAAUACAUAUUGCAUGGAAGCUUACUUAAUACGUUUUCAGCAUCAAGUAUCAACCUAAAAUGAUAAUAGCUAAAAUCCACACAACACAACAAAAUAUGUGUCCCUCCCAAAUACAAAUAGUUAACGAAUAAGACCAAUGUGGAAAACAAAACCAGACAAUAAGAACAAUAAGUCGCUAAUGUUUAAACCAUCAAAAAUUAAGAAGCUUAAGUGUGCCAAACAGCAAAAGCGGGCUGCGUAUAACCACUAAAGUUACAUCUAAACUUCAAUGAACAUACAGCAAUUAGAAAGCACCUUAUAUAGUAAGUAGUCUCAGUAUGGGUGAAUGAAUGAACCAGAAUAAAAUUCGGUAAUCUCCUGGGUGAACACAACAGUCUAAAACCCAAAACAAGUAAUAAGCUAAGCCAUAGAAGAAAGUAGAUGUGUCCCAAGGGGCAGUCUAGCUAACCACAAUCUUAUUCUUAUUGGAAUAUGAAUUUGCUCAAUGCUAUGCAGUGGGAUGAUAUUUUAUAAUAAACUCCAACUUUGGUGAAGUCAAAACAAAAUUGAUCUAACAUUCAAUCACCAAUUAUGAGACACCACAUUUUGAUUAAAAGAGGGAAAAGCUUGCCGAGAGAAAUAAACUACCUCAAGUUAUCAAACCAAAAACAGAAACAAACAUUCAAAAAGAGACCCCAAAAAAAAAAACUACAAGAAAUAACAAGUUCAAAAUUUCACAUUGUGAUUAUUAAAGAGAUGAAAAGGAAAAUAAAAAUCAAAAUAGACAAGAGAGUUUACAUACCUCCACCACCAUUCAUGAUCUUCAGCAGCAAGUUGGAAGUAAGUCAAAGCCACAGUUAUGAAAGCAGUAACAAUCAACAGAAUGAUAAAGACAAUAAAGAGAAUGCUAUAUAUUGUGUAAAUCCUGUGGCCCCAAACACUGGCAAAAAUAUAGUAAAGCUCAAUGUAGAUGGCACUAAAUGGCAGGAAACCUGCCAUUGCCAUCUGAGGAAUAGCACUCCUAUACCAAGGUAGUGGUGGGAUCUCUCGAGGGUACUUGGUCGUACGACAAGGAGCUUGGAACUCUGCCUUGCUGUUUUUACCAGCAAUACCUCCCAACACAAGUAGAGGUGAUGUGACUAAUGUCCAUAUGAGGACUAUCACCACAAUUGUGCCAAAUGGCAGUGCUGCUGUCGCAUUGUACGCAAUGGCAACGGUGUUCAGGAAGCAGAAUGUCAGAAACAGAGGACCACAGAAAAGGCAUCCAGUCAGCAACAGAUUCCUCACCUGUCAAACCAACAAUUUGAAAAUAAAUUAUUUCACAACAUCCAGUUUUUAGAAAGAUCAUGCCUAGAAGUUAUAAUAGCCCAAGACAUAGUUAAUUCAAGCAUACCCAGUUUGUUCCUUCUAGCUGACAGUAGAAAGAGGCAGCUGUAUAUCCCGCAAUCCCAGAAGUGAGUGCAUAUAUGACCACCAGUGCUGUAAAUAGAGCUCCUCGGUUGUAUGGAUAAAAUACACCCACUAGCGCAAGCAUAAAAAUAAAUACAGUGCUGGAAAUGAAUGCAAUUCAAUCAAAAAUCAAUGGUUGGCAUAAAAUGGCAUCAUAACAAACUGAAUGAAAUUUGAACAAACAACAGUGUAACAUCCUUACAGAGUAAACAACUGGCUGCCAGAACCAAGGGCUGCAGCAAACAAAGAUUUGUAUUUGGGGAACCGGAACACAUCACCAUGGAUGUACUUCCAUCCUGUCUCUUCCUGGUCAUCAGCAGCUUCCUCAUCUUGGGCAUACCUAUCAAUAAAUUAAACAUAUGUGGUAGAACACUUGAGGAAGAAAAGAUAUAUCAGUAGAUAAGCAAAUGAAGGUAAGAAAUUUAAAAUACAAAACUCACUUCACAAAAUCAUUCUUCAGAACUCGCAUGAGAAUCGUGGCAAGAAAACCAGUCAAAAGCAAAACCGUCACACAAGAAUUUAUAAUUGAAAACCAAUGAAUUUCCAAAUGAUGUGGCAACGAAGAAGAGAGUGAGUACUUCUCCAUCCUCUUCUCAAAAGGGGUGUCAGUUUCCUUCCAUUUCACACUGUACAUGAACUCCACAUCAACCUCCUUAUCCUCUGUCAAGUCCACCAAAGAAUGAGGAUCCAUUCGAGCACUGAUCUCAAUAACACGGUCUUUAUUAUAAAGAAUGUCAAACUGGAUAUGCUUGUAAAGGAAAUACUUAUAAUCGCUCGGAUGAGUCUUUCCUUCCUUGUCAACUUUACCAAUGAACCCCCAGAUGGGUAAGUCAUCAUAGUACAUUUGGAAAUAGAAGUCUUUUUCCACUGCACUUCGGAACUGAGCAACAUCUUGCUCGGACAACUUCUUUCUACACGCAAGAGCAGAGUCCUUCUCGUCUCUGAAGUUGAGUUUAUAAGGAGCACUAACAAGUCGGUCCCCAUUCAACACCUCACCAAGUGCUUCCCUUUUCUCUUUUAUUAUUGCAUCUGCCAUAAAAAAAUAAACCCGAAAAUCAUUCUAACACCUACAUAACGCAGUAUCGGAAUAAUUCCAUUGACCCUUCCCCGAGCUUUUACUAAUACACAAAAAUUAGAGCAAAAGGGGUAAGAGGAAGAACCUGGGGAGCAGAAUGGUAGAUCAAAAUAUCGAUAAGUUUCACUGAAAUCACAAAUUAUAAUAAACAAGAAUUAGAAUCAAAGCAUAGAAUUCUUGAGGGCGUGUUUGGCAGGAUUGAUGAUAAUCUACUGUAAACACCCGAAUGCAUGAAUCGCAUUUGCAUCCUUGGCAAAGAAGGAUCUCACGGAUCCAAUUCCAGAUCUUAAAACCAAAAGAAUAAAAAAUGAUAAGAGUUACCUGGGGUUGUGGAAAGGGCCAACCUUAUUGGCGUAUAGAGGGACAGGGUCACCGACCUUGAAGCGGUGAUCGGAAGAAUCAGAUCUCACAUGGGUCAAGCAACAGGCGAUCAGAACCCCGACAACAAGAAGUGUGAUAGGGGAAUCGCUCAUUGUUUGACUAAUUUUCUGAGAACGUGAAGACAAGUGCAAGUUUCAAGUGACAAUGAACCAGACACAGGCCUCUUAGAGGGAGCUGGAGGUCGUGCAGGUUAUAUAUAUAUCUAUUAAGCGAGGCCCCGGAGAUCUGAGUAAUUUUUUUUCUUCUUUUACUCUACUUUUCGUUUGACUUUCGAUGCUUCUUCUUAUCAGUUCGUCUUUUGGGGUAAAUAAAUUCAUCCCUUCAUUAAUGUUUGAUCCGGCUUGAUCUGGUUCGAUAGUUUAAGAACCGACUAGGUUUUUAUUUUUUUAAUUUUUUUAAUUCGGCUCGGUUUUGGACAAACUGACAGUACCCGCAUGCCCGCAUCUAAUUUGACCAUACAAUUUUGCGAGUCCAUGUGAUCUUAUUAUCAUGACAUUGACACCCCAAUUGUAGGGAGCUGGCUAAGUUACGGAUUCUGUAACUUACAGAUCCAGCUUUAGCCAACUCCCGUACACACCCAUUUGCUGGCUUUUCUCUCCCCUUAAGACAUGUGUACUCCUCUCAUUUGGUGCAUAUGUUACAUAUUCUUUUUUUUUUUUUUAUUACAUGAGACUAUUGCUCAGAUUACAACUCAUAUACAUGAGACUAUAACUGAUAUUUACAAAGCAGACUAGUACUGGGACCAACUUAUAUAAUUGCUGAUGGAGCUCUGCCCAGAUUUUUGACCCUCACAAAUAUUUGAGGGAUGUCUACUCCUCACUCAUGGGUAAGGGAGAAGACUACCUUCACUCAAAUUAAUUGAGGAAGAAAAUACCCCAACAAUACUUUUGUGGGAGUUCGAACUGCUGCCCUCCAAGUUGGAGGGCAGCAGCCCUGGCCACUCGGGCUGAGCCGAAUGGUUGUAUGUUACAGAUUCUGUAACAUAAGCAACCUCCCAAUUGUAGAUGGGUCGACAGAUCUACUCAACUUCAUAUUUAAAUUCAUAAUAAAAAUUUAAAUUUGUAGUUACUCCAUAUCCAUCCUGAAUUUAUAUUUUUCACUCUAUAUCCAUAUCUAUAUCCGAAAUUAAGCAUCUUUAUUUCGGAUCUAGAUAUGAAACGAUUAAAUAAAUAAGCCAUUAACUAAGCACUAAGGUUGUGUUUGUUUUUUUAUCUAAAAUAUGAAUAGGUCUGAAUGAAAAUAUCUUAAUGACAUGUUUGUUUUUUCUUUUUCAACAUUUGAAGAAAAAAAUUUAAAAUUUAGUAAUUUGACAUAAAUAUCCUUUUAAGUGAUUCAAUAUUUGUUCUUAACAAUUUAUAAUUUUCACAGGUUAAUUAGUUUGGUAGCAUUAAAAAAAACUAUCAUUAUUGAUCUUAAUUUAAUUUUGUAAUAAAAGAUGUAAUUACAAUAUCAACUCUUAUUAUAAAGUUAACACUAUUUUUUUUUUUUAUUCAUCAUAAUGGACAUAAUUUGAUUUAUUCAAUAUUUCAGUUUAGUUAAUGUUAUCAUGUGAAUAAAAUUUUAAAACAAUUAAAAAAAUAAUUUCAAGAAUAAUACAAAAAUAUUAGGUUUAUAUAUAAUAUUGGAAAUACAUGAAUUGUUAAGGGUAUUUUUGAGAUUUGAAAUUAAAAUUUUUCAUUUUCACUUCAGACUUCAGAUAAAAGUGAUUUUUUUUUUUUUACUUUUUCUAUUUAGAUAAAAUUGUCUGACAAUAAGUGAUAAGUUAAAAAAAACCUAAAAUAAAUAAAUAUCUAAAAAUAAAGUUAAAUUCAAAUUUCAGACUAAAAAAUAAGAAUAAUGAUAUAGCCACAAACUCUUGUACAAACUUAUUUUGUACAAACUGAUGUGGCAUGAUAAAAUUGGUUGAAUUAAAUAUCACUUGGCCCACAUGAUUUGUUUUUAUUAUUUUAUAUUUUCAUUCAACCAAUGAAUUAAUGCCACGUUAGUUUGUACAAAAUAAAUUUGUACAAGAGUUUGUGGCUGUAUCAUUACUCAAAAAAUAAACAUCACCUAAAUAUUGUAACUUCUACUUUUACACCAAAACAAACAAAUAAGAAAGAUAAUAAAAUAUUCAUCAAAAGUAAUUGUAGGAAUAAGAUCAUUGUAAUUUAGCAAGUAAAUGGGUUUUUGAUUUCGAUUCUCGUUGCAGAAAUGUAACCACACCAUUAAUGUGUUAGAUUCUUUGUAUGUUACUCAGUUUAUCCAAGGGCAGUAAAGUACGCAAACUAAUCUUUUUUGGGUUAUAGUUGAAAUAAAACAAUUCAUGGUGCCAAAGUCAUAAGCAUGACUUCAGGAUUUAAUAUAUCUCAAAGAACUGCAGUCAAACUGCGGAUACUUUACCUAAGUUUAAUUUGAACUUCAUUUUAGUAAUUCUUUUGUAUUAAUAGAAGAUUUCCCUCUGGAACUAUCUUGUUAUCUUUGAGUUUUUUGGAUCCUGAUUUUAUGAGAAUUUCUUUUUCCAAAAAAGGAAAAUGUUUAUGUGAAAUCUCAAAAUUGUGUAAUCUAUUAUUCGAGUUAUUGUAUUCAUUCAUCUUAACAUAAAUUCCAAUUUAAGAAAAAAAAGUAAAGAAAAAUAAACAACCCUACAAUACCAUUUGGGGUCUGGUACAAAAAAUCUGGCACUUCUUUAAGCUUGAGUUUAAGAAGUUUAUAGCAACUAAUAAAGAGUGAAGAUAAGAGCAUAGUUUAACAUGGAUAACGACUGUUACUGACGGGGGUGAGGAUAAGAGCACUAUCUAUUGCUGCAAGGCUUUGAUGUAGCUCUUAAGGAAAUUUUGAUGGCUAGUUAUGCCUUGUUUUGUUAUGAGAUAUUAUUACUUUUAAAAUACAAUUGUUGUGAAAAAAAUUAUAGUUAAAAAGUAAAGGUUUAUAAUAUGUGAAAAUAUGUUAAUAAUUUUAAUUAAAAAUAAAAAUAUUAUAAAUUUUUCAUCACACAAUUAUAAAAUCAAAUCAAUCUAACUUAUAAAUCACAAUAGUAAGUGUUUGCCUAAUUAUAAUUUAAAACUUAAAUUAUCCUAUCACACUAUCAAAUAGGGUCUAAAAAUACUUGAAAGAAAAUGAAUCGAAAGAUCGUACGGGCAAUUAUGGACCCAAAAGCAACUAAAUCCUUGGACAAUUUAUGCAAUUGCUCAAUGCCUCUCCUAAAAUUAAGGCUUCAUCAUACCUUUUCUACUUACAAAUUAUUUUAUAUUUAAUUUAUUAUUUAAAAUUGAAUUAUUAUAUUUGUAUCUCUUAAAAAUAAGGCCCCAUCUUUUGCUAUUUAUUUUUGUUUUCUAAAAAUAUAGAGGGAUAAAUAAAGUCCAAAUCAAUUUUUUUAUUCCCUACCAUCCUAGAAUUUGAACUUGGGUGGCCAAAGAAUUAGUUUAUAUUUAUUUUCUUGUUUAAAAACUUGAAUUUCAAUAUUUGCCUGUAGUUAACAAUUAAACUGGACUAAGAUUUAGUUAAGGAUUACUCUCUAUUUUGGAAGUGAAAUUUCCAUCACUAACCUCAAUUUUUGUUUCUUUCCUACUACAACACAUCCUCUUUAUUUUUUAUAAGGCAGAUCAGCAGCCCCUAAAAUAACACCUAUUUUUACACUUUUUUUGAGCUAUUAAAUAAACAUAAAUGAAUCGCUCCAAUUACAUUGAUCAAUUAGCUAAAAUUAUUAAUCUUACACAAUAAUUUCCAAGAUUUUUCUCUCUAGAUAUCCUCUUUCUUCAACACUUUUACUCUUUUCUUUCUCCUCACUCCAGUGUUACGUGAAAAUACUAUUAUCGAAAUAAUAAUUUGUUAGCCACGUUAAAAUUCUUAUAUAAUGUGAGCACUGAAAAAUGAUUUUGCAACAUUUUUUUAUGCUCAACCAAUAAUAUAUCAAGGAAUAAAGUUUUUGAAUUGCUUAGCUGUUAUAAUUCAAAGCAUGAUUGAUAGUAAUUUGAAUGAUCUAAAAUUGGUUGAAAUUUUGGGUUAUUUGAACAAGAGUAACAAUAGAGUUAAAACUCCUUUAUGAACUUAUUUUGUACAAUUUGAUGCGACAUAAUUCAAUUCGUUAGAUUAAAUAUCUCUUGACUCGCAUAAUUUAUUUUUUAUUAAUUUGUAUGAUCAUCCAAGUAAUAAAAUUAUACCACAUCAGUUUGUACAAAAUUAAUUUAUACAAGGUUUAAUAUCAUAGAGUUGCUAAUAUACCCUCAUUCUUUGUAAUCUCUCAAAAUUAAACAUAUUUGGACAUAAUCCCAAGAAAAAGCAAAUCUUAAAAGAUAAUAAUAGUUGUAAAAAAAAACCGUUAAGGAUUUUCUAUCUAAAAAACUUAAUCUUAAUACUUAUUUAUUACAAAAAUUCCCAUCAAUAUCAUUAAUUUUAAAUUAAAUAAAAAUGCCUACUUAAUUUAAUUGAGCCGGCGAGACAGAAAUUUCAUUUAGAUAGGACCACCAAAUGCAUUUAUUUUAUAAUGUUGGCAUAAUUUGAAGAAUAUAUAUAAAUACAUUCUUUUCUUAUUUAAAGCAAUCCUGUACAAAAGUUGUAUUGAUUUUGUGGACCGACAUGAUAACUGGUCGCAUUUUUUUCUCAUAUUCUUUCGUGUAUCGUUGUUGACCGACCGUCCAUGAAGUGACUCGUGAGUAGGAUCUCCACUUCCACUGCAAAAUUUCCUUCUACGUCUCUGAGCCUUUCAAAUUUCUUAUUUAAGCAUAUAUUUCGACUUUUCUCUAUGUCGGUCCUUUUCGAGUUUCGCCAGUUUCUGUGAAAGGUUUGUUAAUGAAAUCAGUAAAUUGAUAAAUGUACCACCAAAAACAGCUAAUUAUGUAAAUUUUAUGAUAUUAACUCCCCCAUUUUUCAAUAUCUUAAAAAAUUAAAAAAUAGAAGGCCAACAUUUUUACCCCUACAGGAUUUUAAUUUUACCUUUUUUUAUAUAACUUUCGUGAUAAAUCAUCAAAUAUUUGAGAUUAAAUUUUUUAAAAAAUUAUUAAUUAUUUGUAAUUGGGAUAAGAGGAGAUUUUCAAUAAAAGUUUUUACAAUAGGGAUAACUGGAUAUUGUAAAAAGUAUAAAUCAUAAGUCACCUAUAUCAACUUGAAAACUGUAAGGGAAGAAGUCAUUUUCCGAAAAUAAGAAUUUUAAUAGUAAUUUUAGCAAAAUAAAGAAUAAAACAGUAAGAUUAAAAAAAAGGAACUCUAAGAUUGAAACAAUUUUUCAUUAUGAAAAUCACCUAACCUUGUAAAUGCAAAAAAAAAAAAAAAAAUCUCUUCCAUUAUGAUUAUAAACUGCAUUAUCAUAAAAUCAGUGCAUAAAUAUGGUAAUUAAAAUGCUUUUGCUAAGAUCAAUUUUGAUUCUCGUGGAGGUCAUUAAGGCCCAAAGAAUGAACUAGAUAACAUAAAUCUAGCUUCUAUGUAAUUAACUAAUAUGCUUACUUAUGUUAUUUGAAGAAUCAUUUAAUAAUAAAUAGGUAAAAACCAACAACAUGGAAAGCUGACGAAACAAAAACGUAAACGAAACACAAGUUUAUGAAUAACAAACUUUUAUUGAAUAAAUCUCAAUUGAAAAAAUUAGGGUUUUCAACAUUUUAUAUAAUAACACUAAAUAUUAAGAAUUUACCAAAAUAUGUAAAUUUAAAAUAUUAUUUUAUAAUAAAAUUCUCCUAAUCUAAAUAAGAAAAGAAAAAUAAAUGGUGUUCAAAUUUGAAUUUUAGAAAAAAAAAAUUCCUAAGAGAAUCAAGAAAAAUAGAAAAAAAUCUUAAAACUGAGAACGACUAAGAAAGAAGCGGAAUUUCUAGCUCGACCACGCGGUAAAAUGGCACAACCAUUAUGGGUUUGGUUUGUUUGACCGCAAACUUCAAAAUGGUAUAUAAUACGCGAAAAACGAACACUUAUAACUUAAAUUAUGCCCUCAAAAAGAUACCCCGCUCACACUACACAACCAUCCUACAUCAAACAGUAGGGAUAUAUACAAGAAAAAGAGAAAACAUAAUACUUCAAGGGUCUGAAUGUAAAAAUUCUUAGUACUUGUUUUCCUGAUAUAAAUAAAGAGCAUUAGAAGAGUCAUCGUGUUGAAAGUAAAGCGCCCAGCGUGGAAUCAUUGUGGUAAUUUAGCUAGGCAAAUACUGGAUAGGAGGAAAAUGAGGACGGCCAUUCCAGAAGAACCCUUGGGCUCAACAGGGAAAUCGAUUCCUCUUGUAGGCUUUGGAACCGUUGAAUAUCCAUUGAAUGAAGCCUUUAAAGAACGCGUUCUGCAUGCAAUUAAGCUGGGGUAUAGACACUUUGAUACUGCUGCAGCUUACCCAUCCGAGCAACCUCUUGGCGAAGCAUUAGCCGAAGCUUUACGUCUUGGCCUCGUUCAAUCCGGCGACGAGCUUUUCAUCACCUCAAACCUCUGGCUCACCGACUCCUAUCGCGGCCGUGUCAUCCCGGGCCUACAAAAAACUCUCAAGUAAUUUUAGGACAGCCGUAACUUAAAAAUUAUAAUACUAGGUUCGAUAAGCGCUAGCUAUUAUGGUUUUAAAACUAAAUUAUGUGAUCCACUACUUCCAACUUCCAUGAUAAAAAAAUUAUAAUAUCAUUACUAUUUUUGUUAAAAUUAUUAUUUAAAAAUCAUAUUUACUAUAUAUUAUUAAUUUUUAUUUUAUAACUAUAACUUCUUCUUUUUCGUUAUUAUUGUAAUUUAAAAACUACAGUAUCUUAAUAUCAAACAAACUUUAAUCUAAUGAGCAUGCCUAACUUUUGUGACUUUCUUAAUAAAUUUUAUUUAUUUGUUCAUUUUUUUCCCUCUUUGUGUAGGACUCUUGGAUUGGAGUACCUUGAUCUCUAUCUAGUUCAUUUUCCGGUAAGCUUGAUUCUAGAGGCGACGUAUCCGGUGAAGCCGGAGGAUAUUCGUUCAUUUGACUAUGAGAGUGUUUGGGAGGAAAUGGAGAAAUGUCAAGAGCUAGGUCCUACAAAAAAAAAAGGAGUAAGUAACUUUACAUACAAGAAACUUGAGAGGUUACUUGCUACAAUGCUACUGCAAAAAUUCAUCCUGCUGUCAAUCAGGUGAGUGAAUGAAAUUAAAAUAUUGGGACGAAAUAUUGUUUUAUGCCUCUAUAUAUAAAAUGCAUUUUGUUUGGUAAGCUGGAGAUGAAUCCGAUUUGGCAGCAAAAGAAGCUGCGAGAGUAUUGUAAGGAGAAGGGAUUCAUUUUUCAGCUUUCUCACCAUUGGGAGCGGUAGGGACUAACUGGGGACACAAUCGAGUUAUGGAAAAUGAGGUGCUCAAACACAGUCUUUCCGUUAGCUUCUGCGAUCUGUUUGAUGAAGGUCAACAAGAAGGUCAACAAGAAGGUGUGCCUAGUGAAAUGGAAGAAUCAACUCCAUUACGAAGGUCAACAAGAACCCGAAGGCCAAAUCCCAAAUACGCUAAUGCAGCCAUAGUUGAAGAAGCAACUGGAAUAGAACCUGAGACGUUCGAAGAAGCGUCACAGAGUUCUGAGUGGAUGACAGCUAUGAAAGACGAGAUCACUGCACUUGAACAAAAUCAGAACUGGGAACUCGUGCCAAAGCCAAAAGAUGUGAAACCCAUAUCCUGCAGAUGGGUUUACAAAAUAAAGCACCGUCCAGAUGGGUCAAUCGAGAGGUACAAGGCUCGAUUGGUAGCUCGUGGUUUCUCUCAACAAUAUGGACUAGAUUAUGACGAAACGUUUAGUCCAGUGGCAAAACUUACAACCGUCCGAGUCUUACUUGCACUUGCAGCCAACAAAAGCUGGAACUUGUGGCAGAUGGACGUGAAGAAUGCCUUUCUCCAUGGAGAGCUGGAUAGAGAGAUCUACAUGAUUCAACCGAUGCGUUUUCAGAACCGAGGUCAUCUUGAGUAUGUGUGUAAACUGCGAAAGGCUCUCUACGGACUAAAACAAGCACCCAGGGCGUGGUAUGGCAAGAUUGCUGAAUUUCUAACUCAAAGUGGGUAUUCAGUAACAUCUGCAGACUCCAGCUUGUUUGCUAAAGCUAAUGGAGAAAGGAUAGCUAUUGUGCUCGUGUACGUAGAUGAUCUAAUCAUCACUGGAGAUGAUGUUGAAGAAAUUUUCCGAACAAAGGAGAACUUGUCAGUUCGUUUUCAAAUGAAAGAACUUGGACAACUUAAGCAUUUCCUUGGGCUAGAGGUUGAUCAGACGAAAGAAGGGAUAUUUCUUUGUCAACAGAAAUAUGCCAAAGAUUUGUUGAAGAAGUUUGGGAUGCUAGAAUGUAAGCCGAUCUCAACACCGAUGGAACCAAAUGCCAAGAUGUGUGCACAUGAAGGCAAAGACCUGGAAGAUGCAUCGAUGUAUCGACAAUUAGUGGGUAGUCUAAUCUACUUAACCUUGACUCGACCUGACAUUUCUUAUGCUGUUGGCGUGAUGAGUCGAUACAUGCAAAAUCCGAAGAAGUCUCAUUUAGAAGCGGUUCGGCGAGUACUCAGAUAUGUGAAGAGUACAAUAGACUAUGGUCUUCUAUACAAGAAAGGUGGAAAUUGCAAACUAGUUGGCUACUGUGAUGCUGACUAUGCAGGAGAUCACGAUACUCGCAGAUCAACUACUGGGUAUAUGUUUACCCUUGGAUCUGGAACGAUUUCUUGGUGUAGCAAGAGACAACCGACUGUGUCCAUGUCAACUACGGAAGCAGAGUAUCGAGCAGCAGCAAUGGCAGCUCAAGAAAGCACGUGGCUGAUACAACUAAUGAAUGAUCUACAUCAACCAAUAGAUUAUACAGUUCUGUUGUACUGUGAAAACCAAUCGGCAAUUCGGCUGGUGGAGAAUCCUGUUUUUCAUGCAAGAACUAAACAUGUGGAAGUGCAUUACCACUUUGUUAGGGAAAAAGUUCUGCAAGAAGAGAUUGAGAUGAGGCAAGUCAAGACAGAUGAACAAAUUGCUGACUUGUUUACAAAAAGCUUGAGUGUUGGAAAGUUUGAACAUUUCCGUCGUCAGCUUGGCGUGAUUCAAAGAAUGGGGGCUAGCAUUGAGGGGGAGUGUUGAGAAGUCAAUAUUAGCCCAAAUAAGUCCACACCUAAAUUAAUUUGAUGUCAUUGCUUACAUCAAUUUAGUUAGGUGAAUAUUAGCCCAAAUAAGUCCACACCUAAAUUAAUUUGAUGUCAUUGCUUACAUCAAUUUAGUUAGGUGAAAAUUAGGUAUUUUUCCCAUGUUUAAUUUCAAUGGUUUAAAUUAGUUUGUGGUUAUUUUAAUGAGUGGUUUAGAUUGUUUCUUGUAACCUAUAAAUACCUCAUUUGUAUUUGAGUUUUAUCAUUAAACAAUCAAAGCUUUAUUAUAAGCAUUUGAAAGUUUUCUUAAGAGUUCUUCUCUUUUGCAAUUUUGUGAGAUUAUUCUAAAGAGAGUUUUUCUUCUUCUUGAUCAAUUAGAGUUUUUACUCUAUUUUGAUUCAACAGACUGUUGCUCAGUUAUUUCAUAAUUCAUUUUUCCUUUCAACUUGAGAAUUAAAAUACAACAACGAAACCUAUCAAUCACUUUCAUCUGCAGUGUUAAAUUGAAUGCUAACAGUAUUUAUUUUGUUUCAAAAAAGUUUUUAUAUUUGAGAAAUAAUUCUUUUUAGAGGCUUAAUUAGAAGUUGAAGAAAUGUAAAAGAUUAUUCCGUUCAUUGCUGCUCAGUAAAUUCAAUAAAAAUGAAAGUAGGCAAAAUUGUAUUAUUAUAUGAACCCAUAUAUCUAUCUGUAAAAUCUCACAAGUUCAAACAAGAGAGUUAGGAUUUGAACCCUACUCAGAUGGGUGGGAAAAGUGUUUAAUUACCAAUAUACUAUUCAUUAAUAAUAGUAAUAAUAAGAAGCUAUGUUUUAAAGUUGUAUGACAUAUCUAAUUGCAAGUUAUGAAAUUUUAUUAUUGAAUAGAUGAAUGAACAUCAUACAUUAAUUGAGAUGAUUUCUUGUAAUAGAAGCGACAGAACAAUACAAACAUCCUAUAUAUAUAGAGAGAGUCAUUCUCUAGUGUGGGUACUUGUUUUAGAAUGCAGAUUUGAAAUUUCACAAUAGUGUCAACAUGCCUGAGAAUAAUUACAUAUUUUCUCAUAAAUAAUUGAUUUUUUUUUUCCUCUUUAUUUUUUCUGGUGCAUGUAAAGGUUGCUAUUAGGUGGUUUUACCAGCAAAGGGUGAGUGUCAUUGUAAAGAGCUUUAAUAAAGAACGAAUGGAACAAAACCUUGACAUAUUUGACUGGGAGCUAAGUGCGGAAGAGCUUCAAAAGAUAGAACAAAUUCUGCAGUACAGAGGAAGCCGUGCUGAGGCGUACCUAUCAGAGAAUGGUCCUUUCAGAACUGUGGAGGAAAUAUGGGAUGGAGAAAUUUAAUAUAAUAGUAUGCCUUUGUUUUUCUAUUCUGUAAUGCCUAUUCUAUUUACAUUAUGUAAUUCUUGUUUCUAAAAUAACUCUUCACAUUUUAGGCUUUUCUUUUUGGUGUGUGUGUAUGGUUGGGGGCGCCGGGGGGAUUCAGCCUUGAGCUUGAGAAAAAUAAAGUUACAGAAGUACACCAAAUAUUCUUAAUUCUAGUUUCUUGUGCAUCACAACACCAGUAGCAAACAUGAUAGAUUUAGCUCCCUUGCAAUCAACAAGUUCUUUUGCAUGAGUACACAAGGAAGUAAGAAACAUACAGACACAUGAAGGAUUUCUGAUUAAACAAAUGACUUUAAGAAUAAUAAUAAUAAUAAUCAUAUCGUAGUUGGACAGAACACGAAACAACAUCAGCAUCUCCCAAACUGUUUUAACACACCUUUCACUCAAUAAAUUAAACAUAAAAUAAUAGUAAUCACAAACUUAGCUGAAAUAUCAGCAAUAUACCAGCUACAGUUUGUUUACAAGAACAAAGUACAACAAGGAAACAUUGACAGAUUUCUGUAAAAUUUUGCACACUACAAAUGAAGAUACGCAAUAAAUAAAAACAACUGCAAAGAACAGAAAAUUAAUUUUCAUUUAUCAAACAGAGCAUAGUAGAAAGUAUCAAGAACUAAAAUAAAGCAUUACCCACACUGCAAACUUACUCGUUUGAUGCACAUUGUCCAUGUACUUGUGUUGGAAACCCUACAAGCCAACAGUAUUACAAAUACAAAUUAAAUUGCAUGUAGAUGAUACCAAAUGCUCAAUCUAAAAGAACCCCCCGCCCCUCCUUCCAAAUUACUCAAACCAAUAGUCUAAACUUAGCCUAACAAACGUUACUUAUGUCAAAGUUGGCUGCAUCUAGAAGUGUUUGGCAUGGCUGCAUCUAGAAGGGUUUGACAUUUGAAAAAAAAGAAAAUGGUGCAGCCGGCCAAAGAAAAUGGUGCCAUCCAAAUGGAGAAAAAGAAGAAGUUGGUAACUACAUUUGAAAUAUAUACAUAUAUAUAUUAAUUUAAUAGCCAUUUUUUGGCUAUAAAAGGAAGUGCUCACUCAUUCAUUUGCAUUCAAUUCCAUCGAGAGAGAAGCAUUGCUUUCUUGAGUGUUGAGAGUUUUAAGAGUUUAAUAAACUCUUGAGUGUCUAGUGAGUUAGAGAGUUUGGGUGUAUUGGGGUUUUGGGAAGUGAGCUAAAAUACUACAAUACUUGUAACUCCUUUUCACUAGUAAAAUAUUUCCUUCUGUCUUCGCCCGUGGACGUAGGCUAAAAGCCGAACCACGUAAUUUUCUAGUGUCCUCUAUUGUGCUUGUUCUUUAUUUUCUUACAAUUUCACUUUAGCUGCGUGUCUGCUUCACCCACCAAUUUCCUAACAGUGGUAUCAGAGCUAUUAGUUGUAUUUUUUGGAGUCGGGUACUAUUCACGUAAGGGGUACUAUUCACGUAUACGGCGUACGGUACUAUUCACGUAUACGGCGUACAGUACUAUUUACGUAUACGGUAUACGGCACUAUUGAUGUAUAUGGUACUAUUCACAUAUACGGUACUAUUCACAUAUACGGUACUAUUUACGUGAAACGGUGGAAGCGAUCCAAGAAUUUUGCGGUGCAAAGCAGGGAAUAGUGGUGUGAGUAAAGCAACUGUGUGGUUUUGUACAUGUCUAGGAAAGUUUUGUCACAAAGGCGAUAAGAGCUUAAGGAGUCUGGGUUUUAAGUGGGACCAUUGUGACCCCUCCAGUCUUUCCUGGGAACUUUCCUGGUGUGCAUUCUCACACAUACUCACAACUAUUCAAGGUGGUACACUAGCUUGUGUGCAAUAUUAUCAACAAAAUGGCGGCAAAGUAUGAAAUUGAGAAGUUUAACGGAAAUAAUUUUUCGUUGUGGAAAAUGAAGAUGAAAGCUGUAUUGAGGAAAAAUAAUUGUUUGGCAGCAAUUGGAGAAAGGCCCAUGGAGAUAACUGAUGACAAGUGGAACGAGGUAGACGGCAACGCUAUUUCUGAUCUACACUUGGCACUUGCGGAUGGAGUAUUAUCCAGUGUGGCAGAGAAAAAUACGGCGAAGGAAAUUUGGGAUACUCUCACAAAAUUGUACGAGGCCAAGUCACUACACAAUAAAAUCUUCUUGAAGAGAAAACUAUAUACUCUUCGAAUGGCGGAAUCUACAAUGGUGACCGACCACAUCAACACAUUGAAGACUCUAUUUUCACAACUCACAACGUUGGGUCAUAAUAUAGAGGAAAAUGAACGUGCAGAGCUUCUACUUCAAAGUCUACCAGAUUCGUAUGAUCAACUCAUCAUCAACCUGACGAACAACAAUCCAGUGGAGAGUCUAGUUUUCGACGAUGUUGCAGCCUCCGUAUUAAAUGAGGAGAGCAGGCGGAAAAAUAAAGAAAACAGACAAGCAAGUUUGCAGCAAGCGGAGGUGCUAUCGGUGACGAGAGGGAGAUCAACAGAACGUGGCCCCAGUGGGAGUCAAAGUCAUGGUAGAUCAAAAUCCAGAAGUAAGAAGAAUGUUAAAUGCUACAACUGUGGUAAGAAAGGGCACGUCAAAAAAGAGUGUUGGAGUAACCAGAAGAGAAAAGAGGGCAAAGAACCUGAGUCAUCAAAUGCUCAGGGUUGUGUAGCAAAUACCUCAGAUGAUGGUGAAAUUCUCUACAGCGAGGCAACAACUGUUUCAGAAGGCAGAAAACGACUAUCUGAUGUCUGGCUUAUAGACUCAGGAGCUACCUGGCACAUGACCUCUAAGAGAGAAUGGUUCCACACAUAUGAACCUAUCUCAGGAGGAUCUGUAUAUAUGGGAGAUGAUCAUGCCUUGGAGAUCGCUGGUAUUGGUACUAUCAAAAUAAAAAUGUUUGAUGGUACAAUUCGCACAAUUGGAGAGGUACGACAUGUCAAUGGCCUGAAGAAAAAUCUAUUGUCUUUGGGACAAAUGGAUAGUCAUGGGUUCAAAACUCAUGUGGAGAAUGGAAUAAUGAAGAUCGUUAAAGGUGCGCUUAUAUUGAUGAGGGCAGAAAAGAUCGGUGCUAAUUUAUUCAUGCUUAAAGGAGAAACACUACAGGAGGCUGAUGCAUGUGUCGCAUCAAAUGGAGAAGAAUCAACGAUGAUGUGGCAUCUCAAACUUGGCCACAUGUCAGAACAAGGCUUGAAGAUUCUCUCUGAGCGAAAAUUACUUCCGGGGCUCAAAUCGGUAAGUUUACCAUUUUGCGAGCAUUGUGUUACAAGUAAGCAGCAUAGAUUAAAAUUCAGUAGAUCUAUUGUUAGAAGUAAAUGCAUGCUAGACUUGAUUCAUUCUGAUGUUUGGGAAUCACCGGAUAUAUCCAUGGGAGGUGCAAAGUACAUGGUGACUUUCAUUGAUGAUUAUUCCAGAAGAUGUUGGGUGUAUCCAAUUAAGAAAAAGUCAGAUGUAUUUCCUGUGUUUAAAGAAUACAAAGCGCGGGUGGAACUUGAAUCUGGUAAAAAGAUCAAGUGCUUGAGGACAGAUAAUGGUGGAGAAUAUAUAGACGGCGAGUUUCUUGCUUUCUGUAAGCAAGAAGGUAUUCAGAGGCAGUUCACGGUGGCAUACACUCCUCAACAAAAUGGAGUGGCGGAGCGGAUGAACAGAACUCUUACAGAAAGAAUAAGAGCUAUGUUGAAAACUGCUGGUCUACCCAAUUCAUUCUGGGCAGAAGCAGCCAAAACUGCCUGUUAUAUAGUAAAUCGGUCGUCAUCUACAGCAAUUGGGUUGAAGACGGCGAUGGAGAUGUGGACUGGAAAGCCAGCUGAUUAUUCCUACCUACAUGCAUUUGGAUGUCCUGUGUACGUGAUGUACAAUGCCCAAGAAAGAACAAAGCUGGAUGCAAAAUCUAGAAGAUGUAUCUUCUUGGGGUAUGCUGAUGGAGUAAAGGGGUAUCGUCUGUGGGACCCCACUGCCCAGAAGAUCGUCAUCAGCAGAGAUGUUAUUUUUGUAGAAGAUCAACUGCAAAGGAGAGAUAAGGAUGAUGGCACUACAAAAGAAAAGUCAGAGAUCGUGCCAGUAUAUGUGGAAAAUAAUCUAGAAGAUUCAGAUUCUUCUGAAGCAGCACCAGAGCACGAGGAACAAGAAUCAGUCGAGUCCGAGGCUCCAGAAGUUCGUUGGUCAACUCGUGAGAGACGACCACCAACAUGGCACUCGGAGUAUGUCACAGAGAUCAACGUUGCAUACUGUCUUCUAACGGAGGAUGGAGAGCCAUCAACUUUCCAUGAAGCUUUAGAAAGCUUAGAUAUUGCUUUGUGGAUGACAGCAAUGCAAGAAGAAAUAGAAGCUUUACACAAGAACAAGACAUGUGAACUUGUACCACUACCACGUGGAAGAAAAGCCAUUGGAAACAAAUGAGUCUACAAGAUCAAGCGUGAUGGCAAUGACAAAGUAGAGCGGUAUCGUGCAAGAUUGGUGGUGAAAGGAUAUGCUCAGAAAGAAGGUAUUGACUUCAACGAGAUAUUUUCUCCAGUGGUUCGACUCACAACAGUCAGAAUAGUCUUGGCGAUGUGUGCUACAUUUGACCUACAUCUUGAGCAGUUAGAUGUGAAAACUGCAUUUCUUCAUGGAGAACUUGAAGAAGAAAUAUAUAUGCUCCAACCAGAAGGUUUUGCAGAAACAGGAAAGGAGAACUUGGUUUGCAGGUUGAACAAAUCUCUAUACGGUCUCAAACAGGCGCCGAGGUGUUGGUAUAAGAGAUUUGAUUCUUUCAUCAUGAGCCUUGGAUACAACAGACUCAGUUCAGACCAUUGUGCAUAUUACAAGAGGUUUGAAGAUAAUGAUUUCAUCAUUUUGCUGUUGUACGUGGAUGACAUGUUGGUAGCAGGCCCCAACAAAAAUCGAGUCCAAGAAUUAAAGGCACAGUUGGCUAGGGAGUUUGAAAUGAAGGACUUGGGACCAGCAAACAAGAUUCUGGGGAUGCAAAUUCACCGAGACAGAAAUAACAGGAAGAUUUGGCUUUCACAGAAGAAUUACUUGAAGAAAAUCUUGCGGCGCUUCAACAUGCAAGAUUGUAAGUCAAUUUCUACCCCACUUCCUGUUAAUUUCAAAUUAUCCUCAAGUAUGUGUCCUAGCAAUGAAGCAGAUAGGAAGGAGAUGUCUCGAGUACCGUAUGCAUCAGCAGUGGGAAGUUUGAUGUUCGCUAUGAUAUGUACUAGACCGGACAUUGCACAAGCAGUGGGAGCAGUCAGUCGAUACAUGGCGAAUCCUGGUAGAGAGCAUUGGAUAGCUGUGAAGAGGAUUCUGAGAUACAUCAGAGGAACCUCAGAUGUUGCAUUAUGUUAUGGAGGAUCAGAGUUUACUGUCAGGGGUUAUGUGGAUUCAGAUUUUGCUGGAGAUCUUGAUAAAAGGAAAUCCACUACUGGUUAUGUGUUUACACUUACGGGAGCAGCUGUAAGCUGGGUUUCGAAACUGCAGACCGUUGUGGCUUUAUCUACAACAGAAGCAGAAUACAUGGCAGCUACACAAGCUUGCAAGGAAGCUAUUUGGAUACAAAGGUUAUUGGAGGAGCUCGGGCACAAACAACAGAAAAUUCAUGUGUUUUGUGACAGUCAGAGUGCCUUGCACAUUGCAAGGAAUCCAGCCUUUCAUUCCAGGACAAAGCACAUAGGAGUUCAGUAUCACUUCGUUCGUGAAGUAGUGGAAGAUGAAAGUGUGGAUUUACAGAAAAUCCAUACCAAAGAGAACCUAGCAGAUGUUUUGACCAAGCCGAUAAAUACUGAUAAGUUUGUCUGGAGUAGAUCCUCUUGUGGCCUAGCAGAAACGUAGGCAACAUGAUUAUGGCGAAGCAGAAAGGAUUGUGUGGAGAUUGAUUGUUUUUCAAUUUAAUCUCCAAGUGGGAGAAUGUCAAAGUUGGCUGCAUCUAGAAGUGUUUGGCAUGGCUGCAUCUAGAAGUGUUUGGCAUGGCUGCAUCUAGAAGGGUUUGACAUUUGAAAAAAAAGAAACUGGUGCAGCCGGCCAAAGAAAAUGGUGCCAUCCAAAUGGAGAAAAAGAAGAAGUUGGUAACUACAUUUGAAAUAUAUACAUAUAUAUAUUAAUUUAAUAGCCAUUUUUUGGCUAUAAAAGGAAGUGCUCACUCAUUCAUUUGCAUUCAAUUCCAUCGAGAGAGAAGCAUUGCUUUCUUGAGUGUUGAGAGUUUUAAGAGUUUAAUAAACUCUUGAGUGUCUAGUGAGUUAGAAAGUUUGGGUGUAUUGGGGUUUUGGGAAGUGAGCUAAAAUACUACAAUACUUGUAACUCCUUUUCACUAGUAAAAUAUUUCCUUCUGUCUUCGCCCGUGGACGUAGGCUAAAAGCCGAACCACGUAAUUUUCUAGUGUCCUCUAUUGUGCUUGUUCUUUAUUUUCUUACAAUUUCACUUUAGCUGCGUGUCUGCUUCACCCACCAAUUUCCUAACAACUUAAAUAUCUCAUCCAAUUCGCAGCUGCACAAUAAAGUGGUUACACGUCAUCAGACAAAUAACCUUGCUUUCAUGCAUACCCACAACCAGGAGAAGGCCAUUCCUUACAAGUCUGUGGGCUUCUUGUAAAGAACAUUCCAGUGUCACUAAAAUCAUAGUAUAAGUGGAAUGCAAAACGCCAAACACAUUACAAAGAAGGAUAAUGAGCCUCUCAAGCUCUCGUGAGCUUUUAAAGAUCUUAUACUAUGUGUUUUUAAGUCAUAGUGUAUGAGUAGGAUUUAACUUCUUCAUUUUCUUUAUUUAUUAUUAAUUACCAAUCAUAUUUUUGCUUAUGAGAAUAUCAAAUCAUGAGAAAAUCCUAAUCCACAAAAGAAAUAUCUGCAGAACCAAACACACUUAAACUAUUGUUUUAAUAUAUUUAUUAUUUAAAAUGAAAAAUUAUAAGUUUAUUUUUGUAUUUUUGAAAAUCACGAAACUACCUUCCCAUUAGUAUAAUAUUUUUGUUUCUUAACUUCUUCUCUCCAAGGGCGUAAGCCGAAAACUUUUGUUACGAGGGCAACAUGAAUAAUGUACAAUAGUUAAGUUAAGAUUUCAAAGAGUGAAACGAUAACAAAUUUAGAGGCGAGCUAUUAAAGCUAGCUUUUGAAUUGAAUAUCGAAUUAGAGAAGAAAAUUAUGAUUGUUUUACCACCUAUUAAAAAAAAAGUUAUAAUGAAUACGUAGGAUUUUUGGUAUUGUGAAUGGUUAGACCAUUUACCUUAAAUAUUAAUAAUUACGUCAGAGAUAUUUUCAAUUUCAAUUGUAAUUUAAUACAUAACAUGAAUACUGGAAAAAAUUAAAUUCUGAAAUUUUUCCAAGGUCGUGUAUCAUGUCCGUUACGCUCUGCCGACAGCCGCUCAGCCAUCUUUUUUAAUUAGCACGAAUCAUUUUUUCAUCUAUUUGUCUUUUCUUUCUUUUUUUUUCUUUUUUUUUCCUAAAAGCAAUGACCGAUAAUGCGAGGAAAGCAUGCUGCAACAUGCAAAUAUUGUGUAUCAGAAUUCAUAAUUUAAUUUUCCCUUUAACCAGUUUUAAUGUGCAGGAACUUUACUCUGUCACAUUGGGAACAAAGGUUGUUAUCGGCUGAGAUUUAAUAGUUGGAAAAUGGGUAACCAGCUGAAGCUGUAGUACCGAUGAAACAAAAACAAAAAAGAUAAUCCAGAUCUAAAUUCACAGCUCUCUCUCUCUCUCUCUCUCCGUGAAUAAUCUUCUUCUUCAUCCACAAUUGGCUUUCACAACUCUCUCUCUCUCUCUUCGUAAUACUCUUGUUCUUUAACCACAAUUGACCAUCACAGCUCUCUCUCCAUCACAGUUCUUCAAGCAAAAUGGGCUACUGUGUUGAGAGAGAAAGUUGCUACUGUUGCUGCGUUGAGAGAGAAAGUUGCUACUGCAUCUCAACUUUGUGUGCUGUUGCUGUCGUAAUUGAGGAUCGAUUGCUGCGUUGAGAGAGAAAGCUGUUGCCACUGCGUCUCGGCUCUGUGUGGUGGUGCUGCGUCUCUGCUCUGAUUCGGUUGGUGAUGGUGCUACUGCUGCUGCUGCAUCUAUUUCGGUAAAUUUUGUUGCGUCUAUUUUGUUCAUAUGAAUGUUAAUUGAUUUUUUUUUUCUGGGUUUUUUUCAUAUGAUUUUAAUUGAUUUUUUGUUUCUAUGUUUUGUUCAUACGAUUGUUAAUUGAUUUUUUUUAUUCUUUCCUUUAUUUGCUAUGAUUUCGUUUCUCUUUGGGAUAAAUUUAGGAAGUAUGAGUCUAAUUUUUAUUGAAUGUAUGAUAUGUGAAGGCCCUACCUACUGUUAUUUUGGGCUAAUGUGUCAGCUACAGGUUGAUAUUUUGGGCUAAUGUGGAGAGUAGGGUAGAAUAGUUUAUGAAUAAAUUGAAAGGAUGGUCAUAUAGAUGGUUAAGGCUGAAAUUGCAUAAAAGUUCUCCUCAGCUUUUACCCAACAAGUAAGUGUGAUAUUUUUGAAACCAAGGUUAAACACAAGAGUUAGGAUUAUGGUAUUGCAUGUUCUUUCUGGAACUUUAAUUGCUAUCUCCAUUAUGGUUCUCUUAUAUCUUUUUGUUUACAUCAAAGAAAGAUGGGUUAUGGAAUAGGGACUUUCAGGUUUUUCUGUGAACUUCCCUUGUGUUCACUUGUUUAUGCUUCACUCUAUGCUUUCAUUAUUUCCUCAUUUUAUUUUUCCACUUUCAAUAUCAUUGGUUCAUCAUAGUUUCAAGGAUUUUGCAAUGAAAUUUGCUUAUUGAUGCAUUCGCAACCUUUUCUUUUUAUGUAUUUCUUAUUGCCAACUCCUAUGCUCUCAUUCGAUAUAAUGAUGUUGACUGCAGAGACAUAAACGGGGGAAGAAAAUAUUUGUUGUGACGCAUGAGGAGCUAAAGGUGAUUCAUUAAAAUACUCUCAACCUUGAACCACAUUCAAUUUCUAUUUUCCAGUCUGAUUUAUAUGUGCAUAUUCUUAUAUUGUAGCAUCUUAGGCGGAGGAUAAAAGACUUUGCAUCUACAUACAUGAAGAAUUGAAGAUUAAUAACUAUACUACUAUUCUUGUGAUGGGGUUGCUACACAGCAGGGGGCAAAAUGUCUAAAAGCAAACAGCGGGGGGCAAAAAGUUUAAGUGGCUUUGCUCUCACUCCUGUAAAAUUAUGGAAGUAUUUCGAAUAUUUUCAAUACAUCAAAAGAUAAUGUUAAAAGAUUUGGGAAUUAGAUUAAAAAGGCAAGAAUGUAGCACUAAUGCAGAUUAUUGAGAAAUGAUUCAAUUUUUGGGGGUUUAAUUGAAUCAUUAACCUUCUUGACAUUCCUCAGUUAAGCAUGAUAUAAGUAGUCAAUUUUACAACGCAGAUGAACUCAAAAAUUGGCUAAUCAAAUAUGAACUUCCUCGUCAGUAGUGAGUUUUGGUCGUGGAAGGGUAAAAAAGUAUCAAGAGUACGCAGCCAUGCAGGGCGAGGAUUUGAUGUUUUGAGAGCUGUUAAAGUGUCGUCUCCCUCUCAGCAAACUCUGACGGUAAUUUUUGAUAAAUAUUUUAUUUAAAUCAUGUUCUGUAAAAUACAAAAAAAAAAUCAUGUGCUGUAAUAUAUAUUUUAAUUAUAGGGUAAAAUAAUGAAAAUGUGAAACUUUCUUUUUUAAUAAAUGUUAAUACCAAAAUAUUUAUGGUAUGUCUGUGUAUGUAUUAGUUAAAACAAUUACUUUGUAGGUAUAAGUAUGACUUAAAUAUUUAUGCAUAAGUUAGAUAUUAUUUAAUUGUUUCUUAGAUUUUCAUUUUAAAUUUUUUGCAUCUAUUUAAGUGAUAAUCCUAUUUUGCACAAAAUGAAUUAUAGAGUAAACUAAGUAUAAAUUUAUGGAAUGAUUUUUUGGGUUAUUGUUUAAAAAUAGGAAUAAAAUAAGCUAAAAUUUAAAAUAAAAGAAUGAAAUGCGUUAUUGUAUCAAAUCUCUUGGGUGAAAACAAACUUUUCCCUUAAUUUUCCAGCUUUUAUUGAGGCAAUGUAUUACCUGAUCAUUUGCAAAAAUUUUGGACACUAUUUUGGGAAAUUUCAUGUUAUUCUUAGCCUAACUCAUACUUGCAGGUAGAGCUGGCAAAAUUUGACACGACCCGAUUACCCGACACGAACACGACAUAAAUAAAUAGGUAUGGGUCGUCAAAUUUAACACGAUUAUUAAAUGGGUCGGGUCCGGGUCAACACGAUUUUUUUCCGUGUCGGGUUUGGGUUAAAAUUCUUGACCCAUUUACCCGAUCAAUGACCCGAUUAUAUUUUCUAUUUUAAAAUAAUUUACAUAUUCUUAUAAUUAAAACUUAAAUAUUAGAGAUGAUUUUCUUUUUUUUAUUCUUUAAAAGGGUGAAUAUAAACACAAUGUUUUAUUUAUAAAAUUUUACAUACAUUUAGAGCUUCAAUAGUGUAAAUGUGUAAAAAUUAAUAGACAUGUAUAUUUUAUAAUAUUGAUAUAUAAUAUUUUAUAUAUAUAUAUAUAUAUAUAAUUAAAACCUCAAUAGUGUAAAUGUGUAAUAUAUUGGUAGAUAUGUAUAUUUUAUAAUAUCGAUAAAUUAUGUAUGUAUGCAUGUAUGUAUGUAUGUAUUUAUGUACAUAUGUAUGUAUGAUAGUGUGUAAAUAUUUGAUAUAACUUUUAUUCAAUAUAUAGAUAUUAAACGGGUUAUUGGGUAACCCGAUUAUUUUUCCGUGUCGGGUUUGGGUCUCAAUAUUUUGACACGAUUAUUAAAUGGGUCGGGUUUGGGUCGACCUAAAUUUGACACGACACGAAGCUGACACGACACGAACACAACCGGAUGACCCGUUUUGCCAGCUCUACUUGCAGGCUUCAACAAGUUGUAUUAAACCAUUAGUUGCAUACACCCGUUCACUGUUUGUUAAAAUGCAUUAAAUGUGUUCUUUUAUCAGCAGGUGACCGGCUCAUAGCCUUUUCCUUAGGUUUCUUCCAUUUGUCUUUGUGUCUCAUCUACAGCCGUCAGAUCAAAUCCAAUGCUCACUUUGCUAAGAGACAAAUGACUGGGGUGCCAGAGGCAGGACGCAAUGUAGUUAUGCCCUGUGUUUAUACAUAUUGCAUAUUCUUUAGAAUUAUUUUGUUAUUAAGUCAUCUCUAGUUCAUUAAAUUUAUGUAGCAAGUCAAAUGUUUUUUAAUUGUUCCCAAUUUUUUUUUGCUUUAAAAUGGUUUCCAUUUAUUCAACUGAUCUUCCUAUUAUGGACAACAUGAACUAUUGGGUAAACUUACUGUAAAUUCAUGGAAGAAUCUGUUUUAGUUAUUAUUUGAAACAUAGCAUUGAAAUGAAGUAUUGUGUAAAAUACAAGGAUGAAUUGACGUAUCCAACCUUCAUAGUGACAAGGAUUUUUUUCCCUUAUUUUUCAACCAAUUAUUUAGGGAACGCAUUGCCUGAUUUUGUAAUAAUGAUAUUUCAGACACUAUCUUCGAAACUUUCAUAUGGAUCUUACCCCAACCGGUACUUCCACACUUCCAACAAGACGUUUUCAACCAUUAGCUACAUACGCCAAUUUGUUGUUCCUUUAAAUGCGUUGGUUGUUAACAAACCUCCUUUCUAUUACAUGUGUUCUUUUAUCAAACACUUGUUUCCCUUACAGGUGACUGCCGCAUUACCUUUUCGUCAGGUUACUCCCAAUUGUCUCUAUGUUCCUUCUGUGACAGUCAAAUCAAAUCGAUCGAUCGCUUUUACUAAAAAAUCUCUAACAUACAAUAAAAAUUACAACUCGUACAAUCUGAUUAAAACACAAAAGAGUUCACAUAGCUUGUACACAUCCUUUCCUCCAUCUAUUUUUCCCCUUGCUAAAUGUUUUUUCGUCCAUAUAGCUAGAUGACAACUAAGUGUGGUUUGUAACUACUGAUGCAACAUAGAUGCAGCCUGUUCUUGAACACCUUUUCCUAGUUUCAAAUAGAAGUGAGAGAGAGUUGAUGCUGAAAAGACCGCCAGACUUAUAUUUUUCCACGAGAAUUAUGUGUUACGUGGAACUAAUUUUCAUUUACUUUCGUGAUCUUGUUACAAUGUUAGCUCUUUGUUCAUGAAUUGAUUAAUGCGCGUAUGUUUUUUACUCAAAAGUCUUCAUCUUAUUAAGUUGGAUCAUAAUUUUCCUCUUCUUUUUAUCCGUGUUGUCCUCUAUUACCUAGUAUCUCUCCUCUAGGAUGAGCAAUAAUACCCAUAUGAAAAUUCAUUGAUUUGUCAGUGUUUGAUUUAUGACAAGCGGAUUUCUAAUCCUACAACUUUUUUGGGCCAAAUGAGAAUUAAUAUGGUAUUAACUUCUGUAUCUUGACUGGUAGUGUUUUAAGAAGUAGCAUUUGCUCAUGAUUUGACUUAACAAAACAAUAUCCAGUGCGCUUGUAUUAACCCUGCUGCGUUUUUUCUCAAUAUCCGUUUCUAUUAUUUAUUAAAGACUUUUGUGAAUAUCCAAAUUUAAUAUGAGAAAACAGAUCCUCUAGCUAGUCGGCUUAACACAGAUCGAAUAUUAAUAAUAAAAAUGAUAUUUGUAAAAAAUGUGGGCUUUAUUCUUUCUAGAAGAGAUGGAAUUCUAGAAGAGAUGGAUUUGCACGGUCAAAAAGAAAGAAAAAAGAAAAAUUGAAUUUGGUUGCUGCAAAGUUUGAAGGAAGCAAACAACUUUGACAAGGAAGAAGAAAAAGGAAGAGUUGAAGAAGAUAAUGUCGGUGGAAAAUAUAAUAAUAUUUUAAUAGCCAAUUUGGGUUAUAAAAAGGGGUGCUGCUCAUUUGGUUUGUGCAUCCAGUUUUGUGAAGAAAAAAAGUUGAGAGCUUGAGUAAUUUUAAGGAAUUAAAAUUAUAAAGUUCUUGAGGGUGAGAGAAAAUUAUUUCUGAGAGUGUGGUUGUAAUAAUUUUCUACAUAGUGAAUAUUUUUCUUUGGUUGUCUUUUUGACAACGGCCGUGGUUUUUCUCCUGAUUUGGAGUUUUCCACGUAAAUCUUGUGUUGUGGGAUUGAUAUUAUUUUUCAUUUAAUUUUUCUUGUUAAUUUGUUACUUGACAAAUUGCUUGGAGAGAUCCUGGGAGGAAGCUCAAUUUCCUAACAGUGGUAUCAGAGCCAUUGAUUUAAGUUUUGGUGUCGGGUACUGUUCACGUAUACGGUACUGUUCACGUAUAUGGUACUAUUCACGUGAAGCAGUGGGAGCCAAUCCAAACAGUCCGUGGUGAAGAGUAAAAGCUGAUCUGCAAAGCAAAUAUGUCAGGAUUGAAAUUUUCAAGUCCGGUGAAAUUUGAAAUAGAAAAAUUCGAUGGGAGAAUUAACUUUGGCUUGUGGCAAGUUCAAGUCAAAGAUGUGUUGAUUUAAUCUGGGUUACACAAGACAUUGAAGGGGAAGUCAUCCCCUGCUUCCAGUAGUGGCUCUGGAAAAGCUAGUAUAAGUGAUGAAGAUUGGGAAGAAUUAGAUGAUAGAGCUGCAAGUGCCAUACGACUGUGUCUAGCAAAGAAUGUUCUUGCAAAUGUAGGAAAAAUUCCUACAGCGAAAGAACUUUGGGAGAAGCUAGAAAAGUUGUAUCAGACAAAGAGCAUCUCAAAUCGAUUGUACCUGAAGGAGCGAUUUCACACACUGCGAAUGGCUGAAGGUACAAAAAUUUCCGAUCACCUCAGUGUUCUCAAUGGAAUUGUGUCAGAACUAGAAGCCAUUGGAGUUAAAAUUGAAGAUGAGGACAAGGCGCUUAGGUUACUAUGGUCACUUCCAACUUCCUACAAACACUUGUUACCUACUUUGAUGUACGGGAAGGAGACAGUAGAUCUUGAAGAAGUUACUAGUACUUUACUCUCAAAAGAAAGAAGACUGGGUGGUGAAAGUACUAAAACUACAGAUGUCUCGGCUUUGGCAGUUGUAGGGAAUUGGCAGAAAGAUAAAUCUAAGAAGAAAGGAGUCUGCUGGGGGUGUGGACAAUCAGGGCACUUAAAAAGAGAUUGUCAUAGUAGAAAUGGAGCAGGAUCGGCAAGUGGCUCCAGAUCAGACACUGAUAGUAUUGCUAGUGGUAAGUCUCUCAUCAUCGUGGGAGACGAUGAUCCAUUGUAAAAUGGAUGAUGAUGACAUCCUCAUGGUAUACCGCUAGUACCAUGAAAGGGGAUAUGUUACUACUAGCGGGUCCACAAGAUUUACACACAAGGCAUGGUUGGCAUUGAUGCAGGGUGUGUGGUGGAAUUUAUGUCGAUGGCUGACAAACUUCCAGGAAGGCCAACAUGGAAGUUGCACCAUAAAUUUCAGCAGGAUAUUUCGACAUGUGCCGAUGUAAAAUUCUUAGAAUUGGUAAUUAAUUCUAAGUGGUAUAUUCUUUAUGGUGGAGUAUGAUAAUUCUCUAUGACGAGGAUUAUGACUUAGGUGAAAACAGUAAGGACGGUGUGGAGAUUGAUUGGUUCUUAAUCAAAUCUCCAAGUGGGAGAAUGUAAAAAAUGUGGGCUUUAUUCUUUCUAGAAGAGAUGGAAUUCUAGAAGAGAUGGAUUUGCACGGUCAAAAAGAAAGAAAAAAGAAAAAUUGAAUUUGGUUGCUGCAAAGUUUGAAGGAAGCAAACAACUUUGACAAGGAAGAAGAAAAAGGAAGAGUUGAAGAAGAUAAUGUCGGUGGAAAAUAUAAUAAUAUUUUAAUAGCCAAUUUGGGUUAUAAAAAGGGGUGAUGCUCAUUUGGUUUGUGCAUCCAGUUUUGUGAAGAAAAAAAGUUGAGAGCUUGAGUAAUUUUAAGGAAUUAAAAUUAUAAAGUUCUUGAGGGUGAGAGAAAAUUAUUUCUGAGAGUGUGGUUGUAAUAAUUUUCUACAUAGUGAAUAUUUUUCUUUGGUUGUCUUUUUGACAACGGCCGUGGUUUUUCUCCUGAUUUGGAGUUUUCCACGUAAAUCUUGUGUUGUGGGAUUGAUAUUAUUUUUCAUUUAAUUUUUCUUGUUAAUUUAUUACUUGACAAAUUGCUUGGAGAGAUCCUGGGAGGAAGCUCAAUUUCCUAACAAUAUUACUUUUUAAGCUUUUAUGUCAAAUUACGCAUGCAAAAUAAUAAGAAUUUUUUUUCCCAUACGCGUAUGUAUUUUGGAGGAGACACGUCCUCGAGUUCAUCUCUAAAAUCGAAAUGUGGUAUGGAAAGUGUAUACAAGUAUUUGCCCAUAUCACAGCCACAUAAACGGCGCAGUCUCAUUCUAUCAUUUUUUUGCCCUCUUCUCAAAUUUUUUUGAUAAUAAUUUUUUAUAUCACUCUUUAAUUCACCAUACUCUGUUUUAGUUAAUUCUAUUUAUUUCUCAAAUUACUUUCAUUAAAAAUUGUUUAUCUCUAUUGUUUCUCAUUUGCUCUUCUCAAUAUAUUUGAAGACUAUUGGUAUGCUUACUAACCCGCAAUCGGAAUGAGAAUUCUAGGAUUGGAAUGAAUAAUGCAUUUACUUGUAAAAUUAAGACUUGAAAUCAGAAUCAAAAUAGUGUUAAAUCCACAAAUUUGAGAAUCACUAUCAUAGUUCUAAUCCCCAAGCGAGGAGUUUGGAAUCAGAAUUUGAUUUUUAUAACUAACCAUUUUACUCUCGUUAAAUUUUCAUAAUCUCUAAAUUGCUCCCAAUUAUGUUCUGUUAUUUUUUCUUUUUGGUUCCCAUAAAAUUUAUCAAAAAACUAAAAAUUUUGAAUUAUUUGCAAAUAGGUCCUUUAUUGUUUAUUAUAAUAAUAAUAAUAAUGACAAUAAUAAUAGUAACCAAAUCCUCCCAGGAUCCUCCACCAAGAUUAAUCAAGAUGCAUUCAACAAAUAAGAUCAGGUUUAAAGAAUCAAUUAAACCUAACUAGACUUGAUACAAAAGAUUAUUCACCAACACAGAAAACAAGCAAUAAGAAGAAACCAAUAACAAUGAACAGAACGCAGAGCUCUUAACGUGGUUCAGCCAUUAAUGGCUUACAUCCACGGGUGAAUUCAUCAGCAGGCUUUAUUGAAGGAUUCAAGAAGCUUAUUACAGAGACUUUGAGAACAAAGAACAAGUAUUCACUUUCUCUCAGAAUUCUCUCAAUCUCUCACUCACGUUACCCCUCAUCCCUGAAGGCCAGCAGCUUAUAAACCAGUUUCUUUAACAGUUUAGCAACCCAGAACGCACAGCUUUUCGACACGUGUGUGUUGAGUCUGUUUAUAACGAACUUGGCUUCAAUCGAUGGUCACGUGAUUGCUCCGUGAUCUAACAAAAACCAAGUGUUAUCAAAACGAUCACACACAAUGCCGUUUCGGUUCAAUGACGAGCCGUGCUUGUCAUGUGAGUUACUUAAGGCUUGAAACAACUGAAAAACGCUGCCGUUUGCUGAGAGGUGUUUGUAUUCACCUUACAGCCAACAAAUUUUUUGUUAGGUUUGUUUUCGGUGUGAUUUUUUUAGAUUUAGGGUUUUACUGGGGAUUUUAUGAAAUGGGUAUGUGAUAAAAUUUUAGGUUUUUCUUAGUUCAAUUUAACAAUCUGGUCAGAUUCAUCCAUCGUGCUUCAGCUGCUGACCCUACAUAUUUGAGGAUAAAUUUAUCUUCUGCCUGUUUUUUUAUAGAAUUAGCAUUCGUCUGUUCUUUUUUUUAAAUUAUGAUAUGUUUGUUAACCAUGCGAGUCUGUGUAAACCAUUCAUUGAAAAAAGAAAUGUAACUUAAGAUGAUGACUUAAAUUUUCAUCCGUUUCAUUUCAUUCAAUCUAAAAGUGUAUAUUUUUUUGUCAAAAAGCUGCAAUGAGUCACCUUUAUUCUUCUAUUAUUGAAAUGAAUAGAUCAACCGAAUGAAGUUUAAUUAAAAUAUUGAAUAGAUUAAAUGGAUGAAAAUUGAAGUAAAAUGUUGAAGUUAAGGAGCCCUAAAAUUUAUAGAAGAAACUCGAUAAGAGUAACGACCGUUGAAAAUACGUUAUCCUUUAUUGUAAUAAUUUAAGGAUUUUGAUAUUAGAAAAUUGCUUUAUAUAUAUGUGUGUGUUGAAAAUAUAUUAUUCCUUACUUUAACAACUUAAGAGAAUUUUUAGAAAAUUAUACACACACACCCCCCUUCUAAUAAAAGAAUUACUUAAUUUCAUGUAAAGUAAAGGACAAUUUAAAAGUAAAAAACACAUAUUUUAAUAUACCAAAAAAUAAAAUAUACUAUUUUGGAGUAUGUUUUGUAAACUUUCAAUUUGUCUUUUACUUGAUUGACGUAAGUGAUGCCUUAGUGUAAAAUUACUUCAUAUAUAAUAUAUAAUACACUACAUUAGAGUGUGUAUUUUAAUUCUCUUUUAGUUUAUCCCUUAUCUUAAUGAUUUAAGAGAUCGUUUACUAGAUAAUGACUCGUAUAUUUUAUUUUGACUUAAAUUUUUUACAUAAAUAUUGAGUUAUUGGUUUUGCAAAAUUUAAUCAUAGAUAAAUUGGUAUAAUUAGUGGUAGUUUAUGUGAGAUUUUUGAGUAAUGAAUUUUGUAACUGUUUUAUUCAAUCUGACAAUGUACAAUGCUGCUGAUUUAUAUAGCUGAUCAGAUUUCUCGUACAGCUCAGCAACUCAGAUUUACGAUUAAUGAAAACAAGUAAUGUGUGUGUGUAAUCUAUUUUUAAUCUCAGCCACACAUCUAUAACUAAUUUGUUACACACAUAAUAGCUGAGGGAUCUCUGUGUAAUUGUUCUGCCAACUGGGAUAUCUUUCUUCUUCACGUGUGUGUUGCAUCACCUUUCUGGUAUGAGCAUCACCCUUGGUAAUCAAGUAAACUCCAGCUGGUAGUCCCACAUGAGCUGAUCCAAGUUCAGCUUCAUCCUCAAACUUAACAUUCCUUCUCAAACUUAAGUCUCUAGGAGAGACUUUAAGUUUGUUUCUAAAGAAGCUGAACUUUGAAUAAGUGAGUGGUUUAGUUAACACAUCUGUUGUUUGAUCACUGCUGGACACAAAAGCAAUUUCGAUCUCUUUCUUUUCAACUUUGUCUCUGAUAAAAUGAAUGUCUAUCUCUAUGUGUUUAGUCUUAGAAUGAAGAACUGGAUUUGUAGCAAUGGCAGCUGCACUUGUACUGUCACUUAACAAUAGAGGAGUACAGUUGAGUUUCAAUCCCAAUUCUUUCAGUAACGAGCAUAUCCAAGUUACUUCUGCACUAGCUAAUGCCAUGGCUCUGUAUUCAGAUUCAGCUGAGGAUUUAGAUACCACACUUUGCUUCUUAGAACUCCAGCUGAUCAAAUUGUCACUCAAGAAAACACAAUAACCACUGGUGGAUCUUCUAUCAUCAGGGUCACUUCCCCAAUCAGCAUCUGAGUAUGCUACAAGAUCAAAAGAGUCAGACUUCUUGAAUGUCAAACCAUAGUCAAUUGUUUCCUUUAGAUACCUGAGUACCCGUUUACAAGCUGUCCAGUGUGGCUGCAGAGGAUUGGACAUAAACUGACUUAACUUGUUGACUGCAUAAGCAAUUUCAGGCCUGGUUAAUACAGCAUACUGCAGUCCUCCAAUGGCUCUCCUGUAUUGAGUUGAGUCAACAUGUUUUUCUCCCAUAUGUUUGCUUAACUUCUCUGUAGUUGCUAGUGGAGUAUCUGAGCCUUUACAGUUCUUUAAAUCGAACUUUGUAAGUAGUUCCUUCAAGUAUUUUGAUUGUGACAAAACCAGAGUAUCUUCAUUUCUUGUAACUUCAAUACCAAGAAAGAAGUUAAGCUGACCUAAAUCUUUGAGAGCAAAAGUUUUUCCCAGAUUACAAAUAAGUUUCUCUAUUUCAACAUUAUUACUCCCUGUGACUAUGAUAUCAUCCACAUAAACUAAUAAGAUGACCAGCUCAUUUCCAUUUUGUUUGAAGAACAGUGAAGUAUCUGAUUUUGCUCGACAGAAAUUCCAUGAUUCAAGCACUGAUCUUAACUUAUCAAACCAAGCUCUUGGUGCCUGUUUCAAACCGUAGAGGGCCUUCUUUAGCUUACACACAUAUCUUGGGUGAUCUGUAUCCACAAACCCUUCAGGCUGAGGCAUAUACACAGUUUCAGUUAACUCCCCAUUUAGAAAUGCAUUAUUAAUAUCAACUUUUCUCAACUUCCAGUUAUUGAUCACAGCCAUGCUCAGAACAAUUCUUAUUGUGGCUGCUUUCACUACAGGGCUGAAAGUCUCCUGAUAAUCCACACCUUCAGUUUGCAAGAAACCUUUUGCAACUAAUCUGGCUUUGUAUCUAUUUAUUGUUCCAUCUGAGUUUUGUUUUACUCUGAAAAUCCAUUUGUUUCCCACAAGUUUCAUAUGUUGUUCUGGUGGAACCAAACACCAGGUCUGAUUUCUAAUCAAAGCAUUGAACUCAUCCUGCAUAGCUAGUUUCCAGUUGUUAUCACUUAAAGCUUCAGCAACACUUGAUGGUGUUUCCAGGGACAAGGCCUUUUUAGUGUUGUAAGCUUUGGGCUUAAAAAUGCCAGCUUUGGCUCUAGUAAUCAUGGGAUGUGAAGGGUUGAUUUUAGGAGUGGUUUGAGUUAUUUCAGUGUUUUGAUUUUGGGUUUCAUUAUGUUCAGGUGCACUAGAAUACUCUGAGGUAUCUUGAAUUUCUGUGUGUAGGUUUGAAGUAAUAUUUUGAUCUGGAAGAAUUUGGUUGUGAUUGUUGUCAGAAUCUUGAUCAUUAGGGAGAGUGAGAUCAUGAAUUUCAUUUUCAGAUGAAUUUGUUCUUGCUGCUGGUGCCUCAUGAUUGUGACUUUCAGAAGGAAAAGUCACUGUGAUGAAUUUGCUAAAAGAAUUGAAAGACUCAGAUGAUUUGUUCUGGUUUGACUUUAUGAAUUUUGGAUAUGUUUUGAGAGGAAAAGAAUUUUCAUUGAAGUUUACAUGUGCUGCUAUGUAAACUCUUCCAUUUGGAUUUAGACACAUAUAACCUUUGUGAUAUUGACUGAAACCUAGAUUUACACAAGUGGAGGUAUGAAAAUCAAGUUUGUGUUUAUUGUAAGGUCUCAUGAAAGGAUAGCACUCACAGCCAAAUAUUUUGAUGAGAGAGUAAUCUGGUUUCUUUGAAUAAAGGAAUUCAAAAGGAGUUUUGUCAUUUAAAACAGGUGUGCUGAUUCUGUUUAUGAGAUAUGUGGCAUUUGAAAAGGCUUCCCACCAGAAUUUCAAGGGUAAUCCAGAUUGAGCAAGAAGAGUCAAUCCAGUUUCUACAAGGUGUCUGUGUUUCCUUUCUGCUUUCCCAUUUUGGUGAUGGGUGUAUGGACAUGAGUAUCUCAAAGAAAUACCUUCAUGCUUUAGAUAUGGUUCAAAGAUUUUGUAUUCCCCUCCCAUGUCACACUGUAAGGUUUUAAUUUUCAGUUCAAGGCUUUUCUCAACUUGAUUUUUGAAAGAUAUGAAAGUUGUGAGUGCUUGAGACUUGUGAGUUAAUCCAUAAAUCCAUGUGUAUCUGGUUUUAUCAUCAAUGAAGGAUAUAUAAUAUCUGAAAUUUUGAUUGGAUUCAGUAGGUGCAGGACCCCAAAGGUCACUGUGGAUGAUCUCAAGGGCUUUUGAGGUUUUUGUUUCACUGUGUUUGAAAGAUAAUCUAUGUUGUUUUCCAUACUGACAGGCUUUACAAAAUGGUAAACCAGAUGUUUUAUUUCCAAAAGAGAUAUUACAAGCAGAUAAAGUUUUCACAAGAGCACUGACACUAGGAUGGCCUAAUCUCAUAUGCCAAAGAUCAAGCACUUUGUUGCUUGUAUAAUUGUCAUUACAACUGACAGACAACAUAGACUCAGGACAAGAUGUUUUAUUUACUGUAAGUAGACUAGGAGUAGUACUUGAAGACAAUAGAAUUGACUUGAAUUUACUGGAAUCAUGAGGCAAACUCAGCAGCUUGUACAAUCCAUCUUUAGCUAUUCCUUUCAAAAGAACACUCCCCCUUCUCUUGUCCUUGACAACACAACAAGUUUUAUGGAAUUCAAUAGAGACAUCAUUAUCAUGCAAUAGUUGUGAAAUACUAAUCAAGUUUUUGGUUAUCUCUGGAACAUAAAGAAUGUGGUUAAGUUUGAUAUGAGAUAAUGUGUGUGAAUCAAGUGUGCUGAGUAGUGAGUGACCAACAGAAACUAUUUUGAGUUUAGUUCCAUUACCUACUGCCAGGUGAUCACUUCCCUUGUACUCAGAGCUGAUGUUGAGAUUGUUGAAGUCAUUUGAGAUGUGGUUGGUUGCACCACUGUCAAGAUACCAAGCUCCAUCCCUUUGACCUCCAUUUUCAGCUAUAUAUGCACUCCUCCUGUUAGGUGCUUGAUUAGGUACAUAAUUCUUCUUAAACCUAUACCAGCAGCUGGCAGCAGUGUGAUUUUUCCUGAAACAGAUCUGGCAUGGUCCCUUAGGUUCUUCUUCAUCAGCAGGAUUCUUGCCUUUGAACUUGUCUGAUGAGUUCAUAUUCUGAUUGAAACUGUAUCCACCAGGUUGUUUUCCAUUUGAGCUUCCAGCUGGCCUUCCACCAUAGUUGUUGUUUGGCUGCCAGUUCCUCCUUUGAUUUCCUCUGUGAUAAGCCAAAUUAGCUUGAUAAUCCACAUGAUUGACAGAGUGUUGAUAUUCGAUUCUAUGUUCAUGACUCAGCAGCAUGCCAUACACAUCAGAGGGAGAUGUGCCUUCAGGUUGUGCAUUAAUUGUUGUAACAAUUGAAUCAUAUUCAGAUCCAAGACCAGCAAGCAAGCACAGCACAAAAUCUUCAUCAGUCAUAUUAUUUCCAACAGCUCUCAAAGCAUCAAGAGUGGUUUUCAUCUUCGUGUAGUACUCAUGAAUGGAAGUAGAUCCUUUCCUGGUGGUCUGAAUUUGAGUUCUCAAGUGCAGAACUCUGGCUCUGGAUUUGGCUCCAAACUGAGCUGCAAGAGUUUGCCACACAUCCAGAGAAGACCUUGCUCCAACUACAGCACUAAGAACUUCUUCACUUAAAGUUUAGAGUAACCAGCUCAUCAGCUGUUGAUCAUUUCUUCUCCAGAUUUGGAACUGUGGAUUUGGAGUUGUGAUCACAGUUUGAUCACUGUCAAUGUUGAUCAUAACUCGAUUAGGUGGACUCUUUGAGCUAUCAAUCAAAUCCUCCAGAUCGUUUGCAUUGAUUGUAGCUAUCACUUGAGAUCGCCAUAGCAGGUAAUUGUUAAUAGUAAGCUUUAUUGGCGUGUUGAAAACAAGUGAGGUAAGAACAUAGGUGCUAAUGUUUGAAAGAUGAUUAGUGUUUGUGGUUGAGCUUGAAGCUCCAUUACUGUUGGUUUGAUUUUCAUUACUCGCCAUUAUUGCUUCUCAAAGCUCUGAUACCAUGUGAGAUUUUUGAGUAAUGAAUUUUGUAACUGUUUUAUUCAAUCUGACAAUGUACAAUGCUGCUGAUUUAUAUAGCUGAUCAGAUUUCUCGUACAGCUCAGCAACUCAGAUUUACGAUUAAUGAAAACAAGUAAUGUGUGUGUGUAAUCUAUUUUUAAUCUCAGCCACACAUCUAUAACUAAUUUGUUACACACAUAAUAGUUGAGGGAUCUCUGUGUAAUUGUUCUGCCAACUGGGAUAUCUUUCUUCUUCAUGUGUGUGUUGCAUCACCUUUCUGGUAUGAGCAUCACCCUUGGUAAUCAAGUAAACUCCAGCUGGUACUCCCACAUGAGCUGAUCCAAGUUCAGCUUCAUCCUCAAACUUAACAGUUUAUAUGUGUGUGUAGUUCUUUUCUAAUGCAGGUGUCUUUAUUUUUUUCACCUAGAUAUAUUUUUAAAUCAUAGGAUUUAAAAGAAUUAAUUUUUAAUUCUUUUAAAUCAUAUAGUUUAAGAGCGUGUCCACAUUAUAAAAAAAAAAAUAAAUGCCGGCACUUGAAAAUAAUUAUAUAGAGGAGUACGCGUGGAGUGGAAAGACAUAAUUGAAAUACUAACUAGGCAACCCAAGAGGGGGGGUGAAUUGAGAUUUUAAAAUUUAAGCUAAGCAAACCACACAAUAAUUUAAUCUAUUGCCUUAAUCAAAUUGAAAACAAUAAAUUCAAUCAUGCACAAUAUUAAAAGAGUAAGGGAAGAGAAAACGAACACAAUGAUUUUUACGUGGUUCGGCAAUCCCCGCCUACGUCCAUGCCUCCAAGCUCAUCGGGCUUGAGGAUUUCACUAAGCUAGCCUCCCAAGGCUUCAAACGCUUACAAUUGACUUCCAAGGUGUCAAUGGACCUUUACAACAAGAGAUUAUCCCCAAUCUCUUAACCCAAGUGUAUCCCAACACUUACAAUCUUUUAACUUGAUUUUACAAAAAAGAUUACAAAUGAAUCUCUCUCACACAAUGUAUUUGAUCACAAGUGAAAGCUCAAUGUGUGAAUGAAUGAGAUGAAUACAAAGAUUUAAAGCUCAAUGAAAGUUGUAUUCUCAAUAUUUUGCUCAAUGAUGAUCGUUGGAAUUCUCUUUGUUUGAAUUGGAUUGAGCUUAUUUAUAGUUGGAGCUGAAAAACUAGCCGUUAUAGACUGUCUGCUCGAAAACGGUUCGCCGUUACCCAUUAACGAUUAACCGUUUAGGCCGGUCAAAGUUACCGUUGGGCCAAUUUUCAAAUAAACGGUUAGCCGUUUAGGCUUACCCUUUCGCCGUUAAUUUCCAGAGACCUGCAAAACAAAUUUGGUUUAACCGUUCUUACUAAACGGUUCAAGGUUAGCAAUCUGGAAAUAAUCGGUUAACCGUUUUCAGUAAACGGUUCACCGUUAGUUUCCAGAAUCAUCAUUUUACCAAUACUUUGCAGAACAUGCUUUCUGGAAAUUAUCGGUUAGCCGUUUUUAAAUAAACGGUUAGCCGUUUGCUACAGUAUUUGCUACAGUGAUUGCUACAGUGAAAUUAUUUUCUAAAUUUAUGGUUUGACCCCAAAAUUUUAUAAAACUAUAUUACGGCCCAAAACGUUAUGAAAGUUGGCAAAUAUGUCCAAUUUCAGAAUUUCUAAAUAAUGCUUUGUUAAUCUCAAAAUGUUCUGAAAUUAUGGUAUAGCCCAAAAUGCUAUGACACUUUUCAAAUAAGUCCUUCUCCAAAAUUUCAAGCAAUACUUGUUUAUUUCAAAGUUUUCAAAAUUCUUUCAAUUAAACUAUAAACUUUGAAAAACAACCAAUUUCAUAAAAUCAUUUUUCCAUUAAAUAUGAAACAUUUAUAAUGUGAAAAUAAUGAUUUGUUUAAAAAGAAUAGAAACAAUCAAUUUCAAAAAAUUAUUUUUCCAUUAAAUAUAAAACAUUUAUAAUGUGAAAAUAAUGAUUUAUUUAAAAAGAAUAUUAAAUAAUUUGAGCUUAAAAGAUUAAUCAUUCUUAAACUUAUUUGUUAUCAUCAAAAUCAAUAUUAUAGAAACAUAUAUGUUAACAAUAAUUAUCAUAUCCUGAUUGAACAAAACACCAGGCUAGCUCGAUUCUUUCUGCUAACACUAAAUAAUUAAUUAAUCAUGUUUCAUUUUUAUUAUGAUAAUUCCCAGUUUAUAAUCAUGCCGUUAAAUAAGCAAUUUACAUUAUAUGGCGGGGCCUCAUGACAAAAAAAAAACUUUAUUUUAACUAGUGGAAAAGAACAAUAUAUUUAAAUUGGUCUUGGAGAAUGGCAGGUGAUUGAUCCCCAAUUAAAUUUGCACGAAUAAUUAAUCCAAAAACAUGUGACACUUGCUCAAUUAUUGUAUUAUGUGUCCUACGCUAUAAUUAAAGAAAAUGAAAUCCGUGACAAUGUAUAUGUAAUCAAGUAGCUGGUCUAAGAACCGCUAGAGCCACUCACUCCUUCACACAUUUGUGAAGUGGUUCGAGCUCCCGCAGACGUAUUGUAGGGAGCUUAAUUUAAUUUUUUUUUUUGAGUCCCAGAGCUUGAGUGAAUGUAGUCUUUCUCUCAGGAGGGGAGUUGACGUUCCUCAAAUAUUUGAGAAGGUUAAAAAUCUGAGCGGUGUCAUAUUAAAAUUGAUAUAACAAAAUUAAUAUAAACAGAUCUUAGUAUUUAUAUGAUUGUAAAUAUCAUGAGUAAUAAUUCUCAUUUAAAAAAAAGUAAUUGGUCCAUGGCGUAUUAAAAAAAAAGGGGGGUAGUUGGUCCAAGGGCAAGUUGUGAAUUAUUCCAAUAAAAAAAGUUAGUUCUCAUUCAAAAAAAAAGUGGGGGUAGUUGGUCCAAGGGCAAGUUGUGAAUUAUUCCAAUAAAAAAAGUUGGAUUGUGACAGACACUACAUAUACUAAGAGGAUGGAUUAGGCCUUUUAACUGUUAUAAAAUUAUUUGAUUGUUAAUGACGUUUAUUAUUUAAAAUUAUAAAAUUAUUUUAAUAGAUAAGUAUAUUAAAAAUAUAUUACUAAAGGAAUGAAAUAAAUAAGAGUAUUUUAAAAAAAAUUAUUUUUAAAAAAAAUCUACAACCUUAAUGGCCUAAAAACUUAAACUUUUGUUAAUAAAAGUAAAAUAAUUUAUUUAAUCUCUAAAAGUUCAACUCAAAAUACAAUCAAACAGCACAAAAAAUUUUAAAAAGAGCUUUAAAAACGAAAUAAAUAUUUUUAGACAUUAGAUAAGCUAUAUUAAACAUGCACUUAUUACAUAUAUAGAUGGAUUAUAAUUUAAUAUCUACUCCCAUAAUUAUUAGGGUUAAAUCUUCUCUUAUACUAGGAACAUUACCCACCCCUUGGUGACUUGGAACUCAUAUCCUAAAUGUUGAGGGCAUGAGUUCUCACCUAUACCCUUAGAGGGAAGUCACCAUAAAUAUCUGUUUGCGGAGGAGCAAUAUUCACCAUACAAAGCCUCUAGUUGGACAAGCCCUCUUCUUUUAAUUUUUUUUCCUUUUUUUGAAUAUAUAUAUACAUACACGCACACACACAAAAAUCACAAUUGAAGCGCCAUAGAUAUAAUUAGGAGAACUUGCAACAAGAAGCUGCCGGCAUCUCCCACACAAGCUUGAAAAAGUAGCCAGUAAGAGUUGUGCACGGGGGAAAAAAAAUGGGAAAUAAUAAUGUGAUGGGAUUGGCAGGUGGUGUCUUAGCAGCGAUCAUAGUUAUGAUGAUACUCUUCUUCACCGCGGAUCAAUCUUGUGCAGCAGGCAACGGCACCGCCAUUACUAAUUUCCAUAUUGAUCCUGAUGUGUUGUUCUUUUAUGAUGAUCCGGAAUCGGAAUUGGCUGCUGCUGCUGCAACAAACGUAUUGAAUUUGAAUCCCUUGAAGCGAGGUCCAGUGUUCGAUUGCGGAAAAGGCCGAGGCCGAAGCUAUCGCUCUUGUACCCCUCCUCCCCAGGGUUCCAAAAGGGGUGAACAUUGCAAACCUGCACCCGGCGGCACGUACAAUCGAGGGUGCAAUUAUUAAGCCUUAAGUUUGUACUGCUGCAUCCAUGCAUAUGCAUUAAUAAAUAAAUUAAUUGAAACUUCUAAUUUGAUUAGCACUACUUAAUUCGUUGUUAAAUUAGCUAAGGUUACUCCAUCUUGAUGCUAUCGUUCACGUUCACUCAUUUCAAUUCUACCAUACUCGUCCUGAAUUUAUUACUUUUCCAUGUGCGUGCGUGUUAACAGCCUGGAGAAGUAAUUAAUUAAUUGGUUAACCAUUGAUGGCAUUUUACAUCGAGCUGGACCAACUCUUAAUUACCGGCCUCUUGAAGGGAAACCCGCUACGAUACAAAUCAAACAACUGAACGUACAACUUCAUUACAUUUCCUGCAAUAAUGCAUUAGAUUUCCUACAAUAAUGCUAACAUUCAAUGAUUUAUCUGCUCCCUCCGACCAUGCCUUAAUUAAUUGUUACCACGACAUCAUCCCGAAUGUGGUAAUUACGUACAAUUAUAUAUGUUAGCUAUUUUUCUUUUUAAUAAAUAAUUUUACAGACACAGAUACAAUUAGCGUGGCAUAUGGGAGGAUGUUAGUUGAAACUUGGAAGCGAUAUCAGUUAAGCCAUCAUGCAUUUGUCCAACUUCUAUCUUCACGAUUAUGAAACCUAUUGUUUCUUUUCCAUUCACUUCUUGUGAUAUAUUGUCUGCGCCACGUUUUAGCCUUUAAUUAUGCCAUCUUGCAACCUAAUCAUUAAUUAUCAGUUAAAGAGGACAGUUGAGAACCUAAUCAUUAAUUAUCAGUUAAGAGGGCAGUUGAGACUUGAACCAUGAACUUUGAAGGUCAUGUGGGUGUGUUUGUAUACAUCAAGCAAACUUAAGUGAUUAUUAGUUGGGUGAAAAUGAAAGCAAAGUGCAUAUUUAUGACCAACUGUAGAAGAGAGCGAAAGCGCCGAACGAUCGGAUAUAGGGAGCUUUUGAUGACUUGGCUCAAAUAAAGCCAGUUAUAUAUUUAUGCAUGGAGAAAUUAUGGAGAAAUUAUGAAAUUAUGGAGAAAUUAUGAAAGUACAAGUUGUUUUUUGUCAUUUUGAUUUUUUCCCGAGGUGUAGUCAAAUGUUUUUCCAAUAAUUUUAUUUAAGUGGUCAUCCAAGUUCAAAUUCAUGGGGAGAUUAGUGAUCAGAAAAGAAAUUUAGGUUUUACCCACCCGUUAUUUUUUUUAGGAAAAAAAUGAAAUUAUAAUGUGACUAAAUACGUUAAAACUUAUCGGAGAGAACAAAUUCGGUAUAUUCUGAAGAAUGAAAAUUACAAUUAAUAGUACAAAUAAUUAUGAAACUCUCUUUGCAAGUGUAGAUAUCUUUUGAAACAUGGAUCUCAAUCGAAUAAGAAUACACCUCCUACUCCUCUUCUGACUCCUAUCAGAUAUUUGCAACCCGAGCGAACACACCACACUGCUCGAGUUAUCACACCGGUGUCGGUGCACAAGGCAAUUAGGUUAUGAUUUUUUUUAAUUAAAGAAAAAAAUCAAGCCUUACCUAAAAGCAAUUAGUAAUAAAAGUUUAGUGGAAUCUAAAGAAUAACAUUACUAGCUGGCUACAACUCCUUGGUCGUGCAUAUAUGCAUCCAAUAUAUGCUGUAUAUGGUCCAUAUCCGUCAUUUUCUUAUGAUUUCUGUGAGGACUACUUAAUUUAUUAUUAAUUACUUGUGGAUGACCAACUAAGGAUGAUGAUGGUGAUGAUGGUAUGAAAAUAUAAAAGCGCUAAAACUAUAAACAAAUAUAGUUAAAAGACAGUAAUUUCAUUUGAAGAGUAAACAUGAUCUAUCUAGUCAAUGCAGCAAAGGUAUUCAAAUCAAGCCCAACAGGAUGAUAGCCUACAUGGUCUAGAGCUCAACAUCUGCAUUUUCCAAAAGACUGCUAUAUGUAUGUAUGUAUGUAUGUAUAUAUAUGCAGUGUUAGUGCACCGCUCCUGAACCUGUCAUGUGUAUAUGUUUCUUUGUGUGUGUGUGUGACUUUGAGCAGGUAUGUGAAGAUUGAUUUAUUCAAUAUUUGCAUUUUCUAAAGACUGUUAUAUGUAUGUAUGUAUGUAUGUAUGUAUGUAUGUAUGUAUGUAUGUAUGUAUGUAUGUAUGUAUAUAUGUAUAUACAGUGUUAGUGCACCGCUCUUAACCUGUCAUGUGUAUAUGUUUCUAUAAAUAUGUGUGUGUAUGUGUGUGUGUAACUUUGAGCAGGUAUGUGAAGAUUGAUUUAUUCAACAUUUUUCUUCUUUUCAGAAGGAUUAAAUCCAUUUAGAUUUUAGCCACUGGGCUUUAACCAGUGGUUAGAACUCAUAACUCACAAUUGUGAGGUCAUGGGUUUCGAGCCCCACAAUGCAUUGUGCGAAUUUAAUUUUCUUCCUCAAUUUUAGUGAAGGUAGUGUCUUCUCCCUAUCGAAAUGUGAGUGGAGUAGACGUCCCUCAAAUAUUAGAAAUGGUAAAAAUCUGGGCGGACUUCAUAAGAAUUGAUGUAAAAUAGUCCUAGUAAUAAUCUGAUUUGUAAAUGUCAGUUGUAAUCUCAUGUAAUAUGAGUUUUACUCUUGAGCAAUAGUCUCAUGUAAUUAAAAAAAAUCAAUUUAAAUUUAUAUGUAAUUGUAAAACAUUUAAGUAAGGAAUGAUUUAGAGCAGUUGAAUUUUUAAGUCUAUAUCUGGGCCCUACCUGUGAGUAGGUUUAAGCAUGUGUCUCGCAGUUCAAGAAUUGUGUUUCUGUUACUUGCUUAUCUUCUGAUCUUCAUUCAUCAUUUCCCGAAUCAUCAUGGAAAUAUACACUUGCUUUAGGUUAUUUAUAAAAAAUAAAUUAUGCAUAUAGUUUUGGCUGCUGGCUUGUGAUUAAUGCUUCAGUUGGUAGAUUGAGAGAUGGGAUAGAAAGUCUUCCAUCUUGAUUUGCCUAAUAUGAUUUUCUUCUUUACCUGCUGGCAAAGAAAGGGGAAAAGUUUCUUGAUCUUCCUUAUGUUGUAAAAUGGAUGAAUGUCUCUUUUAGCGGGAUAUUGAGCUAUAUUGAAGCAACUGCUGCGGAGAAGCUCAACAAUAAUGAGUGCACUCCUGCAGAUUUGUGCUAUUCCCUGCAGGUUAGUUGCAUUUUUCAUCCUUCAAUCCAUUGGAACAGCACGAGCCAUAGCUUUAAAGACUGCAAUUAUAUGUUGCCAUUUCUUCAUGGAUCGUUAUAUGAAUCGUGUGUUAACGUAAUUGGAAAUUUACAUUUUGCUUGAUGAUAUGCGUUAUAGGAAACUCUUUUUGCAAUGCUUGUGGAGAUCACGGAACGGGCAAUGUCACAUUGUGCCAAAAAGGAUGUUCUUAUUGUAGGCGGUGUGGGUUGUACGAGCGCUUGCAAGAGAUGAUGAGAACAAUGUGCUCUGAGCGGGGUGGAAGGCUGUUUGCAACGGAUGACCGCUAUUGCGUUGACAACGGAGCAAUGAUUGCGUACACCGGUCUGCUUGCUUUUGCUCAUGGCUCAUCAACUCCAUUAGAGGAAUCAACCUUUACCCAGCGAUUCAGGACCGACGAAGUGCAUGCAGUCUGGAGAGAAAAGAAGAUUCAGCUUGCAAGAAUGGUGUCAUUAAGGAAACUAGCUAAAUCGGAUGGUAGAUUUAGAGGUAGAAUCAUUCUGGCAGUGCCAGCAGUAAUUUAGUACUUAGCUCGCGAAUGAAUUUUGAUUAAAGAUGUUGUAAAUUUAAAGUAGGAAGCAAAUUAUUUUGUUUUCGUAUGAAUUUAGUACUUAGCUUGCAAGAAUGAAUUUUGCUCUUAGUAAUGUACAUCCACGAUUUUGCCAGUCGAAGCUUUAGAAUUUACAUUAUUGAAGAAAAUUCUAGGGAUGAGUUAUAUAAAGUACUCUUAAUUAUAACGAGUGAUGGUGUAGUGGACGAUGUUAUUUAUGUUUUCGUAUUAUCAUGAACAUACGUUGGUUAAUUUACAACUUCAACUUGUGCCGAUUGAAAGAAGUUGUUCGCCAAAUCGUAAAUCCGAAAAAAUAUUUUAUGGGCUAAUGGGCUUGCUUAGUUGAGAUGAGAUGGAGAAUGAAGGGGGGUUUUUAAUUAAAUAUUCUUUAAUAGUUGUAAAAUUAUUUAAAUACUUCUUUUUUUUUUUCAUAAAUACCCUAACAAAUACGUGUGAAGUCUAAAAUGCCCUUAAUGAAUGCAUGUAAUCCACUCUUUUUCACUAUCUUCUUAGUUCUUACACUCAAAUCUCUUCUUACCAAAAUUCUUUCAAAAUUAUAACCUCUUAUGCAAAUACAACUAUGUAUUCACUUCUUCUUUUUUUAAUAAUUUUUGUUGACAUUUUUUGCAUAGCAACAAAUAUAAAUUCUUAACACAAAUUAAGUCUUUAAAGAACUUAAUUAUUCUAAUGAAUAAUGAAAAAAGUCGUGUAAUACAUGAAGCCGUGUAAUACAUGAAGGUCUUGUAAUAGUCGUGUAAUACAUGAAUGUCAUGUAAUAAACAACUAAAGGUCGUGAAAGUCCUGUAAUACAUGAUUCAAGAUUGCGUAAUAAUAUAAAAAGUCACGUCAUAUACAACUAAGGGUCAUGUAUUACACGACCUUGAAUCCCAUGUUACGUGAUCUUACACGACUAAAUCGUACGUUACGUGACUUUACACAACUGAAUUAUAAUUGGCACAAUCCAUCAAUUUUUCACCAUUUACAUGGAGCAAACGGUUGGAAAUUUGUAUGUUAUAAGAGACCCACAACUAAUUUAAUCUAUUUUUACAAUAUAAGAUCCUUUUUUUCCUUAAAUAUAAAAAAGAAAACUAAUUACAAGGAAUUAUUUUCCUUAAGUAGUUAGAUUCCGACAAUUUUACAACAAAGAAUUAGCUUUCACUGACAAUUGUACAACAACGAACCAAGCUUCUCUUUCUCAGUUGCAGCAAUUUCCUCUUCUCAGGCUCGGUUUGCUCAUGUGUUGAUGUCUGGUUCAAUAUAUAUGAGUGUUUAUUUGAGUCAUGCCAUGUUUGAGUUGUGUAAGUGUUUUAAGAUAAGAGUAGUUUAGUAAUUUUAUGUGAGUUUUUAGAGAGUAUUGAUGAAAAUUUUGGCAAAUUCUAUUUUUAGAGUAUUGAGAUAAUUUUGAAUGUAUCAAGGUGUAUCUAGGGCUGAGUAAAAUAACCGAUCCGACUCAAAAAAUAUUGGGUUUGAAUCAGAUCGUAUUGUUAACAAAAUCCGAUCGGGUGUAACUUUGCCAACCUGAUCGGAUCGUGAUAGGAUUGGAGGAAACCUAAUCCGAUCCGAUCCGAAAACCCGAUCUGGUUGGCUUCACAAAAAAAAAAAAAAAAACUAAUGAAACAAACUAACAAAGUGGCAAACAAAACAAAAUCGGAUUCACACUUCACACAAAGCAAAUAUUAGAUCUAAAUUAAAAAAAUCUGUAAGCACACACAGACACUCACACCAUACACAGUCACACACAAAUAGAGGUUGGGCCUCGGAGAUCGGAGAUGUCAAGAUACCAAAUAGUGAAGCAGCAGCGAGCAGAUCGGAGAUGCAACCGCGAGAAGCAGCAGCCAGUAGAUCGGAGAUGCAACCUCGUGAAGCCGUGAACCAGCAGCCAGUAGUCGCUGAAGCGAUCGUGCGAAGCCAAGCCAUCAGAGAUCGGAGAUGUCAGCGAAGCAGCGGCGAGCAGAUUGGAGACGCAACCGCAAGAAGCAAUAGCCAACAGAUCGGAGAUGCAACCGCGCGAACCAGCAGUCAACAGUCACCGACGCGAUCGUGCGAAGCCAAGCCAUCGCUGCAACCGUGACAUGCCGAUGGAAUCUGCAGCACCUCGACUGCUACCGCUUGCUGCCGCUGGCUUCACCGAUUACCACAACCGCUGCAACUUAAUUCACCUCCACAUUUACUGUCACCAAGUUUUUCAUGGUAUUGACUAUAUUGUUUUAAAAAUUUUAAUUUAAAAAGCUUACAACAAAAUUUAUCUUGAGAUAAGGUUGAUUGUUUUGCUUGAUUGUUUCUGAAAUUAACCCAUAGAUAUAGAAUGGAUGUAUAACCCGAAUGCUUUUAAAUCUGAAUCCGAUCCGAAUUAAUCCGAAUUUUUUAUCUGAUCGGACCGGAUCGGAUCGGAUCGGAUGGGAUUGAUAAUUUGGGUUGAGUUCGGAUGAUUUUUUUCCCAAUCUGAGUGACCUGAAAUCCGAUCGGAUCAAUCCGAACCUGAUCCGAAUCCGAUUUUGCAACCCCUAGGUGUAUCUGCUGCAAUUACCUCAAAUGAAGGCCAGGCCCAAUCAAGCCCAAAGAUACACAACGCAGCGAACUAAACCAAAAGGGCACGAUCAAUUUCGCAGUUUCCAUAUUCCACCACACGACUGACAGAAGAAGAAGAAGAAGAAGCAUCGAUCGAAAGGGUUAGCGAUCGUUGACAAAACAAGUGAAAGGAUGGGGCACACAGGCGAGUUCUUCAGGCGAAGAGAUGGGUGGAGAAAGCAUCCACUGCUGACGAGUAAUCUGCGUCAAGCCACUCCAGGCCUUGGCAUCGCUCUCGUCGCUUUUGGAAUCUAUCUUGUUGGCGAACAAGUCUACAAUAGCGUCAUCGCUCCUUCUCCUUCUCAUUCUCACCACACCCACCACCAGCACUCCGCUGCUUCCUCUUCUCACUGAAUCUCUUCAGCUCUCCUGCUUCUCUCGGGUCUGUUGUUGAAUUGAAUUGCCCCCACAUUUGACUGCAAAAAUCUCUCUCUCUCUCCUUUUUUUUUUUUUCUCUUAUGGCUUAUGUUCUUUUCAUAACUUUUUGUUAGGUUUUGUUUGUUGUGUGAUUUUUAGAGAUGGGUAUGUGUAAAUUUUUAGGUUUUUCUUAGUUUAGAUUAGCAAUCUAGUCAGAUUCAUCCAUCGUGCUGCAGCUUCUGACCUGCAUAUUUGAAAAUAAAUUUAUUUUCUUGCCUGUUUUUGAAGAAUUAGCAUUGGUCUGUCUUUUUUAAAAAAAAAAAAUUAUGACAUGUUUGUUAACCAUGCGAGUCUGUGUAAAAUUUUGGAUUUUAUGGGUUUUUUUGUGAAAUGAAUGUCUGAAAUUUAUGUUUUUAUUGAUAUUAAAAUCUAGUCGGGUUCACCUGCUCUCUGGCCAGCUGGGUAGUUCGCUUGAUUUCUUUCGCUUUUUAGGUGUUAUGCUUAUUUUCUUGCUAUUGGUGCUAGAUUUAGGAUUUUCUGGUACUUUAUGACAUGUUUGUAUAUAGUUUAGGUUUUUAUUUGUAUUAUGACCACAUUGGUUUCAUUGCUCUCAUGAUUUCUGGUUGCUAAAUCAUACUCUUUUGACGUGCAUCAUAUGGUUAUUGUCUUUUUUUAUUCACAUGAUCUUUAGUUGAGCUGAACAUGUAGAGUUGUUACUGUUCAACAGGGGUUUCUAUUUAGUAAUUGCUCCAUGCGAAGCAUUCCCACUUUUUCCUUCUACAAUGUGGCUGCUAUUUCAUUCAAUUUGACUAUGAUUUUGUUGUUGUGGCUAAUUGAUCAUCUUUGAUGGAGGAAUGUUAGGAAAUUAAGUUGUAUUAAAUACUAAAUAAAGACAAUUUGGUCAGGCAUAAGACGAAUGAAAAACGUUUGUUCUUAGAUGCAGGGCAGUAAGUUAUUUACUUACACCGAUGAAGUUACAACUAACACUAGUUUCAUAUGGUUGAGUGAUUUACUUAUAUGUUUAUUUUAUCCGUUGGGAAUGCAGUUGUGGGGAUUAGCUAGUUCAACCAGCAAGUUCUUUUUCACUUUUAUGGGGUUAAGAAUGAAUGACAUUCAAACUGGGGAUUUGAUGCCAGGGGCUUUUUAACUCUAUGGAGGGCAGGGGAUAAGGGUCGAAAAGAGCACCUUGUAGAUUGUCAUUUCUAGGAUGAGCAAUAAUGCCCUUCUGAAAAUUCAUUGGUUUGUCAGUGGUUGAUUUUUGACCAUCCAAUUUUUUAUCCUACAAUUUUUUGGGCUAAUUGAGAAAUCAUAUGGUGUUAAAUACUGUAUCUUACUUGGUAGUAUUUUACGAAAUAAUAUUUGCUUAUGAUUGACUUAGCAAAACAAUAUCCGGUGUGCUUGUAUUAACCCUGCUGUGUUUUCGGAAGGCUUGCAAGUAAUUUCACAGCACAGAGGGCUGCUUUGUUAUUCUGUUUAGUUGGUUAUUGAUGUAGAACAGGCCGUAACUUGGACAGUUUUAAGUUUUUCUUUAUUUGUUCUUUAUUUUAAGUUUUUCUAAAAUUCUGUCUCUAGAACUUUAAUGUGUUGAAAUAAUUUGAAUUUACGCAGUUUGGUAAAUUCACGUUAUUUAGGGUUUUAGUAUAAAGGGAGCUGAACCCUAUUUGUUUUGGUUGGUUGAUUCGUGAUAUAUAUAUAUCUUUUUGAGAAGAUUCGUUCUCUCUUUCGGUUAUCCCCAUUAAAGUUUACAAUUCCCCUUUAUUAUUCUUUGAUGAGGAGUGUUUGUGAAUCUGUGAUUUAAGCUGACAGAAUUGUUGCAUGCAAAUUUAAUAUGAUCAGACAGAUCCUCUAUCUAGUCCUCUAAGUACUAUCUAUCUUGAUUUUUUUUUUGUUCUUAAUUGGUUGCUGAAGAUGGUGGUGACAUGUUGGAAGAGAAUUGAAGUUUGGACUUAUUUUCAUUUCCCAUUUUGUUGUUUGAGUUAAUAAGAUCAACUUUGCCAUGUUUAGUGUUACUUUGUUGUGUAUUAAGUUUAGAGUGUGAGACUUGAUCUGUUAUGUAGAUCUUUAAUCUUUUGCUUUUGAUAUGGUUAUGCAUUCAAUGGCUCUACAUUUGGUGCCUGAAAUGUUUCGAAUAAAGAAGUUUCUUGUUAUAAAUAUAUUGUCUUAUUUAUUUAAUUUUUUUUGGUCAAGUUCUCAAUUUUUAUGCAUAACGUUUUUAUGUUUCGUUUCCUGAUCUUAAAUUUUUUGUACCAUUCAUUGAAAAAAGAAAUGUAACUUAAAAUGAUGACUUAAAUUUUGAUCCGUUACAUUUCAUUCGAUCUAAAGGUGUAUAUGUUAUACCUUACUUUAAAGAACCUAAGGAUUUUUAUAUUUGAAAAUUACUCCGUGUGUGUGAGUUGAAAACAUAUUAUCCCUUAUUUUAAUAACUUAAGAGAUUUUUUUUAAAAUUUUAUAUUUAUCUCUCUCUCUCUAUAUAUAUAUAUAGCCCUUCUAAUAAGAGAAUUCCCUAAUUUUAUUCCAAGUAAAGGACAAUUCAAAAGAAAAAAAAUACGUAUUUCAAUAUACUAAAAAAUAAAAUAUACUGUUUCGGAGUGUGUUUUUCAACCUUUUAAUUUGUCUUUUGCUUGGAUUAAAAUAAGUGAUUCCUUAUUGUAAAAUCACUUCAUAUAAUCAAUAUAAUACAUUAUAUUAGUGUGUAUUUUACUUCUCUUUUAGUUUAUCCCUUAAUUAUUCAACAGUUUGCUUACUAGAUAAUGACUCAUAUAUUUUAUUUUGACUCAAAUUUUUGACAUAAAUAUUGAGUUAUUGGUUUCGUACAAUUUAAUGGUAAAUAAAUUGGUAUCAUUAGUGGUCUUUGUGUGUGUGUAUCUUCAUUUUUUUUUAUGGAGAUAUUUUUAAACCAUGAGAUUUUGAAAGAGUUAGUGUACGCAUUAUGAAAACAAAAAGAUAUAAGCGCCCGCACUUGAUAACAAUUAUUUAAAGGAGUAUGCGUCGGGUGGAAGGAACAAUUAUCAUAUCUUGAUUGAACAAACCACUAGGUCAACUCGGUUCUUAUCUAAGGACACGAAAUAAUUAAUUAAUUAUGUUUCAUUUUUACUAUGAUAAUUCCCAGUUUAUAAUCAUGCCGUUAAUUAAGAAAUAUACAGUUUACGACUGGGCCUCAUAAAAAAAAAACUUUAUUUUAACUAGUGAAAAAGAACAAUAUAUUUAAAUUGGUCUUGGAGAAUGGUAGGCGAAUGAUGCCAAAUUAAAUUUGCAUGAAAAAUCCAAAAGCAUGUGAGACUUGCUCAAUUAUUGUGUUAUGUGUCCUACGCUAUAAUUAAAGCAAAUGAAAUCCGUGACAAUAUAUAUGUAAUCAAGUAGCUGGUCAAGGCGCCAACAAAAAAAAAAGUAACUGGUCCGAGGGCGAGGACGGAUUAGACCUUUUAAUUGCGACAGACAUUAAUUUUUUUUAAAAAAAUAAAAUUAUUUGGUUUAUUUUAUAAUUAUAAAAUUAUUUUAAUAAGUAAAUAUAUUAAGAAUAUAUUAUUAAAAGAAUGAAAUAAAUAAGAGUAUUUUAAAAAUUUAUUUAAAAAAAAAUCUACAGCCUCAAAGCCUAAAAACUCAAACUUUUGUUAAUAAAAGUAAAAUAAUUUAUUUAAUUUCUAAAAACUUCAUUCGAAAAACAACUAAAUAAUAACAAAAAUUUUAAAAAGAAUUUUAAAAACGAAAUAAAUGCUUUUAAGCAUUAGACAAGUUAUAUUAAACAUGCAUUUAUUACAUCUAUAAAUAUAUUAUAAUUUAAUAUCUACUCCCAUAAUUAUUAGGGUUAAAUCUUGUCUUAUAGUAGGAACAUUACCCAACCCCUGGGGACUUAGAACUCAUAUCCUAAUGUUGAGGGCAUGGGUUCUCACCUAUACCCCUAGUGGGAAGUCAUUUAUCUAUAACAGUUUCUUUGCCAUAAAUAUCUGUUUACGGAAGAGCAUUAUUCACCAUACAAAACUUCUAGUUGGAUAAGUCCUCUCCUUUUAACUUUUUUAUUUUUUUGAAGGGUAAAUGUUUAUUUAGUUAUUAUAUUUUAAGAUUAGUGUCUAUUUAGUUUUUAUAUUUUUAAAAAUACUUUGAAAUAUCCCUGCUGUUAAAGUAUUGAUACCCCUACCGUUACUUUUUAUUUCUUUUGGUUUACUUUUACAAUAUUACCCUUUUAUAAUAAUUUUUUUAGACAUUAAUAAAAAUUAAAUUAUUAAAUUAUUAAUUUAACCCUAAAAAUAAAAAAAAUAUAUAUAUAUAUAUUAAUUUUUUUGCAAGCACCAUUUGCACACUUGGUAGUUUUCAUACAAUUGUUGACAAUUUAAUUUUUGACAAUUAAAAAUUAAUAUAAAUUUUUUAGGGUUAAAUUGAUAAUUUAAUUAUUUUCUCGUUAUUAAUGUCCAAACAAAAAAAUAUUAUAAAAUGAUAAUAUUAUAAAAGUAAGACAAAAGAAAUAAAAAAUAACGAUAGAGGUAUCAAUACUUUAACGGCAGAGAGAUUUCGAGAUAUUUUUAAAAAUAUAAAAAUUAAAUAAAUACUAAUCUUAAAAUACGGAAGUAAAUGAGCUUUUACCCUUUUUUGAAUACACACACAGAUCAUAAUUGAAGCGCUAUAAAUAUAAUUAGAACAACUUGCAAGAAGCUGCUGGCAUCUCCCGAGCAAGCUCGAGAAAGUAGUCAGUAAGAGUUGUACACAGGAAAAAAGCAUGGGAAAUAAUAAUGUGAUGGGAUUGGGAGGCGGUGUCUUGGCAGCGAUCAUAGUUAUGACGAUACUCUUCUUCACCGCAAAUCAAUCUUGUGCUGCAGGCAACGGCACCGACAUUACUAAUUUCCAUAUUGAUCCUGAUGUGUUGUUCUUUCAUGGUGAUCCGGAAAUGGAGUCGGCUGCUGCUGCUGCAGGAAAAGGCGUGGUGAAUUUGAAACCCCUGAUCCGCCCUCCAACAUUCGAUUGCGACAGAGUCGUUUAUCGGCCAUGUGUACCUAAUCCCCAGAAUUCCAAAAAGGGUGAACAUUGCGCACCUGGUCCUGGCGGCACGUAUGCCCCAAAUCGAGGGUGCUAGUAGCAAAUGAUACAUCUUUAGUCUCCAAUCUUCAUCUUCAUCUUCAUCCUCAACUAUGUCAUGAUGUGGGCUUAUUUUGCGUGUUGUAUUUAAUUUAUAAGUAGCUAAAAUUAAUUAAUAAUCUCUCUUUCCCUUCCCUUCUUAAUUCUCUCUAUCUGUAUAUUAUUAAUUAUUAAGCUUUAAGUUUGUGCUGCUGCAUCCAUGCAUAUGUCCUAAUAAAUUAAUUAAGAUUCCUAAUUUAAUUAGUAUUAAUUGAUUUGUUGUUAAAUUAGCCAGGUUCCUCCAUCUUUUCAUAUUCUCUUUUUUCAAUUAUACCAUAACCUUCCUGAGUUUAUUGCUUUUCCAUGUGCGUACGUAUUAAAAGCCUGGAAAUUAAAAGUAAUUAUGGCAUUUUAUAUUGACCGGUACCUACUCUUAGUUACCAGCCUCUUGAGGGGAAACCGGCUGCGAUAUAAAUCAAAUGCUUUUGUAAAUAACAUUCAUUGAUUUAUCUGCUCCCUCCGACCCGCCUUAAUUGAUUGUUACGACAACAUCAUCCCAAAUGUUGUAAUUACAAUUAUAUAUGUUAGCCUUUUUUUUUUAAAUAAAUAAUUGCACAGAGACACAGAUGCAAUUUUUUAUCACAAAGUAGACCUUUCAUUGCUCGCAACACAUCAAAUACAUUUUGCACUUCAGUUGGUAUUGAAUCAAGCCAAAUAGCACCUGAUUUUUGGGAACAUACUGAAAAAUAAUUUUAUGAAGCUCCUUACUUUGUUUUUGGAUCUCUGAAAUUACCCAGAAAAUUUCUAUUCUGCUACCCUUAGUCUUGUUAACUAACUCGACUACCUCCACACAGUCCGACUCUAUAAUGCAUGAGGUUAUGCCUGCUUUUCUCGCCACUUGGAUGCCCCACUGGACAGCUUCAGCCUUUGCAAAACUUACACUUCCUUUAAAUUGAGACUGAUAAAAACUAGCUGCAACCACCUUGCCAACCGAGUUUCUUACCAAAGCUCCCAGACCUACCCUGUGAUCCUUGCUACUUAUGGCUGCGUCAACAUUGAUCUUAGACAUGUUUUCAGGAGGGGCGACCAGUUUUGUAGCUUCUCUCUUCUAGAAAUGUCAAGAUGCGAUGCAUUAGGAUUCCUUACUCUUUACACCCAGUCGAGAUUGUUACAUCUUUAAUCUGCAAUCUUCAUCUUUAUCCUCAACUAUGCCAUGAUGUGGGUUUAUUCUACAUGCUUGUUGUAUUUAAUUUAUAAGUAUAGCUAUAAUUAAUUACUAAUCUCUCUUUCCCUUCCCUUCUUAUUUCUAUCUAUCUAUCUAUAUAUUAUUAAUUAUUAAGCUUUAAGUUUGUACUGCUGCAUCCAUGCGUAUGCAUUAAUAAACUGAUUAAUUAAAAUUUCUAAUUUGAUUAGAACUAAUUAAUUCGUUGUUAAAUGAGCUAGGUUAAUUACUCCAUCUUGAUGAUACCGUUCAUAUUCACUCAUUUCAAUUCUACUAUACCCUUCCUGAGUUUAUUACUCUUCCAUGUGCGUACGUAUUAACAGCCUGGAGAUGUAAUUAAUUAAUUGAUUAACCAUUGAUACUUAGCUUUCACAGUCAACAAGCUUAGUCAGUUUUUAUCAGCUCCCACCAUUCUUCAUUGGCAAGCUUGCAAGAGGGUGUUACGGUAUCUUCAAAGUACAGCUGAUUAUGGUCUUCAGUUUUUCAGUUCUGGUUCUUUAAAGUUAACUGCCUACUCUGAUGCUGAUUGGGGAGCAGAUCCUGAUGAUCGCAGAUCUGUUGGAGGUUAUUGUGUGUUUUUAGGUUCCAAUCUCAUCUCUUGGUCCUCUAAGAAGUAGCCCAUUGUGUCCAGAUCAUCAGCUGAGUCAGAGUAUAGAGCUCUUGCUAUGGCUACCUCUGAAGUUCUCUGGAUUACAUACUUAUUUCAAGAGCUUAACAUAUCUUUUGAUCAGAUUCCUCUUCUGCAUUGUGAUAACAAGAGUGCUGAAGCUUUGGCCAGUAAUCCUAAAUAUCAUGCUCGUACUAAACAUAUUGAGCUUGAUCUUCAUUUUCUCAGAGAGCAUAUUGCUCAACAGCAGCUUUCAGUCACUUAUGUUCCCAGUUCAGAUCAAUUAGCAGAUGUUCUUACUAAGCCCCUCUGUUUUGAUCAGUUUGCUUAUUUGCGCAGCAAGCUUGAGGGGGGAUGUUAGAGUUAUAAAUAUAAAGAAUAUUUUUGUAAUGAUUCUGCUGAUGUGGCCGCUGAGUAAGCAAGGCUGUUAUUGUUAGUUUGUAAGUUUGUUAUAGAGCUGAGAAGUUUGUUAAUCACAGCUCACUCUCAACACGUGUGUGAGCAAUACAGAAGGUUCUGGAUCUUAGUAUAUAAGGUCAACCUCUGUAUUCAUAAUUCAUUGAAUAAGAUUCGAUCUAUUUCUCUUAUAGUUUCUCUUAUUACUCAUUGAAUUUUCCUUCAUUUUCUCUGCAACCAAACAAGCAUAAAUAGCUUGCUGGACCUACUCUUAAUUACCGGCCUCUUGAAGGGAAACCCGCUACGAUAUAAAUCAAACAACUGAACGUACAACUUCAUUAGAUUUCCUGCAAUAAUGCCUAACAUUCAAUGAUUUAUCUGCUCCCUCCGACCCGCCUUAAUUAAUCGUUACCACAACAUCAUCCCGAAUGUUGUAAUUACGUACAAUUAUAUAUGUUUUUUAAUAAAUAAUUUUACAGAGACAGAUACAAUUAGUGUGGCAUAUGGAAGGAUGUUAGUUGAAACUUGGAAGCGAUAUCACUUAAUCCAUCGUGCUUUUGCCCAACUUCUAUAUUCAAGAUUAUGAAAUUUAGGAGAAGUCUAUGUUACAGAUUCCGUGACAUACAUCCCCCACUCCAUGCACUCCACGUGUCCCUGCAUGUGGAAACAAAGCAAGCAAAUGACAAUCUUGGGGAGCUGGCUAACCUGGUCUGUCUGUUAACGAAACUGUACCGUAGCCUGCUCCUGAAAUCUAUUGUUUCUUUUCCCUUCACUUCUUGCGAUAUAUUGUCCGCCCUACGUGUUAGCCUUUAAUUAUGCCAUCUUGCAACCUAAGCCCAUCUUGCAACCUAAUCAUUAAUUAUCAGUUAAAGGGGACAGUUGAGAACCUAAUCAUUAAUUAUCAGUUAAAGGGGCAGUUGAGACUUGAACCAUGAACUUUGAAGGUCAUGUGGGUGUUGUUGUAUACAUCAAGCAAACUUAAGUGAUUAUUAGUUGGGUGAAAAUGAAAGCAAAGUGCAUAUUUAUGACCAACUGUAGAAGAAAGCGAAAGCGCCGAACGAUCGGAUAUAGGGAGCUUUUGAUGACUUGGCUCAAAUAAAGCCAGUUAUAUAUUUAUACAUGGAGAAAUUAUGGAGAAAUUAUGAAAGUACAAGUUGUUUUUUGUCAUUUUGAUUUUUUCCCGAGGUGUAGUCAAAUGUUUUUCAAAUAAUUUUAUUUAAGUGGUCAUCCAAGUUCAAAUCCAUAGGGAGAUUAGUUAUCAGAAAACAAAUUUAGGUUUUACCCACCCCUUAUUUUUUUAGGAAAAAAAAUGAAAUUAUAAUGUGACUAAGUAUGUUAAAACUUAUCGGAGAGAACAAAUUCGGAAUAUUCUAAAGAAUGAAAAUUACAAUUAAGAGUACAAAUAAUUAUGAAACUCUCUCUGCAAGUGUAGAUAUCUUUUGAAACAUGGAUCUCAAUCAAAUGAGAAUGCAUCUUCUACUAGGGGUGGGCAUGGGUUGGAUUGGAUAGGGUUUGUAAAAACCCAACCCAAUCCAUUAUUAAAUGGGUUGAGAUAAAUUCAACCCAACGUAAUUAAAUAAACAUGUUCAACCCAAUCCAACCCAACCCUUAAAUUAUUAGGUUGGGUUGAUUAGGUUAAAAAUUUAAAGUCAAAUUAAAAUUAAAAUUAAAUUAAAAAAAAGAUACGAGAGUUGAAAUAAAACUUAUUGAAAUCAAAUAUAAAAAUAUUAUAUUAUGAAAAUUCUAUUCACUAUCUAGUAUUUGAUAAAGAAAACUAAAAGAAUAUAUAAUGAAUAAAUCAGAAAAGUACCUUAGUUGAUUGAAAAUUGAGAUUUAAGAGAGUGAUUUUAGUUUUGGAAUUAGAAUCUAGAGUAGUAGACAUAAGAACUAGAUAAUCUCUUUUAUAAAAGAAUAAAAAGAGGAUAAAAAAUAGAUUAGCCGUUUCGAUUUUUAGGAUUUUACAAUUGAAAAUUAUCUUCUUCUUCUUCUUAUUAUUAUUUAUGUGGGUUGGGUUGGGUUAUAUGAGUUCAUCAUAAUUAAUCCAAGUCAACCCAUAAUAACUCACUCAACCCGUUAAAAUUAAAUUAGGUUAAAUUGAGUUGGGUUGGGUCAAUCGAGUUGGAAUAGAUUUGCCCACCCUUACCUUCUACUCCUCUCCUGACUCCUAUAAGAUAUUUGCAACCCGAGAGAACACACCCACUGCUUGAAUUAUCAUAACGGUGUCGUCACCCAAGGCAAAUAGGUUAUGAUUUUUUUAAUUAAAAAAAAAAUCAAGCCUUACCUAAAAGCAAUUGGUAGUAAAAGUUUAGUGGAGAAUCUAAAGAAUAACAUUACUGGCUAGCUACAACUCCUUUGUCAUGCAUAUAUGCAUCCAAUAAUAUUACUAGCUAGCUAUAUAUGGUCCAUAUCCGUCAUUUUCUUAUGAUUUCUGUGAGGACUACUUAAUUUAUUAUCAUUUAUUAAUGUCUUAGUUAAGGUUUUUAAUUUUUUUUUUUACUGCUUGACUAAUUUAUAAAUUAAGACGUCGUUUUUAAGAAGGAAAUAAUUUCUCUUUAUUUUUUUACGGCUUGAUUGGAAAUCGGGGAUUGAAAAAAUGAAAGGAUUGAUGUUGAAGGAAAGAAUUGGGUAUGGAAAUAAAGUUGUGUGCCUUUAAAAUAAACUCAUAAAAAAUAAAAUUGAAUGAAUUUAAUUAUUAAUAAUUAGGUUACAAUAUAAAAUGAAAUCUUAACCUUUCAAUUUUUUUCUGGAUAUUAAAUUAUAAUUGGAUUAUUGAGAGCUAAAGAAAAAUUAGGAGGGGGAAAACUGGUGGGGAAUCCAAAUCCUAUCCUUAUUAAUUAACUAGAAAAUACAACCGCACUUCGUGCGGCUUUAAAAAAAGAAUUUAGUAUUAUUUUUUUUAUUAUUUUGUAUUUGAUGAAAUUGAUAAAAAAUAUGAAUUUUUUUUAAAGAUGACGCAGCCUUAUAAAACUAAUAUUAUUUAUGAAAGUUAAUUAUUUUUUAUUAACAUUAAAAAUAUAUAUUAAUGUGUAUAGUUAAGUGUACACAACCUUUUCAUCGAUAAAAAUUAUGUUCACACUAAUCAACUCUCUAUUUUUCUUGGUAUUAACAGACUCUCACAUCUUACAAAGCCUAACCCUUAUCAUCCAACUAUCUUUAUCAUUGUUUAACUCAUGAAGAAAAGAGUACUCCAUGAAGCACACAAUAUUAAAAUUUAAAUAAGUUAAAAAAUAAAAACACAAGAACAUUUCUAGAGAGGAUGUUGGUUAAAUAAUAAAAAAAAUCCAAACAUUACAAAUCUUAAAUGCUUAAUAUUUAUGAGUUUGAAGAAGCCAAAAGACACUAAAUAAAAGGUUGCAUAAUUAAAUAUGGGAUUAUGACAUUAAAAUUAAGUCAUAGUGGCAUUGGUGAGGGAAGAUGAAGGAACCUUCCUUCCUAUAUUAAUUAGUUGAUUAAUUUUAAACUACUAAAGUUUAGUUGUUGGCUUAAUAAAAUAAAUGAAUGUUUCAAAACUUAUAAUUAAUUUAUUAUUAAUGGUUACAUAUUGUUGAAUUUAAAUAGAAAGAGGAAGAGACAUGUAAUCUUUUGUAAUCUUUUAAUUAUUUUCUAUUUUUAAUAUUUUGUAAUGUAAUUAUUUUUUAAUCUCAACCAAUAUAUUAGAUAAUAGAGAAUAUAAAAAGAUGAGAAAUAAUAAUGCCACAAAUCUUAACUACUUAAUAUUUAUAGAGUUUGAAGAAGCCAAAAGGCACUAAACAAAAGGUUGCAUAAUUAAAUAUGAUAUUAUAGCAUUAAAAUUAGACCCUAAUGACAUUGUUGAGGGAAGAUGAAGGAACAUUCCUUCCUAUAUUAAUUAAUUGAUAUAUUUAAGCCACUAAAGUUUAAUUGUUGGCAUAAUAAAAUAAAUAAAUGUUUCAAAAUUUAUAAUUAAUUAUUAUUAAUGGUUACAUAUUAUUGAAUUUAAAUAGAAAGAGGAAGAGACAUGUAAUAUUUUAUAAUCUAAUAAUUAUUUUUUAUUUUUAAUAUUUUGUAAUGUAAUUAUUUUUUUAAUAUCAACUAAUUUAUUGGAUAAUAGAAAAUACAAGAAGAGGAGAAAUAGUGAUGCCACAUCACCUCCUCAAGUCCCAACUUUAUAUAUAUACUAGUAAAUAGAACCGCACUUCGUGCGGCUUUAAAAAAAAAGUAUUAUCUUUUUUUUAUUACUUUGCACUUGAUGAAAUUGAUAAAAAAUAUGAAUUGAUUUUUUUUUUAAAGAUGACGCAGCCUUAUAAAACUAAUGUUAUUUAUGAAAGUUAAUUAUUUUGUUGUUAACUUUAAAAAUAUAUAUUAAUGUGUAUAGUUAAGUGUACACAACCUUUUCAUCGAUAAAAAUUAUGUUCACACUAAUCAACUCUCUAUUAUUUUUGGUAUUAACAGACUCUCACAUCUUACAAAGUCUAACACUUAUCAUCCAACUAUCUUUAUCAUUGUUUAACUCAUGAAGAAAAGAAUACUCCAUGAAGCACACAAUACAAAAAUUUAAAUAAGUCAAAAAAUAAAAACACAAGAACAUUUCUAAAGAAGAUGUUGGUUAAAUAAUAAAAAAAAUCCAAACAUAACAAAUCUUAAAUACUUAAUAUUUAUAGAGUUUGAAGAAGCCAAAAGACACUAAAUAAAAGGUUGCAUAAUUAAAUAUGAGAUUAUGGCAUUAAAAUUAGGUCCUAGUGGCAUUGGUGAGGGAAGAUGAAGGAAUCCUCCUUCCUAUAUUAAUUAGUUGAUGUAUUUUAAACCACUAAAGUUUAGUUGUUGGCUUAAUAAAAUAAAUGAAUGUUUCAAAACUAUAAUUAAUUUAUUAUUAACGGUUACAUAUUGUUAAAUUUAAAUAAAAAGAAGAAGAGACAUGUAAUAUUUUAUAAUCUACUAAUUAUUUUCUAUUUUUAAUAUUUUGUAAUGUAAUUAUUUUUUAAUCUCAACCAAUAUAUUAGAUAAUAGAGAAUAUAAAAAGAUGAGAAAUAAUAAUGCCACAAAUCUUAACUACUUAAUAUUUAUAGAAUUUGAAGAAGCCAAAAGGCACUAAACAAAAGGUUGCAUAAUUAAAUAUGAUAUUAUAGCAUUAAAAUUAGAUCCUAAUGGCAUUGUUGAGGGAAGAUGAAGGAAUAUUCCUUCCUAUAUUAAUUAAUUGAUAGAGUAAUGAUAUAGCCACAAACUCUUGUACAAAUUUAUUUUGUACAAAUUGAUAUGACAUGAUAAGAUUGGUUGAAUUAAAUUUCAUUUGGCCCACAUGAUUUGUUUUUAUUAUUUUAUAUUUUCAUUCAACCAAUGAAUUAAUGCCACGUCUGUUUGUACAAAAUAAGUGUGUACAAGAGUUUGUAGCUGUAUCAUUACUCUAAUUGAUAUAUUUAAGCCACUAAAGUUUAAUUGCUAGCAUAAUAAAAUAAAUUAAUGUUUGAAGACUUAUAAUUAAUUAUUAUUAAUGGUUACAUAUUAUUGAAUUUAAAUAGAAAGAGAAAGAGACAUGUAAUCUUUUAUAAUCUAAUAAUUAUUUUUUAUUUUUAAUAUUUUGUAAUGUAAUUAUUUUUUAAUGAUAAUAGAGAAUACAAGAAGAUGAGAAAUAGUGAUGCCACAUCACCUCUUCUAGUCCCAACUUUAUAUAUAUAUCUUAAUAUUUUGUAAUGUAAUUAUUUUUUAAUCUCAACCAAUAUAUUAGAUAAUAGAGAAUAUAAAAAGAUGAGAACUAAUGAUGCCACAAAUCUUAAAUAUUUAAUGUUUAUGGAGUUUGAAGAAGCCAAAAGGCACUAAACAAAAGAUUGAAUAAUUAAAUAUGAGAUUAUGACAUUAAAAUUAGGCUCUAAUGGCAUUGUUGAGGAAAGAUGAAGGAACCUUCAUUCCUAUAUUAAUUAAUUGAUGUAUUUUAAGCCACUAAAAUUUAAUUGUUGGCAUAAUAAAAUAAAUGAAUGUUUCAAGACUUAUAAUUAAUUAUUAUUAAUGGUUACAUAUUGUUACUCAGAUUAAAAGAUUGGUUUUCUAAAUAUGAUUUUUCGGUUAAGCAUAUAAAGGGGUUCCAGAAUCUCAUCCCUGAUAUGCUCUCCAGACUCUCCAAACCAGAAAACCCUCUCAUCCUGUUUUCCACCACCUACCAUUUUCCGAUUAUCUCCAUGGCUACCUUCUUACCCCCAGAAGCUCUCACCAAGAAAACUUUUCCCUUCAAAGAGGAAAAGACAUGUAAUCAUUUAUAAUAUAAUAAUUAUUUUCUAUUUUAAUAUUUUGUAAUGUAAUUAUUUUUUAAUUUCAACCAAUUUAUUAGAUAAUAAAGAAUAUAAGAUGAUGAGAAAUAAUGAUGCCACAUCACCUCUUCAAGUCCCAGAUUUAUAUAUAUAUAUAUAUAGAUAUAGAUAGAUAGAUAGAUAUAUAGAUAUAUAGAUAUAGAUAGAUAGAUAGAUAUAGAUUUUUAAUAUUUUGUAAUGUAAUUAUUUUUUAAUCUCAACCAAUAUAUUAGAUAAUAAAGAAUAAAAAAAGAUGAGAAAUAAUGAUGCCACAAAUUUUAAAUAUUUAAUGUUUAUAGAGUUUGAAGAAGCCAAAAGGCACUAAACAAAAGAUUGAAUAAUUAAAUAUGGAAUUAUGACAUUAAAAUUAGGCUCUAAUGGCAUUGUUGAGAGAAGAUGAAGGAACCUUCCUUCCUAUAUUAAUUAAUUGAUGUAUUUUAAACCACUAAAAUUUAAUUGUUGGCAUAAUAAAAUAAAUGAAUCUUUCAAGACUUAUAAUUAAUUAUUAUUAAUGGUUACAUAUUGUUGAAUUUAAAUAGAAAGAGGAAAAGACAUGUAAUCAUUUAUAAUCUAAUAAUUAUUUUCUAUUUUAAUAUUUUGUAAUGUAAUUAUUUUUUUAAUUUCAACUAAUUUAUUAGAUAAUAGAGAAUAUGAAAUGAUGAGAAAUUGUGAUGUCACAUCACCUCUUGUAGUCCCAACUUUAUAUAUAUAUAUAUAGAUAGAUAGAUAGAUAGAUAGAUUAUAAUCUCUACCUUUUUUAAUCAAGUCCAAAAUUUUUCCCUUUUUUUUUUCUUUUCAACUACGCAAAACUAAAAAACAGGGCAUACACUCUGUUCAUAUUUCUAUGAAAUCGUUGUUCAUUAAGCAAAUUUCUUCCUCUAAGUUCAGAAAAUUUCAUGAUUUGUCACUGACUGCACCCAAUAAAAAGAAAAAGAAUCAAAAGGACAUCUUUUAUGUGUAAAUACACGGGUCAGGCUACAGUGCAACUGUGGUACCGUGCCACAGUUGCACCAGCCGUUGGAUCCACUCAAAUGAGUGGGGUCCACUUAAAUAAGUGGGAAUCCAACGGUUGGGUGCAACUGUGGCACGGUACCACAGUUGCACCACAUAUUUAUCCGUAAAUACACAUCAAAUCUCUUUUAUUAAUCAAAUUUUUUUGACUAUUAAUAAAAUAGGCUACAUAGCAUAUUCUAUUUUCUCCCUCAGCUAAGAUACUAAUAUAUUAGUAUUAAAAAAAAAGAUACUAAUAGAUUACCAAAUUAAUUCGUAAACCGGAAAUUAAGAAAGUUAGAUCUCCAGUGAUUGUCCGUGCAAUCUCUGACUUGGCGGCACUGGAUUUUAUCAAUGCUUCAUUGUUAAAAUUUCCCGUGAAGGACGUAUAAAUUGCUGCCAUGGUGACCUUUGCAAAGGAUGUGACCAUUGCUGCGCUGGAUAAUACUGCUGGGGAUGUGAACAUUGCUGUGCUGGGUGUAAAAUGCAAGGGAUAUGAAUGUAAUUGGAGAUCGUUUUCAUUUUUGUUUGUCGUUUUCGCUUUUUCAAGGUUGGUAAAUGGAGAGUGAAGAAACAGCAGAUCACCGAGGAUUCACUAACUUUCGUGAAUUUAGGGGUUUUUUUGAGAUUAUGUGCCUGUUUGGUACAACUUAUUUAAUAAUCACAAGUGUUUAUUUAAUUUUAUUAGCUCUUAUUUUAAUUUUUAUUAUUGUUUGGUUUUUUUUAAUGGAAUUUUUGAAAUUUAAAUAAGAUAUUUUGUCUUUUCUAACAAAAUCUCAAAUUUUGUUGGGCACAGGACGAAUGAAAAACAUUUGUUUUUAAACACCUUUUCCUAGUUUCAAAUAGAAGUGAGAGAGAGUUGAUGUUAAAAAGACCGCCAGACUUAUAUUUUUCCAUGAGAAUUAUGUGUUAUGUGGAACUAAUUUUAAUUUACUUUCGUGAUCUUGUUACAAUGUUAGCUCUUUGCUCAUGAAUUGAUUAAUACGUGUAUUUUUUUACUCAAAAGUCUUCAUCUUAUUAAGUUGGAUCAUAAUUUUCCUCUGUUUUUUCUCGGCGUUAUCUUCUAUUACCUAGUAUCUCUCUCCUCUAGGAUGAGCAAUAAUACCCAUUUGAAAAUUCAUUGAUGUGUCAGUGUUUGAUUUAUGACAAGUGGAUUUCUCAUCCUACAAUUUUUUUUGGGACAAAUGAGAAAUAGGAGAUUGUUAUAUUCUAUAAUCAUUAUCAUACAUAAUUAUAUAGCAGCCGUUAAAUUUUCAUCAAACGGUUAUGUAAAUAUAAAAUAAUAAAAUCAUGUCAUUUUCACAACCGUUAAAUGAAAAUCUAACGACUGUUACAUAAUAUGUUACAUGAUUAUGUAACGUAACAAAAGCCUGAUAAAUAAUAUGAUAUUAACUACUGUAUCUUGACUGGUAGUAUUUUAAGAAGUAGCAUUUGCUCAUGAUUUGACUUAACAAAAUAAUAUCCAAUGCGCUUGUAUUAACCCUUCUGUGUUUUUUCACAAUAUCCGUUUCUAUUCUUUGUUGAGGGCUUUUGUGAAUCAGUGAUAUAAUCAGACAGAACCGUUGCAUCCAAAUUUUAUAUGAGAAAACAAGAUCCUCUCGCUAGUCCGCUCGCUUAACACGGAUCGAAUAUUAAUAAUAAGAAUGAUUUUACUUUUUAAGCUUUUAUGUCAAAUUACGCAUGCAAAAUAAUAAGAAAUUUUGUUUUUCCCAUAUGUACGUAUUUUGAGGAGACACGUCCACGAGUUCAUCUCUAAAAUUGAAAUCGGGUAUGGAAAGUGUAUACAAGUAUUUGCCCAUAGCACAGCCACAGAAACGGCGCAGCCUCAUUCUAUCAUUUUUGUGCCCCCUUCUCAAUUUUUUUUUAUAAUAAUUUUUUAUAUCACUCUUUAUUUCACCAUACUCUAUUUUAAUUAAUUCGAUUUAUUUCUCAAAUUGCUUCUAUUGAAAAUAUUUUAUCUCUAUUGUUUCUCACUUGCCGUUCUCAAUGUAUUUUAACACUAAUGAUAUGUUUACUUACCAGCAAUCAAAAUGGGAAUUCUGGAAUAGGAAUCAAUAAUGCAUUUACCUGCAAAAUUAAGGCUUGAAACCAGAAUCGAAAUAGUGUCAGACCCACAAAUUUGAGAAUCACUACCAUAGUUCUGAUUCCCAAGCGAGAAGUUGGAAUCAGAAUCCGAUUUCUAUAAAUAUUCAUUUUACUCUCAUUAAAUUUUCAUAAUCUCUAAAUUGCUCUCAAUUAUAUUCUGUUAUUUUUUCUUUUUGGUUCCCAUAGAUUUAUCAAAAAACUCAAAAUUUUAAAUUAUUUGCAAAUAGGUCCUUUAUUGUUUAUUAUAAUAAUAAUAAUAUUAUUAUUUUUUUUAAAUUUAUUUAUUUUAUUAUUUUAAUUAUUAUUAUUGUCAUUAUUUUCUUCAUCAUCAUCAUCAUUAUUAUUAAAUUUUUUAUUUAUUUUUUUUAGGAAAACAUGGUACACAUAAAUUGCUAGACAAAGAGAAUCUCUUGUAUAUAUCAAGAGAUCUUACAAGUUACUAAAUCAAACUGAGACUCUCAUACAAUUGACAGGAAAUAACAGUACCCAUCCUUUUAUUUAAUUAAACAUAACAUAAGAGACAAACAUGGCAUGCACUUAACCAGUGUAGUCAGGAUUUCUUCCAUAUUGAGGGACCACAAGAAAAUCAAGAUUGUUGUUACUUUCAUCGACCGUAAUAAUUAAACCCCACAAGGGGUCCGGAAACCCCUCCGACCAAUCGUUAUGACCUGAAAAAAUCAUAUUAUAAAACUUAAUCACAGUUGCACAUAUUAAAAUAAGAAUUAUAAACGAUAUUUAAUUGAAAAUGCAUGGCCUAUAUUUAUACCCGCGCAAGGAGUUCCCAUAAUCUUCAAAUCAGGAAGGCAAAAGAUUUAUGCUGGCUUGGACUGAACCGUAUUCAAAACUCAAAAGAAAAGAAGUUGUGCUUGAGCGAGUUCUUAUUUCAGAUUGAUAUGAUAUAUAUAGAUCAAGUAGCCGACACUACGGUGCCAACGUGGCAAAGAAACAAGUUUUGCAUGGUAAAGAUAAUGGAUCAACGAUUCUAAUUUAAUGGUACAAUAAGUAGGUAAGGUCAACUCUAUAUGGUUAAAUUAGUGCAUGUGCGAUCAGAGGCGGAUUCACCAUAGACCACUGGGGGCUCAAGCCCCCACUAGAAAAAAAAUCUCUAUUUCAUAAAAAAAAAGUUAACAUAUUUCUAAAUAGUUUUGUCAAAUUAUUAGAUAGUCCCAUCCUUUAAAAUUUAAAUUAUUAUUUUAUUAAUUACAAAAUUUAUACUUUGACUUAAAAAUCAAAGCCUACACCCCAAAAUAUUUAUAAUUCUUAAUUAUUGAAUUGUAGGUGCUACAUUUUAACUAGAGAUUGCGGUAAAUAAAAAAAAUUAUAUUCAAGUUUUCAGUUUUUAUGUCUAAUUAUUAUUUAAUUUAACCCCCAGUAAAUUAUUUGUCUACAUCCGCCACUGUGUGUGAUACAUGGUUCAAAAAAUUAAUAAUUCUAAAUACGAAGGACGAGCAAAUUAAGUAAUAAAUGCCAUUACCAAAUAAUAGUGCGUGCUAUACUAUAGAUAACGGAUCAACGAUUCAGAUUUCAUCCUACAAUAGUAGGUAAGAUUAGUGGCUAGUGUUAAAAAUCAUUGCAUGUGCGAAACAUGGUCUACAAAAUAAAUAGUAGUAAACAAGAAAGACAAACAAUGUAAUCAAAUACCAUGUCAUCAGAUAAAAAGAAAAAAAAAAGAAAGGUAUAAAUACCAUUACCAAACAAUUGCUUGGUAAAGAUAACAGAUUUACCGCUGAAGUCUGAUAAUUGUAAGAUUAACCGCUGUAUAUGGCUCAACUGCGUGUGUAAAUAAAGUAUGAAUCAAUGGGUCCACGAAAUAAAUAAGAAGACCACAAGCAUAGUGGUCCAAAAAAUAAAUAAGAACCGAACUGACGAUACAUAUAGAUCAAGUAGCCGACACUACAGUGCCAACGUAUCAAAUAAACGAGUCAUGCAUGGUAAAGAUAAUGGAUCAACGGUCCAAGUUUAAUCGUACAAUAAGUCAAAAUAAAUAGUAGUAAAUAAGAAAGACGAACAAAGUUUUCAAAUACCAUCUCAUCAAAAAAUAAAUAAAAUAAAUAAGUAAAUAAAAUAAAGUAUAAAUGCCAUUACCAAACAAGUGAUUGGUAAAGAUAACAAAGUUUCAUAAUUGUAAGAUUAACGGCUAUAUUUGGUUCAACUGCAUAUGUAAAUAAAUGCAUGUGGGAGUAUGAAUCAAUGGGUCCACGAACUAAACAAGAAGACCACAAGCAUAGUGAGUCCCAUGAAUUUCUUUAUAAAAAUAAAACAGUGAGUCCCGUUAUGCAUAUUAUUAAUUUUUCUUUUCUCUCUUCAUUUUAAAUAUCUUUCCCGUUUAGUUAUCACAAUUAAACUCGUCUUUAGCAUUUAAUAGAAGUACUUCUAUGAGCAUGGAUUUAGAGAGAGAGUGCGGCGGUGCGAAAAUUAAGUUUGUAUAGGAAUUUGUUAUAUUUAAUAUUAUUGUUUUAGGAUUAGUAUUGUGUAAUUUGUGGGAGUAGGAAUUUUUUGAUGGAUGAGAUUUGAUUUGCUUUGGAAUGAUGAUUUUGAAAGAGAGUAAAAAUGUAAACGACUGAAAGGAUGGGUGAAAUUUAAUUUUAUUUUUUUAUUGCUAUUGAAAGAGAGCAUCUAAAAGCGGUCCAAAAACUAAAUAAUUGUAGAUAAGAAGACGAACUGACAAUCAAAGCAAUAAUACCAACCAGGCAAUAAUGCAUGGUGAGGAUAAGAUAACAUGUCUACGACUGAAGUUUGAUUGUGAAAUUAUGGGCUAUAUAUAUUUCAAUUGAUGGGUCCACGAAAUACAUAAUUGUACAUAAUAAGUCAAGCAAAGUAAAUAUUCUUUCCAUAUCAUCUGGUAAAAUUUUAUAUUACUAAAAUACUAUUUAGGACAUUAAUAUAUUUUCAGAAAAUUUUAGCACCCUUAAAACUCACUAUCGUAGAAGAAUUAAAUCUCAAUUUUUUUCCCGUCAUCAUCUAACUUAGGGUCUGUUUGGAAUUACUUUUGGAAGGCCCAAAAGUGAUUUUAAAAAAACUAAAGCUAUUUUUUAUGUUUGAUUUUUUUUUUUUUUUUGAGAAAUCACUUUUGGUAAAAUCACCGCCUCUUACUGCUAAUUUUGAAAAGUAGGGAAUGAGUAGUUUUUCAAAAUAUGAUUUUGAGAAUUAGUUUUAUAGUUAAUACAAUUCCAUAUGUAUCCUUACACAUAUUAUAAAAAUCUAAAUUAUCCUUAUUAAUUAUGAAAUAAAAUCAUUAACUCUAAAUAGAUUAUUAUUAUUACCAAUUAUAUUGAGAAAACAAAAUCUAAAAAGUAAAAUUAAUAAUAUAAAGUAUUUAUUUUUGUAAUUAUUAUAUAUACACAAUAAAAAAAAAAUUUGUAUACGUAUUUAUAAAUGUCUAAAUAAAUUUAUUAAACAUUAUGUCUAAUUUAGUCAUUCACAUUCUAAUAGCAAGUCAACAAUAAGAUUUACCAAACACAAUGACUGUUUUUAAAACUCAUAGUAAUUUGAAAAUAAAUUUUACUAAACAUUUAAUCGAUUCUCUUCACAACUAAUUAUUUAUACCGUACAGUUAGCAACAAUUAUUUUAAAAGCUAUAACAUUAAUGAAUUGGGCCUUAAUCCAUUGUAAAAACUGUUAGGAUUUCGUUGGCUUCAUUUGACUAAUUGAGAGAGAUUGUUUCCUUAUAUGUGGCUGAUUUGUAAUCCCUUUGAAUAUGGGAUCAUUAUUUGCUUUCGUUUGAUUUAGCUCAUAAUGUGUGAAUAUUUGCUCUUGUAAACUUGCAUAUAAAUUCUCUCUAAUCCUACUAUAAGUGCCUGUUUGGUAUGGCUUAUUUAAGAGCCAUAAGUGCUUAUUUAAUCGCAUAAGCACUUUUUAAAAUUUUUUAUGGUGUUUGGUUAUUUUUUUAGUAGAGUUUUUUUAGCUUAAAUAAGCUAAUUUGCCUCUACUAGCAAAAGCCCAAAAUUUAAGCUUUUGGGAGUAGAGGUUAGAGAGCUUUUCCAAAAAAUAUAUAAUAUAAAAAAUAUCACACAGUUUAAUGGUUCAAAAGUAUUUUUUUUAUUGACAACCAAACACCCAAUGAUUUUUUGUCCAAAAGCUCUAUUGGUAUAAGCUCUACUGUUAUAAGCUCUAUUUAAUAAGCUGUACCAAACGGAGCCUAAGAAACAUAGAAGAAUAAAAUCAGAGUGCUUGUCAAACUUCAUUUUUUCAUGGUAUCAGAGUCAUGGUUUUGAUUUGGUAAAACACUUUUGCUUCCUUUUUUUUAUGGAUGAUAUUGAUAGACAUAGUGAUAGCAGUCACAAUCAUUCACCAAAGCAUAUAUCUUCUCAAACCUCUCAUCACACUAUGUCUAUGUCUACGGUUGAUUCCUUGGACCCUCUUUUUCUUCAUGCUUCUAAUCAUCCUAGCAUGAUUCUUGUUCCAAAAGUCUUAGAUGGAACAAAUUAUGCUAUGUGGAAGAGAUCUAUGCUAGUGAGUCUCAGUGCCAAAAACAAAUUGGGAUUCAUCAAAGGAACCAUUCAGACGCCAGAUGAAGAUGAUCUAAAACAUUCUUUAUGGUAGCGCUACAACGAUAUGGUGCUUUCUUGGAUCCUUAAUUCUCUAAGUCAAGAGCUUGCAAAUAGUGUACUCUAUUUAGAGACACCCUUAGAGAUUUGGAUAGACCUUCAAGAACGUUUCUCUCAAGGUGAUUUUUCCCACCAUUAUCAAACUCAACAAUCUAUUGUUGAAUUAAAAAAAAAUCAAGAUUCAAUUUUUUCUUAUUACACAAAGAUGAAAAUGUUGAGGGAUGAGCUAACUACUUGUAGUCCUUCAAUCACGUGCGCUUGCGGAGGACAAAAAGAAUUGAAAGAAAAAGAAGAAAAGAUUAGGUUGGGACAAUUCCUCAUGGGAUUGAAUAAAACAUACUCAGCUUUGCGAGGACAAAUCAUAUUAAUGUGUCCUCUACCAACUGUCAAAAAGGCAUAUUCUCUUCUCCGUGAGGAAGAAAAGCAGCAAGGACUUACUGAAGCCAAAGGCAUUGAUCUUAUUCAUGCCAUGAGUAUCAAAACUUGUGACAAUUCUCGAGGAUCACAAUUUGAAGCUCAACAGCAAACCAGACAGGGACCAUCCUCUAAUCCCAAGCCACAAGGAACUAAGAAAUCUUUCUUUUGUACUUACUAUGAGGGCACAACUCAUACAGUAGAUCAUUUUUACUACUUGAAUGGAUUCAUAGUUGGUCAUAAGCUUCAUGACAAAGACGUUCAGCCUCCAAAUCGAAGCAGAAAACCUAUAGCGCAUCAAACUAGUGCUGAAAUAAAUCAGAACUUAGCAAAGACAUCUACUGAACAAACUCCCCAAUUUACCUCUAAAGAGCUUGCCCAAAUAAAACUUUUCUUUAGAAAUGGUAACAAUCCUGCUCGAGCAAACUACACAGGUAUCCAUAUGCCUUUCUGUUCAUCUUUCAAUACGCAAAAGACAUACUUGAGUCAGUGGAUUAUUGAUAACGGUGCACAAAAUCACAUAGCAACUUUAAUAACUAUUAAAACUUCUGUCUUCUCAAGUAACCUUGCCCAAUGGGGCCUAUUCUAAGAUAAUUGGAAUUGGCUUAACACAAUUCUCAAACCACCUACAUGUUAAUAAUGUAUUAUGUGCACUUCCUUUCAUGUUAAUUUACUUUCAGUGAGUCAACUUACUGCUGCCAUGAAUUGUUCAAUCCAUUUUUUCCCACUUUUUGUAUAUUGCAGGACCUAGCUUCGAAGAAGCUGAUUGGCUUGGGGAAGCAGCUUAAUGGCUUGUACUACUUUGUUCCUCAAGUGAAGUCUGCACCAACUUCACUUUCAAUCACCCAUCAUGCUGAUUUUACUACACAUAUUACUUGGCACAAGCGGUUAAGACAUCCCUUGAAAGCACCUUUACAAUUUUUAAGCAAUAUUAUUCCUUCUUUUGUAUUUGAUUCUCAACAUUCCUGUAAAACUUGCCCUUUGGCAAAGCAAACUCGUUUACCAUUUUCUUCAAGUUAUAUUCAAACUUUGCAUUCAUUUGAUCUUAUUCAUUGUGAUAUUUGGGGACCUUUUCGUACAACAACUUACACAGGGGCACAUUAUUUUCUCACUAUAGUUGAUGAUUACACUCAUUUCACUUGGAUUUUUUAAAAUGAAAUUUAAGUUCAAAACCCAAGGAUUAAUAAAAAUGUUUAUUUCUUUUGUGAACGCUCAGUUUAAUUGUCAAGUUAAAUGUCUUAGAAGUGAUAAUGGCUCAUAAUUUCUUUCCAUGAAACCUUAUUUAUCCAACCUGGGUAUUUUAUUUCAAAGCUUAUUUCCAUCUACACCUCAACAAAAUGGUGUAGUUGAACGAAAACACCAUCAUCUCUUAAAUGUUAGUCCAGCUUUGAGAAUUAAUGCCAAUCUUCUUUUAAAAUUUUGGGGGCAGAGCUUACUUAUUGCAACCUAUCUUAUAAAUCGUCUUCCCACUCCCUUGUUGAAAUACAAAUCUCCAUAUGAGUUGUUGUAUAAUAAGCCACCUAACUACACUCACUUACGAGUUUUUGGAUGUCUAUGUUAUGCAACAAAUCUACAACUGUUUAAUAAGUUUGAUUCUCGGGCUCGACAAUGCAUCUUUGUUGGUUAUCAUAUAGGCCAAAAAGCCUAUUGAUUACAUUUUCUCAACACUCACCAAUUCUUUUCCAGCCGUGAUGUCAUUUUUCAUGAGUCUAUUUUUCCUUUUCUAUGUAUCAAAAAAUCAUUAGAUAGCACUCUUCCUCCGCCUGAGAUAUUAGAUUAUGUCAAUGAUCCAUCUCCUCCUAAAUCUCAUCCUAUCCCUCCAGCAUCUGAGACCAUCAUUCCCUCUCUUAAUCCUUUAUUGUCAUCAACUUCUUCCCCUUCUUCCUCUAUAUCUUCUCAUGCCCCUUCUAUUCAUAAAAGUGAAUGUGUCAGGCAACCAUUUGUUCUCCUUCGUGAUUUUCAUUGUGGACAUAUUAGUACAACACCAUCAACUGCAACUUUAAGUCAGUCAUUUUCAACUAAAUCAGGUACUUAAUAUCCUUUAGGUAAAUACAUUUCCUAUGAUUCUUUGUCUUUUACUCAUUAACACUUUGUUAACACCAUUUCAAGUGUCCUAGAACCAACCUCUUAUGCUCAGGCUGUAUUGGAUCCGAAAUGAAAAGAGGCUAUGCAAUGUGAACUUGAUGCUCUCAAUUCACAAGAGAUGUGGUCCUUGGUCCCUUUACCUGUUGGUCAUCACCCCAUUGGCAACAAAUGGGUUUAUCGUGUCAAAUACAAUUCUAAUGGUACGAUUGAACGUUAUAAAGCCUAAUUAGUAGCUAAAUGAUUUUCUCAACAAGAAGGCAUGGAUUACAUUGAGACAUUUGCUCUUGUGGCUAAAUUGACAACUAUUCGUUGUUUACUUGCUGUGGCCACUACAAGACAUUGGCUAUUGUAUCAAAUGGAUGUGACCAAUGCUUUUCUGCAUGGAGAUUUAGAGGAAGAAGUAUAUAUGACUCCACCGCCGAGACUUUGUCGAUAGGGGGAGAAUCUUGUUUGUCGACUUCAUAAGUCCCUUUAUGGGCUUAAACAAGCUCCUCGCAAUUGGUUUAUGAAAUUUUCUCAUGCUGUUAAGAAAGCUGGUUUUAUUCAAUCACAUUCAGAUUACUCGUUGUUUGUGAAGACAAAAGCCAUAUUUAUAACUAUGGUUCUUAUUUAUGUAGAUGAUAUGGUGAUAACCAGAAAUGAUGCAGUUCCUAUACACAAUCUUAAACAAUUUCUUCACCAGCAAUUUUAUAUCAAAGCUCUUGGUCUUCUUAAAUAUUUUCUUGGGUUGGAAGUUGCUAGGUCCAAAACAGGUAUUGUUAUCUCCGAACGAAAAUAUACCUUAGAAAUCAUAGAUGAUAUUGGAUACUUGGGUGCUCAACUGGUAAAUUUCCUUAUGGAGAUGAAUUUGCAGCUCACAAAUCAUUAAGGUGAUUUGCUGCAUAAUCCAUCUCGCUACAGGAGAUUAGUUGGCCGACUAAUAUAUCUCACAAUUACAAGACUAGCCUCACUAAGAUGCUGCUCUUCGUAUUGUUAAAUAUUUGAAAGGUAGCCCUAGUUUAGGAUUAUUGUUCUCAAACAAUUCGUCUACUUUAAAGGCUUACUGUGAUGCUAAUUGGGCAAACUGUCCUAUAACAAGAAGAUCAACAACAGGUUAUUGUGUGUUCUUAGGGGAUUCGUUAAUUUCUUGGUAAGCAAAGAAGCAUAAAACAGUCUCAAGAUCAUCAUCAGAAGUUGAGUACAGUUCCAUGGUAGUAGCAACUUGUGGGCUCACUUGGCUUAGAUUUUUAUUCAAUGAUAUGCAAAUUUUCUAUAGGACCAGCAAGGCUAUUAUGUGAUAACCAAGCUGCUCUUCACAUAGCAGCAAAUCUGGUAUAUCACGAACGUACCAAACACAUAGACCUUGACUGUCAUGAGGUAAGGGAGAAAAUACAAGAUGGUCAGAUCAUCACCAAAUUUGUUCCAUCUCAUUCACAGUUGGCGGACAUUUUUACAAAAGCUCUUAGAGGAACAGUGUUUAAGAGGCUAACAACCAAGUUGAACAUGCUGGAUAUACAUGCUCCAACUUGAGGGGGAGUGUUACGAUUUCGUUGGCUUCAUUUGACUAAUUGAGAGAGAUUGUUUCCUUAUAUGUGGCUGAUUUGUAAUCCCUUUGAAUAUGGGAUCGUUAUUUGCUUUCCUUUGAUUUAGCUCAUAAUGUGUGAAUAUUUGCUCUUGUAAACUUGCUAAUAAAUUCUCUCUAAUUCUACUAUAAGAAACAUAGAAGAAUAAAAUCAGAGUUCUUUUCAAACUUCAUUUUUUUCAAAAACAAAAUACUUAGUUCUACAUGAUCAAGUCAUCAAGUGGCUGCACAGUCUUUACUUCAAUGUAACAAAAUAAUGAAAAAAACCUAAAGAAAUGAAGUUUCAUAUGGGAAGAACAAAUUUCAAUACGAUUAACAAAUCGCAACAUUUAUAUAGAGGGACAUCAAAUGCAAAGAAAAGUUGAGUCAAUCGAUUAUAGCAUUCUUGAGCAUUAUGAGUUAUGACUUAGAGAAUGAUGAGAUGAGAUAUUUUAUAGGCAUAAAAAGAAAUCAAUAAUUGUUAGAGCGAGUUUAAUAAAGGACUAGUUUGGUGUUUGAAAGAGUGUGCGAGUAAAACUUAUUUUAAAAAUUUUUUCAAUAAGUGUGCAGAGUAAGAAAGUAUUCAAAAUAAAUUUUAAAUAGCAAAUAGUCCAUCCUUAAAAAGCUAAAGUUAUAUAUGCAGUGCUUUACACGUUCAAUGCACAUUUUAGUGAGAUCAUUCAAUCUUCAAUGAAAUCAUACUUGUUAAAAACCGUCAUGAUUGGUUAAUUCAAAAUUGAAUAUAUUUAUGGAAAGAUUUUAUUACUUUUACAGUUACACAAAUGAUGUGAUAGAUAUGCUCCAUUUUGCACACCAUACAGCCAGUGGAAUAUGAGCCUCCCUUCUUCAGUGCCGCCUAUAAGGAUGCAAGCUUACAAUCGAUGGACGAAAUAUCCUUUAGAAAUAGGGAUAGGGAAUGUGAAAUUCAAGCAUUUUGAAGUAGUUGUUAAGGGGAUGUAAGCUAUUUUGUUAAGUUAAAUUAAAAUAUGAUGAUGAGUUAAUACUUAUAAGAAUGACUGAGGAACCAAAGCCUGAUAAAAGAUUAAUAAAAACACAUUCAAAAUUAUGUCAUUUUGAUUAUGUUUUUGUAGACUUUAGUUUAAAUGUCAGCACUCUAAUACCUAAUUAAUAUUUUUGUUCCAAAAAUUUAAUUCAUCUCUAUUUCUUUUUAAUUUUAUUUUAUGGUGAUCAUUUAUAGAUAUAAAAAUAGGUGUUAUAUUUGUGAAGAGAAAAAUGGCAAUUGAAAAAUGACAAUAUUGAUAUCAGUACAUCUACCAAAAAGAAAACAAGUAGCAGGGCAAUUAACUAGUUAAGCUCCUUGUAGUGAUGGAUAAAUUUAUAUGAGGUUGAGUACUGUACAAAUGAGGGUACAACAAUGCAAAACAGGAGUAGAAGAUUUCUUCAUUUGGUCCACUAGGCUUGCUUUUUUGACAAUCAUUUCAUUUUUGGGCUAAUUGUGAAAUCAUGCAUAUGGUGUUAAAUACUGUAUCUUGCUUGGUAGUGUUUUAUGAAACAAAUUUUGCUUAUGAUUGACUUAACAAAACAAUAUCCAGCGUGCUUGUAUUAACCCCGCUGUAUUUUCGGAAGGCUUGAAAGUAAUUUCACAAUACAGAGGCGCCGCUUUUUUUAUUUUGUUUAGUUGGUUAUCCCCAUUAAGGUAUUCAAUUCCCCUUUAUUAUCCUUUGAGGAUGAGCUUCCGUGAAUCUGUGAUUUAUGCUGACAGAAUUGUUGAAUGGAAAUUAGAUCCGCUAUCUAGUCCUCUAGUUAUGUAUCUAUCUUGAUUUUUUUCUCAAUAAGGUGGCUGAAGAUGAUGGUGACAUGUUGGAAGAGGAUUGAAGUUUGGACUUGUUUUCAUUUCCCAUUUUGUUAUUUGAUUUAAUAAGAUCAACUUUGCCGUGUUUAGUGUUACUUUGUUGUGUAUUAAAUUUUGAGUGUGAGACUUGAUCUGUUAUGUAGAUGUUUAAUCUUUUGCUUUUAAUAUUGUCAUGCAUUCAAUGGCUUUACAUUUGGUACCUGAAAUGUAAGUUUCCUCAUAUUAAUAUAUUGUCUUAUGUAUUUAAUUUUUUUGGGGUCAAGUUUUCGAUUUUCAUGCACCACGUUUUUAGCGCUUGUUUCCGUAAUUUAAAUUCCCUGUAACAUUCAUUGAAAAAAGAAAUGUAACUUGAAAUGAUGACUUAAAUUUUCAUCCGCUUCAUUUCAUUCAAUCUAAAGGUGUAUAUUUUAGUCAAAAAGCCGCAAUGAUCAUUUUCACAUCUCCAUUGUUCUCACUUCUUAAUUGCCCAAAGGUAAUUAUCUCACUUCUUCGUUGUUCGAUCUCUUAAUUUUGCAGUCGAUUUCUUUAUUUUUUUCAAAUUAAUUUAAGGUUAGAUUGAAGUUAGUUUUGGAUUAGUUUAUGAUUUCCAUCAGUUGAUAAUUUUAGGGUUCCAAUCAGAGAUCUCUUCACCUUGCUCAACAGACACAUCGAACAAUCCGACUUCGAACAGGCUAUUAAAAUCGAAUAUCAAGGUCCAUUUUUCAUAUUUCAAUACUCUUUAAUUUUAUUAUCAUAAUAUUGAACAUUUAGCUCUCUUCUUUAAAUCAUCAGUAAGUUACCUUAUGAUCCUGAUGCAACUUUAAUUAGCUACUCAAUUUGAGCAACUUUAAAUAACGAACCCGAGCCUAGGAUAUUCCAAUAUUAGCUGACUUCAAUUAGAUUAAUAAAGCCUAGCUCACUGAUUUAAAAUUAUUAUUUAGCUCAACUGAUGGUUAAAACACAUUAAUGGAAAAAAAUAUAAGGUCUCCUUUAUCUGAUUUCAAAUGCAUCAAUCUACUCUUUUUGAGUCUAUUACUGAUUUCAAUGGAUUCUUCAAGCUAUUUGUUGAAAUGCCUGACAGAAAAAAUGAAUGCUAUUUAAAUAUUGCUGGGGCUUAGUCAGUGGAUGGUAAACUAUCAGGUUCAUGGAGACUAUAAUUCUAGUGUAUAAUUACAACUUAGCAGCAUCAUUUUUGCAUUUUUGUAAUUUUCUUUUUUCAGAAAGAAUAUUGAUUCUUCCAUUUAGUUGAUCAAGAAUCAUGUGAAUUAAUUAUCAAUGCAUGCGUGUUUAUCAGCACAUGUUAUUAAUUAAUAGAAUGGCAUAAUGAAAGCAAAAAGGAUAAGAUAUAGCAUAAGUCUAAUUAAGAUGACUCAAAAAAUCAGAAGCAGCAGCACAUGCUUGAUUUUCAAAAGCUAAUUAAGAAUCAAAUCCAGUAGGGAAGAAUAAGAGAAUAACAACCAAAAGAAAAAAAUAUUGAAUCAGAGAGGCCUGGCUACAACUCCCUUUUUAGUUUGUAUUUUGCUAGUUACUGAAUUUAAUUUUACAGAGCAUGUGCCGCCACUGUUUAUUUGCUUUCAUGGUAACAUCUAUAUGUAAUAAGUCAAAACCUUUGAAAAACUUUCCGCGGCUAUACAAGGACUACGGACUUUGAAGCUUUGUCCAAUUUUUGUUUUCCUUAUUGAAUUUCUUAGUUGAUAUAUGGGGACUGCGGACUCUGCUAUCAAAUUGAAGAGUAAAGUAGCACAUGCUGCAACUGCAAGAGAAUUUAAUAACAAUGUUCAUUAUCUGAGAGUGCACAACGAGGUCGAAACUAAGGUAACUAACAUAUAACUACUUAAAUCUCGAACUAGUUUUCUUUUAUUUUCUGUUUGGAUUCUAUUUACUGCAUAUUAUUUGAGUCUACAUUCAAAGCCAUGCAUGCUGAGUAUUGGAUCAUUACGAAAAUAAUACUACUAUGUUUAAACUAUAUUUUCUCUUUUUUUUUUUGGUUAAUUUGUAUGCACAUAUAAUUUGACAGUUGAUGAGUUUUCAGUUGAGCUAGCUGAAGGGCUUGCUUUUGUUGCUGUUUCUGAUGAUGAAUCCAAACUCUUCAUAGUAGUUUUACUCUCUUUCAAGGUUUGUGAACAAUUUAUAAUUGGCGAUGGUUGAUACUUCAAGUAGCAAUUAUUUCAUGCUCAUUGUUUGGCAUUCUUCAUUGUAUUAUAGUUUUUGGUUAAGGAAGUGAAGGAAUUGAAAAGAAUAGUGAAGCUCGUUCUUGGAAACUCAAUUGCUAAUUUUCAUUUACUUUCAAGCCUUUUUUUUCAAUUUGUUUUUCACUUUCUAAUGUAUAGAAACUAACCAUAACAGGGUUUUGUAACUGAUAGACUAGAUUAUCGCAAGCACAUAGAUCUUUUAAUGGCAGUGUUGCAUUUUUCGACCUCUCUAAACUUGUAUACGGACUAAUGUCCAAAUUUAUAGGUUAGUAAAUACUUGCUAAAUUUAGAAUCCAACUCUUGCUGUUGACUCCAAAUAUUAGCAUACUUGCUUAUUGUUACAAAAUAUUGCUCUAAUGAUUAUUAUCCAUUGCUCCAGUAUCAUAUUUUGUUAGGCUUCUUAACCAUAUUUUGGUUAUAAUACUUAUGCUUAGCUUUAUACAAAGUGAUUGUUCGAAUAUAGCAUAUUAUUAUACUAGUUACUGAUUUGAUAAUUUACUGAUUAAUAUUUCUUCAUUCAUCUAGGAUAUUAUUUGGUCUACUAAUGAUGAUGUGGGGAUGGAGCAGAUUAAUAUUUCUUGAUUUAUAUAGGAUGGAUAUUAUUUGGUCGAAUGAAGAUGAUGAUGGGAAUUGAGAAGAUGAGGUAGAAGCGAACGCAAGUCUCAAGAGACUGAAGAAGACGUGUUGGAGGAUGAUUGAAAUAAUUCAAGCUAUGAGUAUGAGAUCAUACUGCAUAUACAUUUGGGAUUUUUUUUUUCAAAAUAUACUAUUGAAAUUGAUUGUGUUGUAUUGGCAUUACAAAUACUUAAAAAAAAUAAAAACAAAAAGCGUAAGAAAUAAUAAUAUUAAAUAAAUUAAAUGGGUCACUAAAUAAAAAAGAAGCACAUUUCCAAUGUGUUUCUUGCAUUUUCGAGGGCAAAUUACUGUUAGAAUAGUAAUCAUUUAUGUUAUCCAAUCUCAUUUCCAAGGGCAGUUGAUGCCAUUUUCAAGGGCAAAUGCAAUUGGAAAUAUGUAAUUUUUGGUUUUAUAGGGAUUAUUCCCGAGGGCAUUUGAUGUCAUUUCUUAUGGCAUUGUUGUUGAAAAUAAUUUUUUUCGCCGACGACCCAUCGAAAAUUGUGCUUUUUCGAUGCGACUUAAUACGAUGACAGUUGAUGGCAUGACUUCAUUGGAAAUGAGUUUUUCCGAGGGCAUUUGUAUAUUUUCGAGAGUAUUUGCCCUAGGAAAUAACCAUUAUUCUUGUAGUGAAUGUUAGAAGUUAAGGAGCCCUCCAAAUUACAGAAGAAACUCAAUAAUCUUGAUAAGACUAAUGUUGAAAAUAUGUUAUCACUUACUUUAAUAAUUGAAUUAUUCUUAUAUCAAAAAAUUACUAUAUAUGUAUAGAGACUCGAUAAAAGUACUGCUGAAAAUAUGUUAUCCCUUACUUUAAUAAAUUAAGAGAUCUUUUGUUAGAAAAUUUCUUUAAUUUAAUACAAAUUAACGGAUAAUUUACAAAAAAAAAAAACACAUAUUUUAAUAUACUAUAAGACAAAAUAUAUAAUAUCAGAGCGUGUGUUUUUCUUAUCUUCUAGCUUGACCCUAAAUCAUUUUUUAUAUAUAAAUAUAUAAUACACCAUUAGAGUGUGUGUUUUGCUUGCCUUUAGGUUAUCCCUUACUAGAUAAUGACUCGUAUACUUUAUUUUAACUUAAAUUUUUUAUAUAAAUUUUGAGUUAAUGAUUUAGUGCAUCUAAUUGUAGAUAUCAAAAGUCAAAUUAGCAUUUAAUGAUGCCAAUUCAUCCACUAUUCAAUUGCAUGAGAUUAAUGACUCAAAAUUUAUGUAAAAAACUUAAGUCAAAAUUUCAAGUUGAAAUAUUGCUCCUUAUAUUAUACAUAUAUAUAGCGAGUGCAUUCUCACUUUGUUAAAGUGACAAUGCCAAAAACAAAUUACAUAUAAUUUCAAUAUAUUAACAAAUAAAAAGAUAUAGUUUUCAAUGUAUUGACAUUUUGUUUUUGUAUUUUAGUGAAAUUCUUAUUUUAUAUAUGUGUAUGUGUGCGCGCACGCGUGUAUGUAUGUUUUUGUUGCCAAAAGAGUACAUGUCGAAUGAAAAUGUACAAUUAUAUUGAACAAACCACUAGACUAGAUCGAUUCUUUCUACUAACACUAAAUAAUUAUUUAAUAAUGUUUCAAUAUUUUUAUUAUGACAAUUCCUGGUCUGUAAUCAUGCCCUUAAUUAAGAAAUAUACAGUAUUAAAAAAAAACUUUAUUUUAACUAGUGGAAAAGAACAAUAUUAUUUGAAUUGGUCUGGAGAAUGGUAGGUGAAUGAUGCCAAAUUAAAUUUGCGCGAAUAAUCCAAAAACAUGUGAGACUUGCUCAAUUAUAGCAUUACGUGUCCUACACUAUAUAUAUAUAAUUAAAGCAAAUGAAAUCCGUGACAAUAUAUAUGUAAUCAAGUGGCCAGUCCAAGGCCAAUUUGUCAACUAUUCGAACCAAAAAAAUUGGAUUUUGACAAGACAUUACAUAUAAUACAAGAAGCUGCUGGCAUCUCCCAAACAAGCUCGAAAAAGUAGUCAGUAAGACUUGUACACAGGAAAAAAGCAUGGGAAAUAAUAAUGUGAUGGGAUUGGGAGGCGGUGUCUCGGCAUCGAUCAUAGCUAUGAUGAUACUCUUCUUCACCGCAAAUCAAUCUUGUGCUGCAGGCAACGGCACCAACAUUAAUAAUUUCCAUAUUGAUCCUGAUGUGUUGUUUUUUCAUGAUGAUCCGGAAUUAAAGUUAGCUGCUGCUGCAACAAACGUAUUGAAUCCCUCCAGUCUACCGUUCGGUUGCGGAAGAGGCGUAAACUAUCGCUCUUGUACCCCUAAUUCCCAGAAUUCCAAAAAGGGUGAACAUUGCACGCCUGCCCCUGGCAGCACGUAUCCCCCAGCCAAUCGAUUGUGCUAGCUAGCUUAUGAUACAUCUUUAAUCUCCAAUCUUCAUCUUGAUCUUCAACUAUGCCAUGACGUGGGUUAAUUCUGCAUGCAUGUUGUAUUUAAUUUAUAAGUAGCUAUAAUCUCUCUUUCCCUUCCUUUCUCAAUUUUCUCUCUCUAUAUUUAAUUAGUUAUUAAGCCUUAUGUUUGUACUGCUGCGUCAAUGCAUUUGUAUUAAUAAAUUAAUUAAGAUUUCUAAUUUAAUUCGUAUUGAUUAAUUUGUUGUUAAAUUAGCUAGGUUCCACCAUCUUCAUGAUAUCAUUCAUAUUCACUCGUUUCAAUUAUACCAUACCCUUCCACAGUUUGUUUCUUUUCCAUGUGCGUAGGUAUUAAAAGCCCGGAGAAGUAAUUAAGUAAUUAACUAUUAAUGGCAUUUCAUAUCGAGCUGGACCUACUCUUAAUUACCAGCCUCUUGAAGGGAAACCGGCCACAAUAUAAAUCAAACAACUGAACGUACACCUUCAUUAGAUUUCCUACUUAAACAUAUACAUUUAUGCUAGCCUUUGUACGUAACAUCAUUGAUUUAUCUGCUCCUUCCUACCCGCCUUAAUUGAUUGUUACGACAACAUCAUCCCAAAUAUUGUAAUUACAAUUAUAUAUGUUAGCCUUUUUUUUUUCCUUAAAUAAAUAAUUACACAGAGACACAGAUACAAUUAAUGUGGCGUAUGGGAGGAUAUUGGUUGAAACUUGGAAGUAAUAUCAGUUAAUCCAUACCACCAUGUUUUUAUCCAACCUCUAUCUUCAGUUCUUCACGAAUAUGAAAUCUAUUGCUUCCUUUCAUUCACUUUGUGUGAUAUAAUGUCUCGCAACCUUAGCCCAUUGUUUGAGAAGUUAUCUCAGUUAAAGUAGCAGUUGAGACUUGAACCGGGAACUUUGAAGUUCAUGCAAGUGUUGUUCAUGACUUCAUGUACCAAAUAUACAUCAAGCAAACUUUUGACCAACGGAGCUACAUCUAAGUAAGAGAGCACAUAGAGCACUAGGGAGCUUUUGAUGACUUGGCUCCAAUAACGCCAGUUAUUUAUACAUGGAGAAAUUAUACAUGUACAAGAUAUAAUGGGAAAUUUUCGGUCAUUUUGAUUUUUACCCCGGUGGUUUCUCCAUAAUUUACAAUUUAUUAUUAAAUUAACGGUAUAUAAGUUAUUUUACUUGAUUUAUAUUCUCAAAAUAUUUAUAUUUAUAAAAAAAAACUAAUGUCCUAGUUAAGCUUUUUAUUUAUUCUUUCUGCUUGACAAAUUUAUAAAGACGUCAUUUUUAAGAAGGAAACAAUUUCUCUUCAUCUUUUUACUGCUUGAUCGGAACUCGGGGAUUGAAAAAAAGGAGAGGAUUGAUGUUGACGGAAAGAAUUGGGUAUAGAAAUAAAAUUGUGCGCUUUUAUAAAGUUAUUAAAGUCAAACUUAAUGAAUUUAAUUGCUAAUAAUUAGGUUACAAUAUACAAUGAAAUCUUAAGCUUUCAAUUUUUUUUGCCCUAGAAAUUAACUUUAUAACUACAUUAUUGAAAGCUCAAGAAAAAUUAGAAGAGGGAAAACUAGAAGAGACUCCAAACCCUACUCUUAUUAAUUAAUUAUAAUAUCUUUUUUUAAUGAAAUCCAAAAUGUUCCUCUUUUUUCCCCUUUUUAAAUAUGCAAAACUUAAAAACAGGGCAUACUCUGUAUAUAUUUCUGUGAAAUCGUCGUUCAUUAAGCAAAUUUCUUCAUCUAAUUAAGGUAAUUUUAGGGUUUGUUACACACUGCAACCAAUAAAAAGAAAAAGAAUCAAAAGGACAUCUUUUAUUUGUAAACACACAUCAAAUCUCUUUUAUCAAUCAAUUUUUUUUUUUAUUAAUACAAGAGGCUACAUAGCAUAUUCCAUUUUCUCCCUCAGCUAAAAUACUGAUAUGUUAUCAAGUUAAUUUGUAAAUCUAAAUCCUGUUAGAAAUUGUUUUACUUAUUAACAACCGGAAAUUAAGAAAGUUAGAUCUCCAGGCUCCGCUGGAUUUUAUCAAUGCUGCAUUACUAAAAAUUCCUGCAAAGGACGCAUAAAUUGCUGCAAUGGAGAUCUUUGCAAAGGAUGUGAACAUUGCUGUGUUGGAUAUAAAAUGCAAGGGAUAUGAAUGUAAAUGGCGAUCGUUUUCAUUUCUGUUUAGCGUUUCUGCUUUUCCAAGGUUGGUAAAUGGAGAGUAAAGAAACAGCAGAUCACCGAACAGGAUUCACUAACGUUGGUUAAUUUAGGGGUUUCCUCGAGAUUACACCUUUUGUUGAGCUGAAUGUGUGAGGCAGUCCGACUUUUUCCUUCUGCAAUGUGAUUGCUGCUUCAUUCCAUUUGAGUUGUUCGGGUGGGACUAAUUGCUCAACUUCAAUGGAGGAAUAUCAGGCAUAUCGGCAAUUAAGCUGUAUUAAAUACUGAAGAUAGAACGUCUUGUACUCUUGUUGGGCAUACGACGAAUGAUGCUAAAAAGGCUGCCAAACUUAUAUUUUUCUACGAGAAUUAUGUUUCAUGUGGAACCAAUUUUUGUUUCGUGAUCUUGUUACAUUCUUACCUCUUUGUUCAUGGAUUGAUUGGUACAUGUGUAUUACUAUUAUCAUCUUUGUCCUCUUCUUUCUCUCCUCGUUGUCUUUUAUUACCUAGUAUCUCUCCUCUAGGAUGAGCAAUAAUGAAGUUCGUUGAUUUGUCAGUGUUUGAUUUAUGAUAAGCGGAUUUUAACCAAAGUUAGUUGGUGUUAGUGGUUCGGCACUCUCACUCCUUAAGAGAGGUCAGGGGUUCAAGCCCCGCUCUCGUAUGCAGUCACCACUUUGGCCAGCACUUUACCCCUUAUGGGCCGACCCGGUGCGAACGGGGAUUAGUCUGAGUUGUGGUACGGGCUUAAAGGUGCCUCCCACAAUUGGGGCCCACUCAGGACCACCUCGUGGUUCAGACCAAAAAAAAAAAAAGCGGAUUUCUCAUCCUACAAUUUUUUUGGGCCAAAUUUGGUAUUAAAUACUGUAUCUUCACUGGUAGUACUUCGAGAAAUAGCAUUUGCUCAUGAUUUGACUUAACAAAACAACAUCCAGUCCGCUUAUAUUAAUCCCUGCUGUGUUUUUUUUUUCACAAUAUCUGUUUCUAUUCUUUGUUGAGGACUUUUGUGAAUCUGUGAUACAAGCUGACAGAAUGGUUGCAUCCAAAUUUAAUAUGAGAAAACAGAUCCUCGAGCCUGUCCGCCUAACACGGAUAGAAUAUUAAUAAAAAGAAUGAUUUUCCUUUUUAAGCAUCUUUUUUCCAUAUGCAUGUAUUUUGGAGGAGGCACGUCCACGAGUUCACCAUACUCUAAUUUUUAAUUAAUUCUAUUUAUUUCUCAAAUUACUUUGGUUAAAAUUAAUUUAUCUCCAUUGUUUCUCAUUUCCUCUUCUCAAUCUAUUUGACCACUAAUGGUGUGUUUUUUUAGCAGCAAUCGGAAUGAAAAUUUGGAAAUUGGAAUCAAUGAUGCAUUUAUUUACAAAAAUUUAGGCUUGGAAUCAAAAUAAAAAAUAGUGUCGGGCCUAUAGAUUUUGGCAAUCAUUACCAUUGUUUUGAUUCCUAAGGGAGGGGCUGGGAAUUAGAAUCUGAUUUCUAGAAUUACUCAUUUUACUUCCAAUACAUUUUCAUAAUCUCUAAAUUGAUCCCAAUUAAAAUUUGACAUUUUUGCAUUUUAAUUCCUAUAGAAUUUAUGAAAUACCCAAAUUUUUUGUAUUAUUUGCAAAUAGGUCCUUCGUUGGUAGUAAUAAUAAUAAUAAUAACAACAACAAAAAUAAUAUUAGUAUUUUUAUCGUCAUUAUUAUUAUUUAUUAACAUCAUUAUUAUCAUUUAAAUUUAUUAAUUUAAUUAUUUUAAUUGUUAUAAUUUAUUAUUAUUAAUUAUAUUAUUUAUUUUUAAUAAUAUGAUUAAUGUCAUUAAUUUAUUAUUAUUAUAAUCAAAAUUUAUUUAUUUUAUUUUUUAAUUAUUAUUAUUGUCAUUAAUUUCCUUAUUAUUAUUAUCAUUAAAAAAAAUUUACAAUACAAAGAUUAUCCAAUCAAUAAAUAAUUACUAUUGAAGGCAUUUAAUAAUGUCACGCAUACACAUUGUAUAUCCCGAAUAUCUUCUUAAGUAUAAAUUACUAGUCAUCGGUAACGUAUAAAUAGAAAAACUAGAAUUAAAAGCUUUUAGAGUUGUAAGAAGCUAGAUUUCAUUAAAAAUUUCAAAAAUUAAGGGUCUUCACUAAAAUUUAACCUAUAUAUCUAUGUGACAUUUGCGUUUCGGCUCUUGGCUCCUUGGGUUUGAACAAAACAAAUUAAAAAUGAGUAUCUGCAAAUUGAAAAAAUAGUGCAUUCACCUUUUAAAUAGAUUUUAAGCAUAGUCGAUCUGUCUAAUAAUUAGUACCUACUCUAGCUUGUAUUAAUCAUGGCUUGGUUUCCACCCAAAAAAAUCCUACUCAAACAAUAAAACCAAUAAAUUACAAAAGAAAAAAAUAACCCGUAUUGUUUGUUGUUUGUUUUAUCGUGGCUUUGGUUCUCUGCAACGUUAUUUGAGUUCUUUGCAAGAAGUAGCUCACCACUAUGUGGAGCUUGUUUAAGAAAAAUAUUGAAGAAGAGACAGCAUAAUUAAGUUAACAGUAGAUAUAUGGCUAGACAAACUUAAUCGAUAUUAAAAUAUUGAUACACAACAAUUUUAUUUAUUUAUUUUCCUUCUAGGAAAACAUGGUACAUGUGAACAACUAGACAAAGAAAAUCUCUUGUAUAUAUCAAGAGAUCUUACAAGCUAAAUUAAUUAAAACAAACUAAGACACUCAUACAAUUGACGGAUAAUAACAGUACCCAUCAUUUUAUUUCCUUAAACAUAGCAUAAGAGAGUAACACGGCAUGUACUUAACCAGUGUGGUAAGGGUUUCUUCCAUAUUGCGGGACCACAAGAAAAUCAAUAUUUCCAUUAAUUUCAUCAUUAGCAAUAAGUGACCAUAAUGGCAUUUCUCUAGAGCCCUCCGACCAAUCGUUAUAACCUAAAAAAUUCAUGUUAUAAAACUUAAUCACAAGUACACAUAUUAAAAUAAGAAUUAUAAAUGAUAUUUAAUUGAAAAUGCAUGGCCUAUAUAUAUACCCGCGCAAAGGAGUUUUCAUAAUCUUCAAAUCAGAAAGGCAAAAGAUUUCUGUUGGCUUCGAGUGAACUGUAUUCACAACUCAAAAGGUAAGUAGUUGUGCUCGACUGAGUUCUUAUUUCUGGUUUGAUCUGAUAUAUAUAUAGAUCAACUGGUCGACACAACAGUGAGAACGUAGCAAAUAAACAAGUGAUGCACGGUAAAGA